UUUUUUUUUUUUUUGAAUUUGUGAUUCUUUUUUGAUUGUAUUUUGAUUCCCAAAGAGAGGUAUGAAAGAAAAUAAAAUUAAGGCUCAAAAGGGGUAGCAAAGAAUUACACGGUAUUUGGAUAGUAGAAUGAAAUGUCUUCAUCAUAUCAAUUAUUACAACUGUUUUAUGAAAAAAUAGAAAUAAAUGACUUGUUUUCAAAAAAUCGACUUAACUUAUGACUUGAAGAAAAAUCAAUUUUUCAAAGAGAGUCGCCACUUAAUUUUUGGAAGAAAUUAAGAAAACUUAUAAUUUUUCAAAAGAUUUAAACAGAAUAAAAUCAUUUGAAAUCCAAAGGGGUACGAGGUUAAAUUUACAUUCCGAGAAGGUGUUAGGCCCUCAGAAUGUCCGCUAACUUGCGGUUGACCAACGAUUUGACUAAACGUUUGACUAACUUGAACAAUAUUAACUAAGUAAGAAAACCCAUUUUUUUUAUUUUUGAGGGUAAAUAAACUAAAGGGAUCUUUAAGGAAAAAUGAUUCAUAUUGACAUGUUCUAGAUAGACUCAAUUCUUAUAUCAAGUCACUAAGUCAAAUACAAAUUUUGCAAAUGAGUGGAUCCUACUAGUGGUAAGCAUGACCUAAAGGAGAUAGGUGUCUAGACUAGCUUACACAAGUGGAUAACUCGAGCUAGGGAGGGGCAACUUAUCGGUAGCAACGUUAUUCCGACUUCAUUAUUGAUCCAACCCCGCCUAAGAUAAGUGAAUAAAUAUCCUUCACUAGGUGUCAAGAAACUCCAGCUUUAUCUCAAGAAAAAUAGUAUGCAUAACUGAAUUCAUGUGAACGUGUGUUAGGUGUUUUCAAAGACUCAUAAGGUGUACGUUUGAGAAAAUAAUUUAGUAUAGUUCAAAAAUAUAAAUAUAAAAAAUAAUAAAUGAGCAGCAAGUAGCACAUUACGCCAUCAAACACAAUAUAUCCAAUAAAAUAGAAUAAUAAAAUCAGGUAAAAGUCAAUAUAACGAAGCUCGAAUUCUGGUUAGUCCUCAGCAAAGUCACCAGAGAUGUCACACCCUUUUUUACGCACGGAGGCGGAUGGGUUUUUCCAAUUUAAGUGACAUUAUUGAUUAAUGGAUUAUUUGAUUUUUCUCAGAGUCGCCACUUGAAUUUGAGUUAUGGUGUUCCAAGUUACAUUUUCUUUUUAAUCUCUAACCAAAAGGAAAUGACUCUUUAAAAUGGUCAGCGAACUAGAAAUUCAGGUAAGAAAUUCUAUUGACUGAGGGGAAGGUAUUAGGCAUCUCUCGAGUCCCGUGGUUCUAGCACGAUCACUGUUAUUGACUUAUACUUAUUUUAAAAUAUGUUUUGGAUAUAUUAUUUUAGGCCAUGACUUGUUUGCAUUUUUAUUGAUGAACUUUUAUUUGGUCUCAACCUAGAUGCGUAACCGCAUUCUUGGUCUUGACAUUUAGAGGCAUAACUGCCUUCUUCACAUCACACUUAAUAAUGUUGUCUAUCAGUCUCUAUUUUAAACUAAUGAAAUUCGAUUAUAUUAUUGAAAAAGGUGCGUCACUGCAUCCUUGAGUAUUUUUUUUAAUGUCUCAAAAAGAUGUGUAACCACAUUCUUAAUCAAAACAAACAUUGUUAAUGUGUCUAAAAUUCCAUCCAACGUUAAUAGAAAAUAUUUUAAUGUUUACCUACCCAAAGUGUUACUUAACCAAAAUAGUGAUCUAGACCGAUUUCAUUAGAAAUAAAUCUAUCAAUCAAUAAUAAAAGAAAAUCUUAGUGGUUAAUAAAAGAAAAUCUAUCAACCAAUAUUUCCUUAAUUCUUAUUAAUCAAACCCCAUACCUCUUCUAAUUAGUAAAUAAAAUUCGUUACCCAAUUUAAAACAAAUUGGUUUCAAAGUGGCUCACUGAUUGAGUUAUUUACUCUAAUUUAAUUAUCUAAUCUAGUGAUCUACUAAUUAAGUUAUUUAUUCUAAUUUAAUUAUCUAAUCUAGUGACCUAAUUAAAUUCUUGUUCUCGCUGACAUUUAUAUUUGAGAAGCCAAAUGUGGAUUACAAUAUAUCAGAAGGGUUGCAAAAAAUUGAAAUUAACACAAUGUUAAUCUGACAUGAACUCAUUGAAAUAAUAUAAAUUUUAAUUAUCCAUUUAGAUAAACAACUUGGUUGUAUUAACUAACAUAUGAAACUAUUUAAAUAAUUUUUUCCAUGCUUUGAUUCACAAAUAAAUAUAUUAAAAAUAAAUAAAAAGAAACAAAACAUGAAUUUGUGUGAUAAAAUAGGAGCAAGAACGAAAUCGGUAGAUACUCGACAUAGAGAUCAAAAUACGAUACUAUAUGAAACUUAUUCUAAAUUUAAAGAUACAACAUGUUUAACAUAUUUCAAUAUUAUAAUGGAAAAGUUAAACAAACAUAAAAUUUGAGCAAAUUCAUAACAUUGGAAUUAACUAUUAUAUAAUCAUGAAAAUCAAAAUAAAAAAAAAGUGAAAGGGUACCUCUUGCGAAAAUCAAUUUACGAAAAGAAAGCAAUCCUAACAGGAAACCAAGAACUUGAAACCACGAAAGCAAAUUUCAAACUCAACCUUUGUUUGUGAGUAAAAAAAUAAAAUAUAUAUAUAAUGUGAGGGUGAUCUUCUUUUUCAUUUUCGUGCAUAUGGGUAUAUGUAUUUUAUUUUUUUGGUAAUAUCCCCGGAGUCUUUUUAUUUGUGUUGUGUGUAUGUAUAAUAUAGUAGUAUGUAGUGGAGUGUGGGUGGUGAUGUGUGUCUGUGUUGUGAGUGGAGUGGGGAAUUAUCGUGAAGUGGGGGUGAGGGUUGUCGGAAUGGGAAGAGUAGUGGGGGUUAAUGUGUAGGUAUAUAUAAAUAUAAAAUAUAAUAAUUAACAAUAUUAACUAAUUAUUUUAAAUUAAUAUACAUAUUAGAAAAGUUAAAUAGGUAAUUAAAAAUAUAAUUAAGAAACACUAGUUUAUUUAUUAGAGCUAAAAUUAAAAGAAAACAUAUAUUUUUGAAAGUUUUAUUUCUUUUUAAAUAAAUUAAAAAUAAAACUUACCAAAAAAUGUGAUUCUAUUUUGUUGUUUUCAAAUCUUUUAAAAUAAAUUUAAUAAAAUAAGAUAAAAGUCAAAAUAUUUAAUUUAGAUUUUUAUUAAAAUAUUUAAGCUCUAAAAAUGGUGUAAAACUUAAGUUCAGUCAAAAAUUACGUGUCUACAAAGUAGUCAUGUGGUAGCUUCCCUAAGCUCUUGGUAAGUAAAUCAGCCAACUGCUCCUUGGUGGAUACAUGAUGUGUUUGAAUUAAAUUUUGCAUUAUCUUCUCCUUUACAAAUUGACAGUCUAUGUCAAUAUGUUUCACUACAAAAAAAUGUGAAUUAAUGAGAAUUUUUCUGGGGAUUAUGUAUGAAAAUUCGCAGGAAAAUAAGUUUUCUGCGGAUUUUCUUGUAAAAAUGAAUUUGAAGGUAAAACCUUCGUAGGUAAUUAUUUCUUGUGAAUUUAAAAAUUCCCAACUAAUUUACCUAGGGAUUUUAAUUUCGCAGGUAAAUUACUUUCGAAUUUUCUUGCAAAUAAUAAUAAUAAAAAAAUUUCUUACCAAUUUAUUCGCAAGUAAAGCCGCAAGAAGAUAUUCAAAUAAAUUUCUUUAAACAAUAUUAAUUAUUAUCUCCUAUUUAUAUAUUUUAUUAUUCAUUGAACCCCCUAGACACAUAUGUAACUAGGGGUGUUCACGGUUUGGAUAAAAACCGAUCCAAACCGAAAAACCAAACCAAACCGAUAAAAUAAAACCGAUUUUAUUUGGAUUUGGUUUGGUUUGGUUUUAGAUUUUUGAAAACCGAUAGUAUUUGGUUUGGUUAUGGUUUUAUUCAAAAAAAACUGAAGAAAUAACCGAACCGAACCGAUGAAUUAUAUACAUAUAUUUUAUUAAUAUACAUACUUAAUAUAUUAUUUUUAUAAACAAUUUUAAAGAUCUUAUACAUAUGAGUGUCUAUGUCAAUUCUUUGUGGGACUGAAAAUGUAUUUGUCUCUUCCUUCUAGGCCAAUAUAGUGAAUUUUAAAGCUUUAUUGAUAGUAAAUUUAGUGAUUGAAAGUUUACUAAUUUAAGUCAUUCUAACUAUUUUUCGUUUUGAAUGGAUUGUUGUCACUUUUUUCACAUUUUAAAUGAAUUGUUUCCUUUAUUUUUGUGUAUGGUUAAUAACCGAAUAACCGAACCAAACCAAACCGAAACCGAUAAUAACCAAACCGAUAAAUGUAUAUUGUAUUUGGUUUGGUUUGGUUUUGAUAAUUUUAAAACCGAUCAAGUUGGUUUGGUUUUGACCAAUAACCGAUCCAAACCAACCCGUGAACACCCCUAUAUGUAACCAUAUUUUUCACACAACUACCCAGCCAUUGUACAAUUUCAUUCGUGCCCACCCAAUCCACCAUGAUAUUCAAUUUAAUUGCCCUCCUAAUUCAAGUCCCCAUGAGAUUUCAUGCCUACUCAAUUAUAAUUUUUCCUUGAAAUUCCAUUCUACCAAUAUUCUAAGUCAUAGCAUUAUAAAUGCUAAAUUUUUGGUGUGUUUUUCCGAUGUGGUACAAAAGAUACAAUGACACUACACUAUUUUUUGUUGUCUUUCUCCAAUUUGAUUAAUUUUUAAAGUAAAUUUUAAUUUAUUUAAUUGAGUAUUUAAAAUACCAUUUAGAUAUUCAUAAAUUUUUCAAAAGUACUCUUAUUCAUCUCAUAUCAAUAUGGUAAUAAAAUAUAUCUUAAAUAUUGGCUAAAGUUCAUGUAAUUUGACUCUUAAAAGUGAAACAUGACAAUUAUAUUUAUAUUUAGAAUAAACCAUUAACUCCCAACAUUCAUGAAACUUUUCUGCUUACACUUCCUAUGAGAAAAUGUCCUAACUAAGCAUAUUAAACAUAGACAAAAUUUAAAUUAUACAUACAAAGUUUUUAUAAAUAAAUAAUUGAAAAUAUAAAUAAAUUUAUAAGUUUAAAGUGCAAGAAAGUUAUACUCAAUAAUUGAUAGUAUAUCUUAUUGGGUAUUUGUGGUAUUUUUAAUUUUAAUAAUUAUAUUUUAACAUACUUAAUUAUAUAUUUGCAAAUAAAAAUCAUUUAAUAACCUACUAUAUUUAUAUAUAUAGAAAUUAUGUCAUUUGUAAUGCUUAUAAAAAAAUAUCAAUUGGGAUAUACAUGUAAAACUUAUUUAUUUUUCAUUUAAUAUAAUUUUAUCAAUGAAGGGUUAUUAAACUUCACAUUGCUAAUGCAUAUCAUCGAUUUUUUAUAUACUUUAAUAUAAUGCUCGACUUAUUUAAUAAUAUACAAUUUAAUAUAAAUAAUAUUAAAUCAAAAUUAAUUACAUUUAUGAUAGUUAUUUUUCAAUUGGAUAAAUAACUAGCCAUAUAAAUUUAAUGCUUUCAUCUUUUAAAUUGAAAAAAAAACAACAAAAAAAAACUGCAUCAUUGGUUUCUUGUGAUAAGUUAAAAGUAUUGAUAAUGACAUUUGUCCGCAGAUGGUUAAUACUAGAUACAACAGCAUCAGGCCUGUAGCUCCCGUCAAUGUUCCAGCUGAGGAAUCUACAGCGAGAGGUCGCGUUCGAGGCAGGGGUAGAGGAAGAGUUAGGGGUAGAGGCCGUGGAAGAGUAGCGCCUGCUGGGAAUGAAGAUCAUGUUCAGAAUGCUCUUAUGAAUGAGAACCCUCAUGCGCAUCAUGAAGAGAUAGAAGAGAAUGUUGAUGUUGAGAAUAUUGAGGAUGUGGGACAAGAGAAAGAAGUGCAGGAUGAGACUAUCGAUGUUCCUCCCAUAGACACAGUGUUAGCUAGACAUGUCAUGUCAUUCUUGAAAUGGUUGGUUGGUCCUGGAGUGCUUCCUUCUGUUCAAGCAACUCAAGCUCCCACUAAUCCCCAUGUUGCUAGCAAUGCGCCCAAGAUGGGUGGGACGGGAGGUAACGAUGCUUUAUUUCGUCCUUUGUUGGGUUCUGUUAUGACUGGUAAUGAGCAUGAAAUGUUGACUAAGUUUUUGAAGCUAAAGCCUUCUGUGCUUCUUGGUUCUGAGAAUGAGGAUGCUUAUUAGUUCAUCUUAGAUUGCUAUGAGAGGUGUUGCUACCCAAUAUACACGCAAGUGUACGUGGUCGCGCAAGUAAUAUAGAUUCUUAAAGAAACGAGUUAUCGUUCCCAAGGAACUUAUGAUCUACUUAUAUUCACUUAAUUCUACAACUAAAAGUAAAAAGUAAUCUUUUCAAGAGUUGAUGUUUUAUUGUUUAUCUACUAAUAAUUAUGCACUAAUUGAAAGUAACUAAUUGUGAACGACUUUGAUAUAAUGUUUCAAGCAAGUUAAAAGCAAUUCCAGGGCUGCAGCAUAUACUGAAUAUCAUGUAUCAUAUUCUUGACCUAGAAUUAAUUUCAGUUGUCAAGUUACUGGUUUAUAGGGUUGAUAAUAUGAUACGGGUUAUACUCCUCUGGUUGCCUACCUCAGUUAGCUAUCUAACUACAUUGUUGAGUGGGGAUAAAUAGACUAACUGGCGAGCAUUUAUAUUUCAUCCUAUUUCGUAAUCAAGCAAGAUGUUCGUCUGGGCGUCACUCCUGAACACUAAUCACCUCAAUCUAAUGGGUGGACCGAGAUCUCUAUAUUCUCUGGUCUAUCUAAUCCCUCCUCUCUCGAUUUUAAGAUUAGACAAUAAAUUUAUCUUAUGGUGCACAAGCAUAAAAUACUAAAACAAGAAUAUAGAAGUAACUUGUAUUAACAACCGAAAAUUAAUCCAACAACCUCAAAUAGUCAACAAUCAAUUCAUAGCUACAAUCCCAGAACUAGGGCGUUUAGCUACUCAUGCUAUUAGAAAACAAGAAAAUACAACAGGUCAUGCAAUUUCCAACAAAUAGAAGAGUUAAAGGAUUAAAACCUAUUACAAACUUGAAUUCUUGCUCUUGCACACUAAAUCAAAAGUUGAACCCCGAUUAUGGAGCCCUAAGGAUCUAUUUAUAAUAGUAGGAAAAGUUGGGAACAAAUCCUACACAAAUUAGGAAUCCUAUUUAAUGUUUAAAACUUGGAAAAGUCAGCAAAAGAGGGACGUGUCGUGCCUCCUAUCGCCCCACGAACAUGCUCCAGUUGUAUCAGUGUUGGCGCGUCGCGCCUCUCAGGGCGCCUGAGAAAGGCCUUUGAAUGUUUGGCCAUGGCGCGUCGCGCCUGAGAAGGGCCUCUGAAUGUCGGGCCUUGGCGCGUUGCGCUUCUCAGCGCGCCUGAGAAGGGUCUCUAAAUGUUGGGCCUUGGCAUGUCACGCUUAGCAGUGCGCCUGUCCCUGCGGCCUUCAUUCUUAGCCGUUUUUCAUGCUCUUUUGCAUAUCUUUUCUUCAAGUUGACUCCAAUUCCCUUGAGAGUUCCUGAAACAACUAAUCAUGUGUGUAAGUGCAUAAUCAUCACAAGUUACACCAAUAAUUAAGCUAAUGACCAGAGAUCAUUCUUCAAUCUAAUCGAUUCAUGGCACAUAUUGACAACUUAGGCAUAUAAAUAUGCCUAAGAUCACUACCCCAUACUUAGAAUUUUGUUUGUCCUCAAACAAUCUCUUGACUAUCAACUCUUUUUCACAACCCUUGAACUCAUCAACGCACCUUAAAAUCAACCAAACAUUUUUAAUCAUGAUCUUGUAGUUCACAAUGGAUGCAACAAUUCACAACAUUUACACCAAGUAAAACACAUGCUCAAAGAAUUUCGGGAUAAUGCAAACUCAUACAACCACACCAAUUAGAUAAUCCUACACAUGCCAUGAAUGCCCUCGCUUGUUUAUGUUUAGUAAAGCCUUUCACUCAAGCAAUUUGUAAUAUCAACAAGGCCUAUUUUUCAAACAACCAACUCACCCUCACAAAAGAAGUUCUUACUUUUCUCAACAUACCAUAAGCUUGCCAAUAGUGUAUUAUUACUUUUGCACAUAUUUCUCAAGGAAUCAAGAGGACUUUCAUUUGGUUGUAAUGUCGGCUUAAGGUAAGGGAGGGAAUAUUUAGGAAUCAUCUUAGUGACUACACCUCCCUAAUGCACAUGUCAUUAUUUUGCCAACAAUCUCCAUUAUAACUUUUCUUUCCUCCUAGUACACACUUGAUGACUAUUUACCCAUUUUGUUGCUCCAUAUGUGCCCUUUAUUUCUUUUUCAUCAUUUUUUUCAUGCCUUUGCACUAGCCAUCCAAACUCUAGAUUUUAACAUCAGAGUAAGAUACACAUUAUCCUUGAUAGGAUCAGGGCCAAUGUUUCUAGCAUAGUUCUAAAUCAGCCACCCUCAAUUUUGGUUGAGGUGCACAUUGUCACUAAGGACCAGGGCCAAAACAUAAUUUUCUUUUCCACACAAUGUAGAAAUUCACCCUUAGCUAUAUCAACCAACAUUUUCCAACCCUUCUUCUUAACAUAGUGCAUUAAGGAUUUUCAUAGGAUCAAAAGACUUGGUAUCAAACAACGGGUUUCGGCUUAUCAUGUGGUUUAUCAAUAAACAAGGCUAAAGGCUCAAUGAGGCUCACUAGGGAUAAAUUCAAUGGUAGGCAUACAAUAAGAGUUAAGAAUUGGCUAUUUCAAAGAAACGCCUCAAUCACAUUCCCUAACUUAUACAAGCUACUAAUUCAACACACACAAGGCAAGUUAUAGAUAUCAAGUUAAGAAAGAACCAAUAAAUUCUCACCACACAUGGCAUUAUGACACAUAUUAGGAUAUAUCAACUAACAUGCUCAUACAAGUUGCAUUACGGUUUUACUACACAAUUAAGCCCAUUUUCAUUUCAUUUCGAGUCAAACUUAAGAACACAUGCUAAUUACAAGGUCAACCAUCUAGUAUAUUUUCCAAGUAUAACUACCCAUGACGUUUGACUAACUUAUUCGGAAAUAGCUUCAAAAGUUCAAGGUUGGUAUUUCAAUCCUACUCCUCUAUGUGACUAAUUUUCCCUUAAGACGGUCGUCAUCCAUCCAUCAUUGGGAACUGUCACUCCUAAGACGACUCUAAGACUCCAUAAAGCAAUAAACUAAUCCUAUAUAGUUCAAAGGGACAAUCCUCAGUAAAAGUACCGAAAACAAACGCUGAGGAACCCAAAAUUAAAAAAUUAAAAAUUUAACUAAAACUAACACUAGACUCGAUAAAGCAGUAAACAACUAUAUACAACAGAGAAUAUUACCCUACCCCACAUUUUAAAAAUAAGCACUGUCCUCAGUGCACAAUUAAAACAAAGUAUAAGGUUAGGAAUACUCCCUGGGGCUUUUAGGCCUUGUCGUCACCGCCGUCGAACACCAUCAAGGCAUUCGUCUCUUCAUCCACAACAUCAUCCUCCUCAUCAUCCGUAGCCUCAUCAGCAGUAGCAUCAUCAUCAUCCAAAGGUUCCAAAAAGGCAGGACUAGUUUUGCACAAAAACGCUGCACUCUCAGAGAAAGGAUAGCGUUCUGCCAUUGUUUCCAUCUUAGCAUCAGUAACCGGACGUCCACCGAUCCGCAAUUGCAACUCAGCCAUCCCAAACAUCCUAGCCAUGACACUAUCGUCACAGGCUUGCCUCUCUUAGGCAGACAGAACCGGCCCAUGGGAUGUGUCAAGUGCCUUAGUCCUCGUCACAUCAACUAGCUUACCUGUCAGAUCCAGGUAAUAAGCAACAGUCAUGUCGAUCGUUUCCUCUUCAAUACCCUCACUCCUUAGAAAAUGGGUGAUCAAUUCCCCGUAACAGAACCACCACCUCAUAUUAUUCCUAAAUUUCAUCAUACUCUACCUCAGGAUAGCCCCUACAUUAAUAGGCACACCCUUCAUCAGCAUAUACACUAAUACCACCCUAUCUCUUGUCACCUCAGUCAGAUGUUUGGCAGGAAGUAACACACUACACACUAUCUUUAGCCACACCCUUGCCACCUGAUUAAAGCUAGCAAAAUGGAGGGUAUUAUGCCUCCCAUUUUCCUUACUCUGCUCCCACCUAGCAUUCGAAUCAACCCCACACAAGGUAUGUCGAAUAUCCCUAUAAGGAGGUUGAUCAUUUAAGUCAUUAAACAUAUCAGGGUCACAAUUUGGGGUUCCUAACAACUCAUUCAUAAUUCGGGCAGAAAACUUGACAUCUUUCCCCCUAACAGACACAGUUUUAUAUUUCGUUUCAUUUAGCCAAUUAGUAUAAAAUUCUCACACUAGUGUCAAAUUGCAAUCCCCUGGUUUUUCAAAUAUAAACCUCAAACCCAGCUCAUUAACAGUCCGAUAUAUAUCAGGAAAUUGCAACUGUAACCUUACCUCAUUCACAAAUUUGUUGCCCAUAUACUUCGCCUCUCUUUGGCAUUCAAACCAUUCCCACCCAUACCUUUCCACAUCCUUUUUACCAAAUUUUUGCACUGGUUCCCGACCACUAGAGGACCCGGAAGAUUCUCUUUUUCUACUUCGCUUGGAACCCACCACAUUUUUUGCUUUUGGGGCCAUCACCACAUGUGAAGAAAAGAAAAAUGGAGAAAAGAAAAGAAAUUAGAAAUUUUUUUAUAGGGUGGUGUCGGCUGGCAGUGGGUAGUGGUGAGGGGAGAAGAGUUGAAAUUUUGGUUUGAGUAAGAGAGGGAAGAAAUUUGGAGAGGUGGAAGUACUUAUAAUGGAGUUGUGGGAGAAAGAAAAGUUUAAGAAAAAGGGAAGGUGUGUUAAUGGAGGAAUUUGGAGAGUGAGGGAGGAAGAAGAUGAAGAAAGUUUGAGAGAAUGGGGGAAAGUGGGUUGGUUAGAAUGAGAGAAUGAGAGAAUUAGGGAUUUAAGGGGUGGGUCGAGUUAAAUCCGGGUAAAAGCCAGGAAAUUAAAAAAAACUGGGCGUUGGGGUGAUAGGAGGGGCGACGCGCCUCUCAGCGCGCCUGAGAAGUGCCCGAGUCAGUUGGACCUUGGCGCGACGCGCCUCUCAGCGUGCCUGAGAAGUACCCCAGACGUACGAGGCCAGGCGCGGCGCGCCAUCCAGUGUGCUUGGCUCAAUUUUCAAUUUUUUUUUCUCGUUAUUACAAGCUAAGUUACAAAUAAUGAAAAAUCCUAUUUAACUAAAACUAAAAGAACUUCUUAGAUUCUACGAAUUUAAACUAAGCGAAAACAAUAAAAAGUAAAAUUUCCAACACGAACUACCUAUCUAUUACAUAUUGUUCAUGGGUUGCCUCCCAUGUAGCACUUGAUUUAACGUCGCGGCACGACGCAACUUGGAUCAUUCAUCAUUUAGCUCAAGAGCUUUCCGAUCACGAUCCGAAUCCUCAUCGAAAUAGUGUUUCACCCAUUUCCCAUUGACCAAGAACGUAAGGCCAGUCUUAUCUUUGAGUUCAACAGCCCCAUGUUGUGUCAUUCUGACCACUUCGAAAGGACCACUGCACUUCGACCUUAGUUUUCUAGGGAAUAACCUUAGUCUAGAGUUAAAGAGUAGUACCUUAUCUCUCGGAUUGAAAGUACGAGCUACUAUGUGCUUGUCAUGCCACCUCUUCGUCUUUUCUUUGUAAAUUUUGGCAUUCUCAUAUGCGUGAAGUCUAAACUCCUCAAGUUCAUGCAGUUGAUUCACUCUCUUUUUACCGGCUAGCUCAGGGUCCAAGUUCAACCUCUUAAUUGCCUAAUAAGCUUGAUGUUUUAAUUCUACCGGAAGAUGACAUGUGAUAGGGAGAAGUCCAUAUUGGUGUCUUAUACGCAGUCCUAUAUGCCCACAACACAUCAUCUAAUUUCUCACACCAAUCUUUCCGCUGCGCAUUCACCGUUUUCUGCAAAAUUUGCUUCACCUCUCUAUUCGAGACCUCCACUUGGCCACUCGUUUGAAUCUUAUGACGAAUACCAUACUUAGCAAGAAGGUUUUUAACAAGAUGGUUAAUGAAAUGCUUACCUCCAUCACUUAUAAUUCCCCUUGGAGUGCCAAAACAAGUGAAAAUGUGCUUCUUUAUGAACUUUAUCACCACCCUUGAAUCAUUGGAAGGGAGAGCGAUCGCCUCAACCCAUUUACUAACAUAAUCCACAUCCACAAGAAUGUAUUGGUUCCCACUAGAUGGUGGGAAUGGACCCAUGAAGUCAAUACCCCACACAUCAAAGAUUUCCACCUCCAAAAUGUUACUUAGCGGCAUCUCAUGUCUUCUUGAAAUAGUACCCAACAUUUGGCAUUUAUCACAGCCCUUCACAAAAGCAAUAUAAUUUUUAAAUAAUGAGGGCCAAAAGAAACUAGAUUGUAGUACCUUAUGAGCAGUGCGCUCUCCUCCAUGGUGACCUCCAUAUGGGCUAGCAUGGCAACUUUCGAGCACUUUGUGAACCACAAUUUCCGGAAUGCACCUUCUCACUACCCGGUUUACACCUUGCUUGAAUAAGAAUAGUUCGCCCCAGAUAUAGAACUUGGCAUCAUGAUUGAGCUUUUUCUUUUGUUGGGUGGUUGCACCCGGAGGAUAAUCGCCACUUACUAUCAAAUUCACAAUGUCUGCAUACUAUGGCACUUGAGAGAUAUCUAAUGCCAUCAAUUGUUCAUCCGGAAACUCUUCCCGGAUUUGCUCACCUUCAUUCACAUGUGAAAAAUCCUCCAACCUAGAUAAGUGAUCUGCUAUUUGAUUCUCAGUACCUUUCCUAUCUUUGAUCUCAAGGUCAAAUUCUUGGAGAAGCAAUAUCUAUCGAAUCAGGCUUGGUUUAGCAUCCUUCUUGUUGAAUAGGUACCUAAUAAAUGCAUGGUCAGUAAAAACAAUCACUUUAGUACCUAUCAAAUAUGAUCUGAACAUGUCGAAGGCGAACACUAGAGCCAUCAUCUCCUUCUCAGUCACUAUGUAAUUAGCUUGUGUAGAGUCAAGGGUCUUGCUUGCAUAAUAGAUCGAGUGGAACACUUUAUUCUUUCUUUGUCCCAACACUGCACUCAUUGCUACGUCGCUUGCAUCACACAUGAGUUCAAAUGGUAGUCCCCAAUCAGGAGUAAUUAAGAUGGGAGCCUCAAUUAAGUUCCUCUUCAACAUCUCAAAAGCUUUCAAGCACAUCUCAUCAAAGUCAAACUUCACCUCCUUCUCCAAGAGACUGCACAUAGGUCUGGCAAUCUUGGAAAAAUCCUUGAUGAAUCGCCUGUAAAAAGCUGUAUGACCAAAAAAACUACGCACACCUUUUACAGAAAUAGGAGGGGGCAAUUUGUCAAUAACUUCUACCUUAGCCUUAUCAACUUCCAAACUAGAUUUAGACACCUUGUGUCCCAACACUAUUCCCUCUCUUACAAGAAAAUGACACUUUUCCUAGUUUAGAACUAAGUUAGUGUCUUAACAUCUAGCAAAUACUUUAUCAAGAUUUCGGAGUCAUACCUCAAAAGACUUCCCAAAGACGGAAAUAUCAUCCAUGAACAUAUCAACAAAGUCUUCCACCAUAUCAUAAAAAAUGGCCAUCAUACACCUUUGAAAAGUCGUCGGUGCAUUGCAAAGUCCAAACGGCAUGCGCUUGAAAGCAUAUGUGCCAUAAGGACAAGUGAACGUGGUCUUUCCUGAUCCUCGGGUGCAAUCAAGAUCUGGUUGUAACCGGAAUAUCCAUCUAAUAAACAACAGUACUCCUUCCUUGCUAGUCAGUCAAGCAUUUGAUCAAUGAAGGGAACGGGGUAGUGAUCUUUCCGGGUAACAUUAUUUAGUUUCCGGUAAUCCAUGUAAAUUCUCCACCCGGUUACUGUUCUAGUAGGAAUUAACUCAUUCUUUUCGUUCCUUACCACUGUCAUACCUCCCUUCUUGGGAACACAUUGUACCAGAUUUACCUACUUACUAUUAGAGAUUGGGUACACAAUUCCAGCAUCUAGCCACUUAAUGACUUCCUUUCUUACCACUUCUUUCAUCACAUGAUUCAGUCGACGUUGAUGUUGUCCUUUGGGUUUGUGAUCCUCUUCCAUGUAAAUUCUAUUGAUCCUCUUCCAUGUAAAUUUUGUGCAUGCAUAACGCCGGACUAAUUCCAUGAAUAUUAGCCAUCUGCCAUCCAAUUGCUUUUCGCCUCCGCUUUAAGAUCCUUAAUGCUACAUCAACCUGUAAGUCAGACAAUUCUGCAGAAAGUAUAACAUGCAAAGUUUCAUUAGUACCCAAAUAAGCAUAGCUUAGGUGAGACGACAUAGUUUUUAAUUCCAAAAUAGGGGCUUCUUCUAUUGAUGGCUUUGGUAGGGGCCCCAACUCGCGAUCUAUUGACUCCACUUGAUUCCUACGAGUGUCUACUAGUGCUAGAUUUAAGCAUGAUUCAAUCUCUUGAGCUUCAGUGUCUCCCUCUAUCUCAUGACCCACUAACACUCUUUCUAAAAGAUCUUCAGGCACAACUACUUCUGAUUCUACUAUGCAAUCUACCACAGUAAUAGCAAACAACUCUUCAUAAAUAGAAGGCAAUUUUAAAGCGCGGUAAACAUCAAAUACCUCAACCUUAUCAUGUGCCUUCAUAGUUAGUUGACCGGCUGCUACAUCAAUCAAUGUCCUACCAGUGGCCAAGAAAGGUCGCCCCAAAAUGAAUGGAACUUUAAAAUCGGGUUCAAAGUUUAAGACCACAAAAUCUACCGGAAAAAUCAAUGAACCUACAUGUACUAACACAUCUUCUACUACCCCCUCUGGUCUAGUAAUGGAUCUAUCAGCGAGUUGGAGAAUAACAAUGGUUCAUUUUGGACUACCUAACCCGAGCUUUUGAUACAAAGAUAAGGGCAUCAAAUUUAUACUUGCCCCCAAAUCACACAACCCCCGGGCAUGAACACUUUGCCCAAUUGUAAUCUGCACAGUAAAACUACCAGGAUCUUUUAACUUUUUGGGCAGUCUGUUUUGGAUCCUUGAGUUGUACUCCUCAGUAAGUGCUAUAGUUUCAUAUUCAGUGAGUCUUCUUUUGCUGGCCACUAUGUCCUUCACGUAUUUAGCAUACUUCGGGAUACCCUGCAAAAUGUCAACCAAAGGUAGAUUAAUGUGAACUUGUUUAAGGAGAGUGAUAAACUUACCGAAGCAUUCAUUUUCAUUCUGCUUUUCCAGCCUUUGUGGAAAUGGAGGUGGUAAUUUCUUUUAAGGAACAGGUACCUCAACAUUGGAGCUUUUUACUACCUCUUCCACCUUCUUUUCUUUGUUACUUACCUCAGUGUCUCUCUUCUUUGGAGCUAGUUCCUCUAAUUGCAGCCCACUUCUAGCAUUUACCGCAUGCAAUUGCUUUGGGUUGGGCUCAGUAUCACCGGGUAGCCUACCUUGGGGAUACAGGUUCAAAGAAUUAGCCACUUGCACGACUUGUUUCUCUAAACUCAUCUGGGACAUCUGGAUGUUUAUGAUGUAUUCAUCUUGCUUAUCUAUUCUAGCAUUUAGUGUGGUCCCUAUCUCGGUCAUGAGCUUUUGUAGUAGAUCUUCAUUGGUUAUCCCCCCUUUUGGUGCACUAGGAUUUGAGUCUUGGUUAGGAUUGUAGUAUUGUUGCCCAGUCCCUUGAAAAUGGUAUUGGUUAGCCCCUUGCGCCUGAUUUUGGUUUUGGUUACCGCCCCAUGAGAAGUUUGGAUGGUUCUUCCAACUAGGGUUGUAAGUGUUGCCAUAAUUUUGUUGCACUCCACUCCUUUGCGCAUUACCCACAUAAUUUAUGGAAUCCGGGUUUGCCUCACAUUGCUCGCUUUCAUGAGUUCCAUUACCACAUACCUCACACCAAUUUGCUGCCUAAUUUAGAGCCAUUUGUUUAAAAUGUAAGGUCAUGUUAUGUUGCAUUGCAUCUAAUUUGUCAUUUAUGACAGUAGCUUGGUCUACAUCAAGGUCCCUGCAGCCUUUUGGGUUGGGGUUCUAGAUAUUUCCCCUUCAUACCCUUGGUUCCCUUCAGAAAGUUUAUCGAAUAAGGCGAAGAACUCUUCACUCGUUAUGGAUAGGGCCUAUCUACAUGCUGCAGUAUUAAGAAGAGAACAAGUAUUAUAGUCUAAACCCUCAAAGAAAGUGUGAGCAAGUACCUCAUUGGUUUGCAUGUGGUGUGGGCAAGCAUUCAACAUUUGUUUGAAACACGCCUAUGCUUGGUACAUGUCCUCCCCUUGCUUUUGAACAAAGUUUAUUAUCUCACCCCUCAGCUUCACGAUUUUCUUGGAUGGGAAAAAUCGACUCAGGAACUUCUUUGCUAGAUCAUCCCAAGUAGUGAUGGAAUUUGGUAGCUCAGAGUUUAACCAACGUCUUGCAGCUCCUAACAAUGAGUAUGGGAACAAAGUCAACCUUACAUCGUCUGAUGAGACUCCAAUUGGGAUGUAUGUAUUGAUAAUUUCUAUGAAAGUCCUAAGAUGGAUUUGAGGAUCCUCAUGGGGGAGACCAGUGAAUUGCCCAUUAGUAUGGAGGAUCUGUACCAUGCUCUGCUUUAGUUCAAAUCUACCCUCCGGUGGAGGUUUCCUAAUACUAGAUGCCAAGUUGGCUAUGAAUGGGACUGCCACAUCACGGAGUGGUCUUGCAGGUACGACAUGUGGUACUCCUUGGUUAUUUGGGUUCCUUUGGUUAUUCACAUUUUUCGGGUUAUUCAAUUUGUCUUGAUUAUCAUCAUCAAUGUUUUCCGGAAGACCUAACCCCAAUUCUCCAUGUAGUCCUUGAUUCUCCAUUUUCCUGCGCUGGCGUAAAACUCUUUCAGGUUCGUUGUAAGGUUCGACAAGAUUUCCUUUCCGAGCUAGACUUGAAAAUCAAGUGCCUGCAAUACACAAGCUAAGAUCAAGUAAUUAGUACCUGAAUAUAUUAAGUGUAUACUUAAGAAGAUUGAAUAUAAAUGAAUUUCUAAGUCCCCGGUAGCGGCGCCAAAAACUUGUUGCUCCCCAAUAUACACACAAGUGUACGUGGUCGUGCAAGUAAUAUAGAUUCUUAAAGAAACGAGUUAUCGUUUCGAAGGGACUUAUGAUCAACCUCUAUUCUCUUAGUUCUACAACUAAAAGUAAAAAGUAAUCUUUUCAAGAGUUGAUGAUUUAUUGUUUAUCUACUAAUAAUUAUGCACUAGUUGAAAGUAACUAAUUGUGAACGACUUUGAUAUAAUGUUUCAAGCAAGUUAAAAGCAAUUACAGGGUUGCAACAUAUACUGAAUAUCAUGUAUCAUAUUCUUGACUUAGAAUUAAUUUAUGUUGUCAAGUUACUGGUUUAUAGGGUUGAUGAUAUGAUCCGGGUUAUACACCUCUCGUCGCCUACCCCAGUUAGCUAUCUAACUACAUCGUUGAGCGGGGAUAAAUAGACUAACUGGCGAGCAUUUAUAUUUCAUCUUAUUUAGUAACCAAGUAAGGUGUUCGUCUGGGCGUCACUCCUGAACACUAAUCACCUCAAUUUAAUGGGUGGACCAAACUCUCUAUAUUCUCUCGUCUAUCUAAUCCCUCCUCUCUCAAUUUUAAGAUUAGACAAUAAAUUUAUCUUAUGGUGCGCAAGCAUAAAAUACUAAAACAAGAAUAUAGAAAGUAACUUGUAUUGACAAUAAAAAAUUAAUCCAACAACCUCAAAUAGUCAACAAUCAAUUCAUAGCUACAACCCCAGAACUAGGGCGUUUAGCUACUCAUGCUAUUAGAAAACAAGAAAAUACAAUAGUUCAUGCAAUUUCUGGCAAAUAGAAGAGUUAAAGGAUUAAAACCUAUUACAAACUUGAAUUCUUGCUCUUGCACACUAAAUCAAAAGUUGAACCCCGAUUAUGGAAGCCUAAGGAUCAAUUUAUAAUAGUAGGAAAAAUUGGGAACAAAUCCUACUCAAAUUAGGAAUCUUAUUUAAUGUUUAAAUCUUGGAAAAGUCAGCAAAAAAAGGACGUGUCGCGCCUCCUAUCACCCCACGAACAUGCUCUAGUUGUAUCAGUGUUGGCGUGUCGCGCCUCUCAGGGCGCCUGAGAAAGGCUUCUGAAUGUUUGGCCUUGGCGCGUCGCGCUUCUCAGCAUGCCUGAGAAGGGCCUCUAAAUGUUGGGCCUUGGCGCGUUGGGCCUCUCAGCGCGCCUGAAAAGGGCCUCUGAAUGUUGGGCCUUGGCGCGUCGCACCUAGCAGUGCGCAUGUCCCUGAGGCCUAAUCAUCACAAGUUACACCAAGAAUUAAGCUAAUGACCAGAGAUCAUUCUUCAAUCUAAUCGAUUCAUGGGCACAUAUUGACAACUUAAGCAUAUAAAUAUGCCUAAGAUCAAGAGGUAUCAUAAGUUGGGAAUUGUCCAUCAGCAUGGGGUUGAGUUUGGGUACUUUCAACUUCAAGGUAAGGCUAAACAGUGGUGGAGAGCUUAUAUGGAAUGCAGAUCUUCUACUUUACCUCCACUUUCUUGGACCCAAUUUCAUGCUCUGUUUUUGGAGAAAUAUAUGCCUAGGACUUUGAGGGAUCGCAAAAAGGAUGAGUUCAUGGCUUUGGAGCAAGGUGGUAUGACUGUGGCUGCUUAUGAGGCCAAGUUUCAUGCUUUGUCUAGAUAUGCUACUCAAUUGGUGACUACUGAGAAGGAGAGGAUCCGGUUAUUUAUUAAGGGGCUAAAUUCUGAGUUGCAUGUAUUAUCUGUUUAUAUGACCUUUGCAGGAAGGAGCUUCAAUGAGGUAACAUACUAUGUUAAGAAGGUGGAGGGGGUGAGGCGAGACGGUCAAGCUAAGGCAUGUGCAAAAAGGGCCAAGAAUUCGGGUAACUUUCAAGGUUCUUAUUCCAAGGGGUUUGGAAGGCCAACGCUUGCAGCCAAGCCAAUUCAGUCCUCUAUGCCUGCCUCUAUAGGUAGUUACUCGAAAACUCCAUCUCAUAAUUUUCAGGAUAGCCUGGGAGUCGCGCCUUCGGCGGGCAGCAGGCCAUCUUUUGAUCGUACGUGUUACAACUGUUGUUGACACCCAAUUUUGGCCAAACAUUUUCAAAAUUCGUAACUUUUAAGUUUUAUUUAUUUAAUAGUUCAAAAUAAUUAUUUUUUUUAUAUAAUUUUAAAUAAAUUUGUCGAUAACUAUCCUUAUUUAUCAAAAUUUAGGAUUUUUUAUCAGUUAAUUUUAAAAUUACAUUUUUACAUAUCAUUAGUUACGUUCAUUAUAUAUAUAUAUAUAUUUAUAUAUAUAUAUAUAUUCAUUUUAUUUGUUACAUUCAUUAAUAUUCAUUUCGAUAUUUUGCACAGCCUAAAAAUUCAUUCAAAUACAGAUAAUAUUUCAUACACAGAUAUUUUAUUAACUGAUGAUUUUGACCCACGAUUUUAAAAUAAUGGUAUUGUAGUUUUCAACUCCCUAUAUAAAGAAUAGUUUGUCUAUUAGGUUAAAGGGGGGCGUAAAUUAUUUUUUAGGAGGUAAGAAUUUUCAAAAGGGAAAACCCUAAAUUUUGUUCCUUUCCUCCUCUUAAAGAAGAGUAGCCGCACCCCUCUCUUCUCAUACAACAACUCUCUAACCACCAUAAGAACAAUGCCAUUUCUGGCAAAACCAAACCUGAACCACCGCUCGUGUCCCUAUCACCUUCGCCAUUUCCGGUGAAAUCGAAACCCCCUAAACCCAGCAAACAACAACGGCUAAACCUCUCCGGCGAACUCCAAAGCUCUACUCCAGCCUUCUUCCUCCAGCAACCAGCGCACCGAACAAGCCUUCAAAACCCCCAUUUUUUCCUACCUACUUCUUCUCCAAACCAGACCCAUAAAUAAGUUAUCAGUGAGCUCAAAGCUCUGUUAAACAACGAGCUCGUGAGGAACCAGAGACAGCCAAGCGAGUUACAAGCUCCGACGAAGCACCAAAUAUGACCAGAUUCGGCCGGGAUACUGCAUUUCCGGCGAGGUUUAAGCUUUCACUUCCAAAUCUAACUGAUAUAAAAAUGUUGUUUUACUUAGUUUUGUUCUUUUUUAUUGCUAUGUUUUUUUGUUGCAUUUCAGGUGACUCAUUUUGUUCGUUUCAAAUUGGGUCGAAGGGGCUCAAACUCCGAUCAUUUUCAUUUUUUGUGCUAAUGAUUUCCAGCGGAUUUCUUUUGGUUUCAACUUAUUAUGUAUCUAUUUUCUUAAGUUCAUUAUUGGUGGUUCAUAACUUUAAAUGUUUUCUUAUUUUAUUUUGUCUAUUACGUUGUUGUCUGUCCAUUUGAGCUUUUUAUAUUUACUUUAUGAUUGUUUCUUUAUUUUAAUCUAAUGUCUUGUUUUAUUUAGAUUUGAUUUAUGUAUUUCUCUAAAAUUUCACAUCGAGUCGUUUUGGUUUAUAUGUUUUCGUGUUGAUAAUUGCUUAAAUUUGUUCCGUUUCUUAGUUUAAUAUUUUAGUUGCUAAAUUUGUUAUAUGUUUGAUAGAUUAGUAUUCUUGUGUUUAUGACGUUAUAAUGUUUAAUGUUGGUUAAUUUUCUUUUCUUUCCUACUGCAUCAUGUUUCUUCUUUAUCCAUUUGUUGUUGUUGUUUUUUUUAUUAUUAUUUUAUUAGUUCUAUUAUGUUUGGCCCUUUUUUAAUUGGUUGGGAUGAUGGCAUAAAUUUUGAGAUAUUUAUUGAUAUCAUUUGGUUACUGUUCACAUGUUAGUGCAUGAUUUCGUCUUAUCUUUAGUUAGUUUUUUGUGUGAUUUUAUGUUUGAAAAGUAUUAUUGUUAAAAUGGCCAAUGAGAAAAUCUCUCCGUCGAUUUUGGAGGCCUCCUCAUUUUAAAAGAUGGAAAUUUAGUUAAGUUUAUAUUUCUUUAUUUGAUAAAAAUGGCCAAUGAGAAAAUCUCUCUGUCGGUUUUGGAGGCCUCCACAUUGUAAAAGACGGAAUUUUAGUUUAAGUUUAUAUAUUUUAUUUGUUAAAAAUGGCCAAUGAGAAAAUCUCUCCGUCGAUUUUGGAGGCCUCCACAUUGCAAAAGACGGAAAUUUAGUUUCAGUUUAUAUAUUUUGUAUGUUAAAUUUGGCCGAUGAAGAAAUUACCGUCGAUUUCUAAGGCCUCUCAUGUUAAUAAGACAGAUGUUUAUUUUUAAGUUAUUGUUUAAUUCAUUUAUUUAGUCAUAUUUAUUUAGUACUAACACUUUUACUAAGUGUCUUUACAGGUAUCCCGAAGUCGCUUCUCAUCGAAGCCAUUCAAAUAAAGUUCGAAUGUUAUAUUCAUUAUUAUGUAUAUUGUUGACGAUAGACAAAUAUUAGGUCGUUUCUCAUAUUAUUUGUUUACUUUAUUACUUGUGUAUAUUGCAUGUUUGUUAUAUUUGUAUAAUAUUUUACAUCCUCCUCAAUUUGAAAAAAUGAAUUCAGUCGGGACCCACAGUUGUGGAUUUCGAAGGAUGCUUAACACCUUUCCUUCGAAAUAACUUGAACCCCUUACAUAGAAUUUCCUGGUUUCGUAGAUUAUUUAAUUGGUUUCCUAGUUUUCCUAAAAUUAGGUGGCGACUCCUUUAAAAUUCAUUUAUUCUUAAAAUUCUUUUAAAAUCAAAUUAAUUAUUUAUUUUUUGAGUCACCGCGAUGUUUCGCCCUAUUUAAAUAGAGUAGGGAUGUAAACAACUGUGGUGAACCUGGGCAUAUGAGGAGAGAUUAUCCCCACCCACGUGUGUUAGAUUUCGCGCAGCAGUAGUCUAGAGCAGUGGUACCCGCGGGAAAUGGUAAUGCUGGCAGGGUUAACGUGCAACCAUGCAGAGAAGUGGCUCGUCAAGAUGAUAGGGCUCAGUGUUAUGCCUUUUUGGGAAAGGAUGAGGCAGAGACGUCUAACGCGGUGAUCACGGGUACUAUUCUUGUCUGUGACCGGAUGGCUAAUGUGUUAUUUGAUUCGGGUUCUACUUAUUCAUAUGUAUCCGUGAGAUUUGUCUCAAAGUUUGAUAUGCUUUGUGAUAUACUUGAUGCCCCUAUCCAUGUUUCUACCCUAGUUGGAGAGUCAGUCAUAGUCACACAUGUCUAUCGUGCUUGUCCUAUUUUUUUAUGGGUUUUUAGACCUGGGCUGAUUUGGUGAUUUUGGAUAUGACUGAUUUUGAUAUAAUCUUAGGCAUGACUUGGUUGUCCCCCUAUUAUGUUGUGCUUAAUUGUAAUACUAAGUCUGUAACUCUAGAAAUUCUGGGAAGGGGAAAAUUAGGGUGGGAAGGGGUGUACAAGCCUAAGCGAACUAAGAUCAUAUCCUCCAUUCGGGCUAGAAAAUUAGUAGAGCAGGGCUAUUUGGCUUAUUUGACUAAUAUUAGGGAUAUUGAGAUUGUGGCUCCAUCCAUUAGGUCUAUUCUUGUGGUGUCAGAAUUUAGAGAAGUGUUUCCUAAUGACUUGCCUGGUAUGCCUCCGGAUAGAGAUAUAGAUUUUUGCAUUGAUUUAGAGCCUGAUACUCGUCCCAUAUCCAUCCCUCCAUAUCGCAUGCCUCCGAUGGAACUAAGAGAGCUUAAGGCUCAAAUCCAAGAGCUUCUUGGCAAUGGAUUUAUUCGUCCUAGUCUUUCCCCAUGGGGUGCUUCAGUUUUGUUUGUUAAGAAAAAAGAUGGUAGUAUGAGACUGUGUAUAGAUUACCGGCAAUUGAAUAGGGUCACCAUUUGAAACAAGUAUUCAUUGUCUCGAAUAGAUGAUCUUUUUGACCAAUUAUAAGGUGCAUCAGUUUUCUCCAAGAUUGAUCUAAGGUCUAGCUACCAUCAGUUGAAAAUUACGCCUGAGGAUAUGCCCAAGACGACUUUUAGAACUCGUUAUGGGCACUAUGAGUUUUUGGUUAUGUCUUUUGAUUUGACCAAUGCGCCUGCAGCUUUUAUGAGUUUAAUGAAUGGGGUGCUCAAGCCAUUUCUUUAUUCUUUCAUGAUAGUCUUUAUUGAUGAUAUUUUGGUCUAUUCGAAAAAGUGAGGAGGAGCAUGCCGACCAUCUUUGUAUUGUUUUGGGUGUUCUUGGGAAGCAAAAAGUUAUAUGCGAAAUUUUUUAAGUGUGUAAUUUUGGUUGACUUCUGUGGCAUUUUUUGGGACAUGUAGUUUCAAAAGAAGGGGAUGUAGAUCACCCAUAGGAUGGUUCGAGGCUGGGGAUGUGAAACCUUUGGGGGUUGAUUUAGUGAAGAAUGCUCAAGAUAAGGUGAUGAGUAUUCAAUUUAAACUUUUAGCAGCCUAAAGUAGACAGAAGAAGUAUGCAGAUCAUAAGGUAAAAGAAAUGGCGUUUCAAACCGGUGAAAAUGUUCUUCUUAAGGUAUCACCCAUGAAAUGGGUGAUGAGAUUUGGUAAGAAGGGCAAACUAAGUCCGCGUUACAUUGGUCCCUUUGAGGUUCUUGAAUGUGUAGGACCGGUAGUGUAUCGAUUGGUUUUACCUCCUAAUCUAUCGGGUGUUCAUCCAGUAUUUCAUGUGUCCAUGUUGAAGAGAUAUCAUAGUGACGGGGAUUAUAUCNNNNNNNNNNNNNNNNNNNNNNNNNNNNNNNNNNNNNNNNNNNNNNNNNNNNNNNNNNNNNNNNNNNNNNNNNNNNNNNNNNNNNNNNNNNNNNNNNNNNNNNNNNNNNNNNNNNNNNNNNNNNNNNNNNNNNNNNNNNNNNNNNGGUUCCGUCGUUAUAGAAAAGCCAACGGGGAAAAAUUUUGGGUUAGAAAACUUUUUCGUAGUAUUUGAAUUUCCCAGCCUAGUCCAGAUUUGGAUGAAAUCGGAGUUUUUAAGGUGUAGGGAAAUCUGGUAGCAAUUGUUUGAUUUAUUUAUAAUUCUAGUUACAUGAGUAGUUAGAUAACUCGUUAAGGAAUCCGUACGACUUUACAAAAUUGAAUUCAUGCGAGUAGACCUCCCAGAAUCGAUCUUAGCGUGAAGGGUAUUUUUUUAGCGUCGUGGGUUAGAGGUGUGUUGUGAAAUGAGAAUUUUGGAAUUCUUUAAAAUAGCUCACUAGUUCGUGCAAGCCGCCUUGGUGGGGGUUCUGUCCGCUAUGGCGGGACCGCUGAAACGGGAUAAGAGCCGUUGUGGCGGGUUCAACGUGACUUAAGGUCGUAAAUAAACCCCUAAACGACCUCAUUCUGCACUUUUCGAUUUUUAGAGCUAAAGAACAAACCCUAGACGAGUCCUAACAAUUUUCCACCAUUCUUGAGGCUAAAGGUAAGAUUUUAACUCCCCGAAUUCAUUUUUUUGAUCCGUAGAACGUAAUAGAAUGGGUAAUUAUCGAUGGGGGAAGGUUUUGAUCUAGAAAACUAUGGUGGAAAAAUCCCUAAUUUGGAUACUUGGGAUCAUGGGUAUGAUCUAGGGUUGUUAGAAUUGUUAGUAAUCCGGGUAAUUUAGUGAUUGUUUAUUGAUUCCCGUAUUAUAUUGAUUGUUUGUAGACUAAGAACAAGCGGAAUGAAUCUGGAAAGAGAAGGAACAAGUUUCUUAGGGUUUGAAGCUUGUUUCGAGGUAGGAUUGUUUGUAGACCAAGAACAAGCGGAACGAAUCCGAAAAGGGAAGGAUCAAGCUUAUUAGGGUUUCAAGCUUGUUUCGAGGUAGGUGAUGGUUGUAAUUCUAUGGUUGUGUGAUGUAUGUUUGUCUUGCAUUUAUUAUGAUACAUGUAUGUAUAUGGAUGUUGCAUUAUUGAUCACACUUGUUGCAAAUGAGGAUGUAUAAUUGAUUAAUACCAUGAAUCAUGACUUGGUUGUAUGAUUAUGAGAGUUUACUGGUGAUUGUGAUUGUGGCUUGUUGAAUGGAUCGGUUGCCACGUUCUGGCAUAACUAACUUGGAUUGGUUGCCACGUUCCGGCAUAAUUAUGGGAUCGGUUGCCACGUUCCGGCAUAAACAUUGGAUCGGGUACCACGUUCCGAUAAGCUAAUUGUUUGGGUUUGGGUUUUAUGAGAGGACCAAUGACUUGUCAUAAUUGUGUAUCUUGAGAAAUGUAAAGUUGUUCGUUGUUCGUAAAUGUUGAUAAUAUUGUAUAUGUUUGAUAUAUGCAUGUGAUUAUAUUGUUGUUUGACUUAUGUAUGUUGCACUUAGUGGGAUAGCCGCGUGAUCCUACCAGUACACUGUGGUUAUGUACUAAUACUGCACUUGCUCUUAUUUUUGUUGAGUAUAGGGCAUCUUCAAGCAACUACUGACAUACCUCGCUUAGGAGAUCAGUGAUCGUUUGAAUUCAAGGGUGAGCCAAUUAUUUCGGGCUGCCAUGGGUUCUCUUCGUCUUUGUCCACUAUUUCCGGACUUAGACUAUGUUCUAGUUAGUUGAUUAGUUCAUUAGAUUGGGGUUGCAUCCCUUCUUGUUUAGACUUGUUGAACUUUAGAUGUUUUGGUACAUUGACUUUCAGGUUCUAGGUUAUUUCUUGUGCAUUGUUUAGUUCGUUGUUAGACCUUUGUUGGAGUUUAUGGGAACUCCCUAUUUCUUCUUAGCAUUUAACUUGCUUCCGUAACUUUAAUGCCUUAGUAUUUUGAUUAAAGUUGGUUAGCUAAUUAGUAUUAAUGGUUCUCCCAUCAAAGGGUUAGUGUGGGUGCCAAUCACGAUGGUCGGGGUCGUGACAAACAGUCUAAGUCCUAGCUCAGCUUUGAUAUACCUUACCACCCUCAAAGUUGCCUCUAUAUGUGACUUUUUUGGUUUUUGCAUAAAUUGACUCAACACAUGUACUGCAUAUGUUAUAUCCACUCUAGUCAUUGUUAGGUAGAGUAGUCCUCCAAUAUGUUUUUUAUUGUUCAGUGACUCCACCUGUUAGAUUCUUCACAUGCUAAAGUUAAUUUGAUAUUGGAUUCCAUAAGUGUGUUGCCUGGUUUAGCUCCACUUAGUCCCAUCUCAACAACUAGUUCUAGAGCAUACUUUCUUUGGCUCAUGUGAAUUCCUUGUUGUGACCUUGCAAAUUCAAUCCCAAGAAGAACUUCAGUUGUCCCAAAUCUUUCAUCUUGAAUUUCAGCUUCAGAUCAUUUCUAGUGUGUAAUAUCAACUCUGAACUGCUACCAGUGACAAGCAAAUCAUCCACAUAUACUAAAACUACAUCUAUAUGAGAGCUUGUCCUCUUGGUAAACAAAGAAUAGUCAAAAUGGCGUUGAGAAAAACCAACUUGUACCAAAGCUUCAGUAAGUUUUUUGUUCCAUUGUCUAGGUGCCUGCUUUAGGCCAUACAAAGAUUUAUUGAGCCUGCAAACCUUCCCUUUUUUACUACCAAACCCUUGAGGAACAUGCCUAUACACUUUUUCAAAGAGAUCACCAUGUAGAGAGGCAUUGUGCACAUUCAUCUGAAAGAUGGGCCAGUGCUUAGCAGCAACAAUUGCAACAACACUCUUUACAGUUACCAUUUUAGCUACAGGUGAUAAAGUGUCAGUGUAAUCCAAUCCCUCCUUCUAACUGAAUCAUUUGGCCACUAGUCGAGCCUUAUACCUCUCAACUUCACCAUUUGCCUUGUGUUUGAUUUUGAAGACCCAUUUACACCCAAUAGGAGAUUUACCAGAGGGAAGGUCCACUAGGGUCCAAGUAUGAUUAUCCUCCAGGGCAGCGAUUUUUGAUUUCAUAGCAUCAAUCCAAACAGAGCUCUUAACAACCUCAUAGUAGCUAGAAGGCUCUGAAGUAGCUGAGUAAGCAGUAAGUGCAGCAUUAUAGGACUCAGACAAGCAAUCAUACUUGACAUAGUUGGAGAUGAGAAACAAACAUAAGCUAGGACCCUGAGAGGAAACAACAUAAUCCUGCAUCCAUAUGGGGGGUUUGGUGAUGCUAUGAGACUUUCUGAGAGGCAUAGCAUGAAUGGGUAGAGGAGGAACAUCACUAGGCUCAAGAGACUCAACAUGAUCAUAUACAGUGUGAUCAACAUCAUCUGAAGGAGGUAAAUGGAAUUUCAUACAAUCAGAUGAGUGGUAGUUUUCUAGAGCCUAAGUCAUACUAAAUACAUGAGAACACUGCUGCAAUGAAUGUUAAAAAGGGAACACAUCAUCUUUGAAUACCACAUCCCUGCUCACUAUAAAUGAUUCUGCAUGAGUGAGGGAAUAACUAAGAAAAACUACAGGUGCAGCUCUAGGAAAGAAUUUAUUUGACUUUCUAAGGCAAGUAACAUAACCCAAAUAGUCAAAGACUCUCAAGUGACUGAUCUCAGGAAGAUGCCCGUGAAGAAUUUCAAAGGGAACCUUACCUUUGAGUGAGGAGGAGGGCAACCUAUUGAUAAGAUAAACAACAGUAGUGACACACUCUCCCCAGAACUUGAGAGGAACAUUAGCUUGAAAUUUUAUAGCUCUUGUAGUAUCCAAGAUAUAUCCAUGCUUUCUCUCAACUACCCCAUUUUUUUGGGGUGUAUAGACACAAGAACUUUGGUGUACAAUACCUAAAUAUCUCAAUAAUUUUGAAACCUGAAAGUUGAAGAACUCACAUCCAUUAUCUGUCCUUAGAAAUUUAACUACUGUAAAAUACACAUUCUUGAUCAUCAACAUAAAAUCAGUGAGUGCCACUAUAACCUCAGAUUUGGAGUUAAGGAUUAAUAACCAGGUGAAUCUAGAGUGAUCAUCAACUAAUGUGAGAAAAUAUUUCUUCCCAUCAUAAGUUGGCACCCUAUAAGGACCCCAUACAUCACCAUGAAUAAGAUUAAAGCAGGCAUUAGACAUUGUAGAACUAAGACGAAAAUGAAGUCUUGAUUUCUGAGCCAAAGGACAUACAAUACAAUGAUCAGAAUCAGAUUCAGUCAUACAGAGGCUAUCAAGACAUUUUAGCUUCUUUAAUGUGUCUAUAGGAGCAUGACCUAACCUCUUAUGCCAUAGGGCUAGGGCCAAAUUAUUCUUCUGGUUCUAAUUUGAAAAGAACAACAACUAGACUUGUAGAGAUCUUUAUUUUCAGCAUCAGACUUCAGAUAGUUGCAAGCAUAGUUCAUCACAUACAUGCCUUGAACAUAAUUACCAAUCCCUCUCACCCUUCCGCUGAAGAGAUCCUGAAAAAUACAAAAGUCAAGGUAUAAGAUGACUGAGCAUUGUAACUCCCUUGUAAGUUUAGAUACUGAUAGCAAAUUAUGUUGGAACUCAUGCAUGCACAUGACAUUAUGUAUCUUUUGAUUGUUCAAAACUGCAGUAGAUCCUAAAUAGCUAAAUUUUACAACACCACCAGUAGGUAGAAAAACAUUACCAGAACUAGGAUUAAAGAAAGCUCUAGUAUCAGUUAAAACUUUGGGAACAUUAACCAUGUGAUGGGUAGCUCCUGUAUCCACUAUCUAGUUAACAACAUCAGUAGGAGAUAUGGUGUAAUUAGACAUACCUGUUGAUAGAGUUGUACCAUUGUUAUCAAUUCCUUGGUCAAUCAGAUGAAAUAUUUGAUGAUAUUGUUCAGGAGUGAAGUAAGGUCCAUUUGCAUUUGAACCAUACUGCUGAUAAUGAGUCAUCACCUGUGCUGAACUGUCACUAAGAUGACCUGCAACAUUUGGUGAUCCCUUGUUGGUAGAGAUACUUCUUGAACUGCCUAGUUCAAAAGUAGGAUUCCUUUGCCAUUGAGAGCCAUAUUCACCAGCAGCAUAGUGUGCAGCACCUCUUCUCCCUGAUGUGGAAGCUGAAUUUGGACUAAACUUUUUCUUGGAAUUGUAUUUGAAAUUCGCUGGAUAACCAUAUAGUCUUUAACAGAUGCUUUUGGUAUGGCCAGUGUUAUGACAGUAGUCAUAGUAUAGAUGUUGAUUACUCUUUUUAAACUUAAAGCUGGAAUCAGAAUUAGUAGAUACACCUGAGAUGGAGCCACCACCUCCACAUCCAUUAUAACUACCUCCAUUGUAACUAUGUCCAGCUCCGGAACUAGAAGUACCUCCAUUAUAGGCAGACCUGUAGGGUGUAGUUUUUGAACCACCAUCACUCACUUCAGUAGAAUGAGAAGCAUUCCCUAAUGAUCUUUGACUCUCCUCUAAAAUCAACAUGGAUUAAGCUUGAUUGAUUGAGGGUGUGGGAGUCAUCAUAAGGAUUUGACUACGACUCAGCAUAGGAGUCAUUUAGACCAGUCAAAAAUUGAAGCAGCCUUUGAUAGUCAAAGUGAUGCACAUAAGCCCUGGAUUUCGGACAAUUACAUCCUGGACAUGACAUUAUUGCAUCAAACUCAUCCCAUCACUCUCGUAAUCUAGAAUAAUAGCUAGAUAUAGUGGUAGUGCCCUAAGACAUUGUAUGAAUUUCCUUGUGAAGAAAAUGAAUCCUCGAUCCAUUAACAUUAUCAAAACGUUCUUUUAGAUCUGUCCAUACCUUAGAAGCAUUAGAGUCAUAGAUGACACUGCUCAAGAGAUCCUUUCUAAUAGAAUUGAUGAUCCACGAGAGGACUAUGGCGUUACAUUUCUUUCAUAGAUCAUGGAGUGCAGGGGAAAAAAAUUCUCUAGGAUGCUUACCAUCAACGAAUCCCAGUUUACUUUUUCCGAGCAAACCCAGACGCAUCGACCUACUCCAGAUCGCAUAAUUUUCUAGACCGGUGAGCUGAAUCGAGACCACAGAACUACCGGGAGAAUUACUCGAUUGAAGAAAUAGGGGUGAUUAUGAUCAAUCUCAAAUACACGAUCUAUUGCGGGUGCAAUGACAGGCUGAUCUUCAACCGCCAUUGCAGAUAUCUCUGAGAAAAGCUAAGUAUACUAACAGAGUGUAGACGAAUUAACUAUCAACACUGAAUCUCUGCUAAAUCGAAUACCAAAGCUCUGAUACCAUGAUGAAUUACAGAGAAAACAGUAAUGGUGAAUGAAUCUAGACAUGAGAUGCAGUAAGAUACAUGGGAGAAAGAAGAAUGAACCUUCUCAUUAUCAAUAAAAGCAUCUAAUCAAUUCAGUGCUAAUACAUCUCUAUUUAUAGAGCAGUAACUAAGCUUAACUAACUCUAACAAUCUAGUAACUAACUUUAGCUAGUCUGUUACAUAGAGCCUGAUUAAGCUUAAACUAAAACAACUGACAUCUUUUAGUCAUAUCUAUAAUUUCACAUAAAUGACCUUAUUAGAAUAUAUUCAUAUUAUAUAUAUUAAUAUUUUACCUAUAUUAUUAAAUAAUUAUAUAUCUUACUAUUAAUUAAGAGUUUUCUAUCAUAUAUUGAGGAAGAUACACUUAAAUACAUGUGUUUUUGCUAUCAAAUACACAUUAAUAGGGUGACAGGCAAGCGAGAUGGGGAGGGAUAUGAGUGAAAUAGUCAUGUAUCAUAGAUACAUGCGAAUCACACUACAUACAUGUAUUUGUAGGCAUCUAGACAAAUCUGAACGCACCAAAUUUGGUAAAAUUCUUAAAAUUGUAAAAUAAAGUGUAUCUAAGUAAUUAACUCCUAAACUAUCUAGUAGGAUUUCGGUAAGUUUCCCUUUACAUAAAAGCAAAAUUCAGAGUUAUUACAACAUGGAAUUAAUGUGGUAGAUGCAAUCUCUAAAAAUAAAAUAGGGUGGUUCAUUCCAAAAGAUAUCAGUCUCCAUUGCAAGUUCAUGUGAGCCCCCAUGUACUCCAAAAUAAAAUCGUUGUUGGCAUAUCUUGAGCAUCGUAUUCUAACUUUUAAGCUAAAUGAGGGUUUGUAUGGACGUGAUUUUAAAUUAUAGGUUGAUUUGAAGAACAAAAUUUUAUUUGGACAAGUAAUUUAAAUUUUUUUAAUUGUAUUUUUUUUUCCUUAUGAACAUAAAAAUUUCAUAAUUUGUGAAAGGUGAAAACUAUCAAAACUUUCCCAACAAUUAUACAAAUCUUACCAUGCAUGUGAUCAAUCAUAGUUCAUAAACAAGGUAUUAGAAUAUUCUAAGUUUCCAAAUAAAUAAAUCUCAUAUUAUAAAUGAAUAUUUGUGGUUAUAUGUUAUUACACACUUUCAAAUACACAUAGUUUUACAAAGACUCAUUGAUCCAAUAAAUCAAUAAUAGUAGUAAUUAACUAUUUUUUGAUAAAAUCCUCCUACACAGUACAAAAAAUCUCUUUACGUCGAGCAUGCAUCGUAUUUGUAAAAUAUAAAUUUAUGGUUCAAAUUUUAUAUUUAAAAGAAUCUGGAAUUCCAAAUCCUAAUUUUUGGAAAAUUUAAGAUUUGAAAUUAUGAUCUGAAAUUGAAAUUUUAUACAAAUUCUAUAAACAAACACCAAUUUGAAAUCGGCUCCCAAAUAUUAUGCCCAGAAACUAAGUAAUUGUCCUUGUUUUGCUAUUUCAAUUCUCCUAUACUACGUACUAUAUUAAGUUAGAGAGGUGCCAUAAUAAUAAAUAAAGGAAGCAUAAUGGCCCCAUUAUGGACAAUAAUUAAAAUGAGACAAGUUCCAUAUGGAAUUUGAAGUUUAUGAAUUAAUACUAUAAUAUUAAUAGUGGGAUUUACAAUCAAAUUUUUUAUAUUUUAAAGUAAAAUUAUCAUAUGAAAUUUGAGUAAAAAACAUCCUGACUUUAAAGAACAAAACUUUUAACCUACUAGACCAUCUUGCCAAAGGAUGCUAGCUCAUUGUGUAUAUAUGUGUAUAUGUAUGUAUAUAUGUGUAUAUGUAUGUAUAUAUGUGUAUAUGUAUGUAUAUAUGUGUAUAUGUAUGUAUAUAUGUGUAUAUGUAUGUAUAUAUGUGUAUAUGUAUGUAUAUAUGUGUAUAUGUAUGUAUAUAUGUGUAUAUGUAUGUAUAUAUGUGUAUAUGUAUGUAUAUAUGUGUAUAUGUAUGUAUAUAUGUGUAUAUGUAUGUAUAUAUGUGUAUAUGUAUGUAUAUAUGUGUAUAUGUAUGUAUAUGUAUAUAUAUGUAUGUAUAUAUGUAUAUAUAUAUGUGUGUAUAUGUAUGUAUAUAUGUGUAUAUGUAUGUAUAUAUGUAUAUAUAUAUGAGUGUGUGUGAGCGCAAUUUAUAGCAUUUAACCUAUAGAAAAUAUAAAAAUCUUCCAAUGAAAGUGAAUUCAUUUGAAUCCUCUUGAUCUUAUGUCGCCACGGAGGUGGUUUUCGUAUUACAUUAUUGGGUGCGUGAAUAAAAUGUUAUAUUAUUAGUUGAAAAGAUUAAGAAAGUUUAAUAUAAGUAGGAAUAUUCUCAAUGGCAAAACUUUUUGUAAAGUACUGGGCAGGCUUAGUCCAAAAUAGAUAAUAUUUCAUCAUGUUGAGAAUAUAACAUAUCUAGUCUUAAUAUAGCCCAUCAUUUGAUCGUAUCAGAGCCAAUGAUUUGAUGAUAAACAUAUCGAAAUGACAAAGUGAUGACAUGGGAUCAUGAUGUUUCUCUGUCUAUUGUCAAAGAUAGCUUGAAAAUACACACACAAAAAAAGGUCUCAAUACAAUAUGUCUUUGUAGCUACUAGGUGAUAUUAUCAUCCCUCAGUGCAGAAGACCUAAUAAUUUUACAAUCCUCUGAUGUUAAUAGCUAUAUAUACAUAAAAAAAAAUAAAAAAAAAUAAAAAAAUAGCUAUAUACAUAAAAACUCAGCUUAUAAAAAAAGUUUAUUUUAUCGAACUUUGUCCUUAAUGAUAGGCAUUUAGCACAAGUUAUUGUAGACCCUUAAUGGAUUAAAAGAUUGAGAAGAUGCAUAGAAGAUAAGAAUACUCCUAAUAGAGUCAGAUUUCUUGAGGAAAAUCUUAUUGAUUUAGUCCUAAAUUAAUAAUAUCACAGUCUAUAUAACGCAAUAAAAUUUCCUGUAAAAUCAUACGGUUUUUAACAUAUUAAGUGACAUUAAAUUUUAAAAAUUGUCAAAUAAUCAGAAAAGAUUCAUUUUUUUUCAAACAAACUAAUAAAGAAAAUAAAGUAAGCAACUUGAUAUAAAACAAAACAAAUACAAAUUUUGAAAUAAGUACCUUCAAUGAAAUAAUGUUGAAUUAAGGAUAAUUCAAUUAAAAAAAGUAAAUUUCUUAGAUAGUUAAUCAUGUUUGAAAAUUUAUCCUAUAAUAUUACUUUUUAUUUUUUUUAGAAUCAUAAUAUCACUCAACUAUUUAUAUUUUUCUCAAAAUAUAUUCUUCUCUUCUAAUGAAAUGUCAUGUCACAACAUUCUUUUUCUUUUAACAAAAAGUUUUUAACAAUACAAUAAAAGUUUAUUUAAUGAAUAUAUAAGCAACUUCUUUUAGGUAUACAGUUGAAGCAUUUACCCCAUUCUUAAAUAUUAUAGAAGGUAUCACAUUUUUAAUUACAAUAAACUAAUAUUUAUUGGGAAAACUGCAUAAAUUCCACUACUUUAGGUCCUAAUUACUAAGAUUCUCGAUACUUUCAAAUAUUACUUCCUCUACUAUAUUUCGUGCCUAGGAUACAUGAGUCUGAAUUCAUGAGAUACAUGUAUCUGUCGAAUUUUUAAACCUUGAUACAUAUUUUAUUUGCUUAAAUUAAUUGAUUGUAAUUGAUUUCCUUAUUUAGAGGAGUGAGGAUUUUCAAAACAUAUAGACAAUUAAUUUUGAAAAUUUAAAUUAAUUAAAUCCCUUAAUGUAAGACGGAAAUCAAGGAGUGUAUCUUCGUUUAAUUUAUUUUAUUUAUUAUUUUUUGAAAUAACAAUUUCAUUAAUAUUAAUAAAAAGACAAAAACAUGUAUAACUAGGUCAUGUAAUUUGAUUAAUUUCAUUUUAUUACUCUUAAAAUAAUAAAUUCAUUAAUUUGAUGUAUCUAUUAUAAUAUAUAAUGUAUCCAAUAAACUAAACACUUAGAUACAUGGGUAUCAUACAAGUACAUUUAUAUGUAUCAUAAAAGUAUCUAGUAUUAAAUUCAUGUAUAUGUUAUCUGUAUCUACUAUUAAUUCCAUGUCUCUAUUUAUAUGAUCUAAUAUUAUUUCAUGUAUCUUUUAUAUAUAUAAUUUGAUGUAUCAAGUAUCAAUUUCAUACAUUAUAUUAAAAAAUAUGUAUCUCGGAUAAAUACGAAAAUAGUUAGAUACAUGAUAAAAGACAGAUACAUGACAUAACAAAUUGUGUCAAAUACAUGCGUAAAUCUCCAAUAUAUUUAUUAGAUACAUACACACUUAAUAAGAUACACUGAUAACGUCUAGAUCCAACGGGAGAAGUGACGCAAAAUUUUCUACACUACAACAAAUAUGAUAUAUAGCUACAAAAUUAUUAGCUACGACAUCAAAUUCGUCACUAGUUGUUCGCUUUUAGUGAUAAAAUUUACUUUUCGUGCUUAAAUAUAUGAGACACAUACUUUUAGUGACGAAACAUAAAAAUCCGUAGCAAAGUUUUGUCCACUAAAGUUUCCCACCAAAAAGUUAAUUGGCGUCAUUUUGUUAAGUAGUGUUAGUCACGAAUUUAAAUUUAUCGGUGACACGUUAUUUAUUCACUAAUAAUGUAUCUAAUUCACGACAAAUUAUUUUUUGUCUUAAAAUUUAUCAACUUUUGGACACAAAAAAUUUCAUCUAAAAAAAUAUGUUGUUACAAUAUCAACAAAUUAGAGUUCGUAGUUAAAUAUUAUAAGUUUUAGUUAUAAAAUUUAGAUUUAACUAUGACAUUUAUUUUUGUGACAAUAAAAAAUUUGUCACAAAAUAUGUAAGGUGUUAAAUAGCGACGACUUAAAUUUUGUAGUGAAUAAUUCAACUAUUUGCUACGAAAAAAAUUCAUAGCUAAAUACAAAUUUUUUUUGUUACAAUUGUUCAUAAUUACAAGUGACAACUGACAAAAAGAAUAAUACAAGUUCUUCAUAAGAAAUAGACAGAGUCCAUUCGUUAAUUGGCGAAGAAAAAUAUUAAAACCAACGAAUUCAGUUGAUUUUGUAAAAAUGAAAAAGUUAAAUUCAUCAAUUUUCUUAAAUUACGCAAUUAUAAAAUGCAUCAUCUGAAAAAUACUAUCCAGGUUAUAAGUGCCGUGAUUGGGGUACAAUUCUACCACUAGAUCGCUAAUAUUUGUUGGUUUGACACUUUUGUUUUUUAUUUGAUACACUUUCAUCGAUAAAGACGAUAAAACAAAUAAUUUCUCAAGUCUUGGUGCUAAUUUUUGUGCGUGUCUAUUGAUUUGUGACUGGUAAACUGCAUAGACUAAGUCGAUCUAUUUUCUUCUGUCUAGAAAAUUUAAUAGUAAUUCCACAUACGUAUGUAGAGCAACUAUACGGAGAUAACAUCGACUUACAAACUUAGACUUUGCAAAGGUGCAAAAUAUUUCAUGAAUUUCUAUUAACUUUUUCCAUCCGUGUGAAAAUUGAAUAAACUAAAAAAUGAAAGCACAAACGAAAGAAAUGAACCAACUAGGAUUUCAAAUAUAUUAUGAUGAAGUACUAUAGUUAUGGGUAUCAAUGUUUUUUUCAAAAGAAUUGAUUUACAUAUAGAAUUGAACCGAUUAUUCAAUUUUUUUAUAAAAUCGAAAGUUUAAUUUUAUAUAAAUUUAUAAUUGUACUGAAUAAUUUUUAAAAUUCAUACAAAUAAAUAAUAAAAUGAAAGAAUCGUACUGAAUAUAUUUAAAGAUAUUUUAAAAAAUAUACAGUUUAAUUAAAAUACAAUCUACAUUUAUAUUUCUAUAGAAGUUAAAUUUGAAAGAAGUGAAUGAAGUUAAAAAUAAAAUAAAAAUGAGAGACAAGAGAGUUGAUUGGAUGGUAAGCUCUCCUCACUUCCAAGCUUAAGGUGGUGAGUUCAAGUCCCCAAGAAAGCAUAAUGUGGUAGCUCCUCGGGAGGGGUUAAAAAAAAUUGAGAUUAGGGGAGACAAUAGGAAAAUUAACCUUUUUUAUAAUAAUAAAUUUAUCCCUAAUUGAUACAUUUAAGAACAAAAUAAUUUUUUGUGUAUAAAAUAUAGUCAUUAGUGACGAAAUUAGAUUUUGUUCAACUACGAAAUAAAUAUAACUUUAGAGACAAUUGAUGUCACCAUUGAUUGAAGUAAAAUAAUUAGCGACGAUAUAAUUUUGUCAGUAUUAAUAACCUUUUUGGUGACAAAGCAUACUAUUAACUACAAAAAAAUAUACUUUUUACGAAAAAUAAAUUUGUCACAAAUGUUUAAGAAUUUGAGGACGAUUUUUUUUUUGUAGUUAAUAUAAUACUUUUAGCGACGAAGCACUAAAUCGUGUUUGUAUACUUUUAGCGACACACAUUGUAACAUCUCGCAAUUUGAAACUACUAGGAAGAAGCUUAUAAUUGGAAAUAGUCAUUUUUAGAAAGAAUUAAAAUCUGGAAAUUUGUUUAAGUUAGGAAAAGUGAGACUUUGGUCAACUUCAAACGUCCAUAACUCCUAGCUCAGAAUGAGUUAGGUGUAGUUUCAUAUGUGGUUGGAAAGACCUUGGAAUGUUCUUUUCAACGCCGCCGAGGUUGCAUGAUUCCAAGUUCGUAUGAGAGAGUUAUGCCCUUUGGAAGUUGGGCUGAUGGAAUAAGGAAAUGUCCAAUCCGGAUUUUUAAUGGGUGUUUUGGUCUUUUCCUUACCCUUUUAUUUUAAUUCAUUUUUGGGUUAGAUUUUUUGUAUAUGAUUUGGGUACAUGAAUCUAAAGUGAAUUUGGGAAAAAGAAUCGGAUUAAAAUGAUUUAGGAUCAGAAAACGAGACUGAACGUUCGUCAGAAAUUUGCCUAAGGAACAGGUAGCGCGAUAGCGCCAGGAGGCUGGGACGGCGUGCCUGCAAUUCGUCCAAAACAAGCCCCAGUAAGUUAGGGCCUGGCACGGCGCGCCAGGGACGCGCCCGAAUCGGCGUUUUUCACCAGUUUUUCGUCGUUUAGCCUAUUUAAGUUAUUCUAAAGUGUCCUAACACUUUCCAUUGAUUCUAACUACUCUAAAUGACUUCUAAACACCUAGAAAUCAUCCAUAAAUAUGAAUCAUAACCUUGAAUCCAUAAAUUCAAAAUUCAAGGGAAGUCAAGAGCCAAGUCUAGGAAGUUUUCAAAGUCUUUCCAAGAAGUCUUUUGCAAAUGCUUUUAACCUUGUUUUAAGACUUAAAGUUCAAGUUGAGUAAAGAGUAAAGAUUAUAGAUUGAAGUUCAUUUCUUCAAAAAGUAUAUGGGGACUAAGUAUUCCCAAAGAGAUUUAAAAUAUUUUUCACAUUUAAAUAAGAACGGCUGAGAUUUCCAAAGAGCAUUCGGGCUAGUUUUCAGAAAAGAGUAAUAGCUUUCUAAAUGAAGCAAGCAGGGAAACUGAGAUUUCCAAGAUAGCCUUUGAGCUAACUUUUUAAGCACUAAUCUCAAAUCACAUAAGAAGUAUGUUUUUAAACAUAAGAGCUAAUAUUAUAUUAUUAUAUUUUUGGGAGUAGUAUUGAACACCGAUAUGGAGACGAGCUUGAGUUCAGAUAACUCACGGCUCCAUAAACCAUGUAAACAUCAUGGGUAGAAAAUGAUCAUACAUUUUAGAUGAAUCCUCUUCGCAUAGACUAGUGGAUCCACUUAGUAGUUCAGGUCCUAUACCACGGCAAGGUAUAGGAUGACCCGGGCAACGUGGGGCUAAUAACGUUGUAUCAUCACUAUAGUUCUUAAGUGAUGGUUGUCGAUUAGAGAAACUCCCACAAUAGUAAUUGCAUGGUUCCUCAAGGGGUUCUGCUUAGUAUGGAUGUGAGUAUAGGACUUCAUUCAUGCAUUGCACAAGUAGACUGUGAGAGAGAUCAUGAUAUGUCUUUUAUGAUUUUAUGAUUAUGAGUUGACUGCAUGUUUUAAACAGUUUUCUUUUUCUUUAUAUUGCACUUGUUUUAAACUGCUUUAUAAUGAAAUGAGUUCAGUUAAGUAUUCAUGAGUUGAGAAGAGCCAAGGUAAGUGUUUCUUUCAGAUCCUUUUCAAGCCUAUGUUAUGUUUACCAUUACAACUCGCAUACCCAUACAUUCAAUGUACUGAUGCCAGUUGGCCUACAUCGUCUUAUGAUGCAGACGCAGGUAACUAAGAUCGGCAUUUCGACGCAUCGUUGAUCCAGUGAGUAGUUCAGAGUCUGUUGGUGAGCUUCCUUGCAUUCCGGAUGAUCCAUUCCAUUGUUUUAUAGUUUUGUUCAUUAGGAUGUUGUGGGGUUUGUCCCAACAUCCAUCUCAGUUGUUAUUAGAGGCUUCAUAGACAAUCAGAUGUUAGUUCUUUAGUCUUUUCAUUGUCAUUAUUUCAUGUUGAGACUUGAGUUUGCCUUAAUGGCCAAUUGAAUGUUCCUUUUAUAACAUUCCAGUUUAUUAUACGAACUUAUCUUUGUUGAGUUUAAGUCUUCCGCUGAGUAAGUAAGUCAGGCCAAGGGUUCGCUUGGGGCCAGCAAUGGUCUUCGAGUGCUAGUCUCACCCAGGGUGUAGGCUCGGGCGUGACACACAUUUAGUGACGACUGAUUGACGAAUUAUUUUUCGUCUCACAAAAUUUUUAGUGACGAAAUAUGAUUUAUAAAUGACGAAAUUAUUUGUCCCUAAUGAUCGAAUUGUUUGUAGUGCUAGUUGAGUAUGUAAUCAGUACCAUUGUCAAUGUCAAAUUUGAUAAAUCUAUUGUGCAUGAAAUCUCUGCUUACAACAAUACCCAUUGUCUCUACGCGCGAGAGGCGUCUCCCCUUUCGAGAAAAAAUGGUGGGUACAUGGGGGAUUGGUUUGAGAGUGGGAAAAUCAAAGGCUAAGAGUUUGACGUGUGUGUUGACAAGUUGUAGAACAUCAAUUUUAAUGGAGUGUUUCUUCUCACUGACUACAGAUCAAGGGAAGAAAAAAAGGAAGAGUUAGAGUUUUACCCUAACUCAUAUUCCCUGAGAGAAAGAUAUUUGUUUUUAAUUAAAAUGUUAAUUUUGGAGUUUAAAUGUAAAGCUAAUUAAUCAAACCUAAUUUUAAGAGAGGUGGGUAUUUGAUUGUAUCUUUAAUAAUAUAUGGUAUAAUUAUUAAAAAGUGGUAAAUAUAAUGUAAUUGUUUUGAAAAGUAGAGGUAAAAUUCGUAUAUAUGGUAGUGAUGUAUGUCUAAUAAAAUAGUUUAUCCUAUUUAUUAUCUAUUUUUCAAUAUUUUAAAAUAAAACCCAAUUAAGAACUAUGUCUAGAUAGGGGUGAACAAAAUCGAACAGAAAAUCGUACUAAAUCACAAACUGAGUUAGACCAAGAAAAAAAUCGACUAGCUAUUUUGUUUGACUUGAUUUGGUAUUGGAGAAUUAAACUCUGACUAUACUUGGGUUGGUUUGGUUUUAACUUUAAAAAGUCAAUCCGAGACCAAACCAACCCAACAUCCUCUAUAUAUCAUGUCUAUUGCUAACAUGCGGAGAAGAGGGGGUUCAACAUAUAAAGAAGUAAAUCAAAGAAUGGAGCAAAACGGAUCGGGGAAGAAAAAAAUUGUCCUUAAUCCAUUAAAUUUAACUUGCCUUGUCAUGCCGCGUUUAACGUUUCUUCCUACUUUUACCCUGCUUCAUUGAUUCUUUUUAUAUAAAAAAAAAGUGAUUUUUUUCUUUUAUUUUUUAUUGUUUUACUUUAUUUUGAAUUUUUAAAAUAAAUUAAAUUAGUGUUCAUUCAAUCAUAUGUUACUUUAAAAAUUGUUGAAUAGUCUUUAAAAAUGUGUGUGAUUGAGUUACUAAUAUUACAAUGAUUAUUAAAAGGAUAAAUAAAUGGCAUCGCCAAUUUUUUGUUCAUUUAUUCAAUUUAUAAGGUUUUUCAUUGGUAAAAAAAAAAGACGAAUAAAUCAAAUAAAUGUAGUUUACAUCUCUCUAGAAUAGAACUGAAAAAAUGAGAAAGAAAUAUCAUGAAUAAUCAUGCCUUUCAAAUUUAAAAUAAUUGACAGUUAGUUAGAUUUGAUUUAUAGAUUAAAAAAGUCGACACAAAUAAUUUGAUUUGGUAUUUAAAAAACCCGGACCAAUCCGAUCCAUGUACACCCAUAGUCCUAGAUAUCAAACUUAUACUAUUGUGUCUUAGAGUUCCAAUUAACAUACUUACAAAAGAGGGGACAUAUGACCUACAUACUAGACUUUUAACAAGUCUUGAUGUGAAAAAAAAGGAUUUUGAUCUUAGAAAACUAAAACUGGUCCUAAAAAUUUGAAUUUAUACAGUUGACAUCUCUAUUACUGAUUUUUUUUUGUCACCUCAAACUAAAAGCAUAUAACAUGACUCAGAAUGUGGAUGUAUGUAAAACUUUAAAAUAAUUAUGAAGUGCACAAAAUCAUUUUUCAAGUGACCCCUCUAAUCACUUUCUGUGAGAUAUGGAGAAAUUAAACAUCACAAAAAUAAUGGGACAACACCAAGUUAAACAGAUUCAAGAUAGUGCAGAAGAUCAUCAGAGACACUACUCAUGUUUUGAAGAUGCAGAAGUGAAAGUUAUGCAUUGUUGUUAUAGUGAAGCUAAUCAAGUAACAAAAAUAAACUUCAUAGCUAAAAUGACAUCUUCAAGUGGAAGUAGUAUUUCUUUCUACUUUAUCAUCAUUGAAUGGACUUGACAAAAUAAGCUCCCUAAUAAAAAGAAAAGAUAUGGCAAAUUCAAUCUUUUUAACUUAAGAAUUUUAUGUUCCAAGAAACAAAUAAAAGAGAAAUAGGUAGCUUCAUAGCAAGGGGUAAAAUUAAAAAGAGAGAUAUGACAAUACCCUCUGGCGGUGGCUGUAACAAAUGGUGAUAGCAGUCUGCCGCCGUUGGUCUUAGCUCCGGAUUACGGUCCAAACACCUAUUCUGCAAUUCCCUCAGCAAUUUCGGCACCCCUACUAAUCCACAGCUCUUCACUAAUUGCCUUAUUCCCCAUAUAUCCACUUUCACUCCGUGAUAAUUCCUUCCCAUUUCCGGCGCUGCUGCUGCUCCUUUUUUUCGCCGUGAGGAUAUAGCUGAGGUGCAGUCACAGCUUCAUCGAAUCCAGUAAUGAACCAUUCGUUCUCCCUCCUCAUGACCUUAUAAUCCCAUCCCAAAUCCCUGUGCAUAAAUGACAGAUCAUGUAGUGCAACUAACGCUUUUGUGAUCUGUUUCAAUGCUUCUAUUAAUUCAUCACAAUUAAUAGGCUUCAUUUUGCAAUCUCUAGGCUUGAAUACCAAUGCGAGAUCUUUUUCCGAUGCCUUAACCACGAAUUCUGCGUGUGGGAUUCUGUGAUCGAGAAAAUCAUAUAUCACUACAAUUUUCUUCCAUUCCCCAAAUCUGUUCGCUCAAAAUCGGUGCAUGGGAAAUUGCUCACGUAAUGGAACCAUUUAUCCGCUAAUAAUGGUAAUAAUCCGGCAAUUCUCCAGCACGGGACUAAAGCUUUUAAUCUUUCCACUGGUGCUGAUAGAUCCACUGUGUAAAGAUCCGUUCGGAUGAUACGGUCCUGUGCUCGACUUAACGCACAGAAAGUAACAACAAAUCCAACGGCAUAGUAACCUAACACGUAAGGAAGGUCCAUGUAACUCCAAAGGAAUUUCUCUACAAUAGAAGAGGACGGAUCUAAUUGACCUUCUCUUAACUGAUCAGUUUCCUCUCCUCUCCACAAGCAAAAAUUCCUUAAAAAAGCAGUAACAUUAGGCCAUUGAUCUUGUACGGUCUCCGCGAGAGACGAUGAAGAUUUCCGUACGAAUACCAUUUCGAUGGAACAAAACUUGGAUAUGAUCCUAUUAAUGCAAUCAUCCCAAAGGCCAAUGUAAGAAUCCCGAUCGGUAGCCGUUGCAGCGGUGAGACUAGAGUUUGAACGCAUAAUAGAAGUCAAGACAUCGUAAGUGAUGCCUCUACAGUCUAAUAGCUCAGUUGAGGUUGUAAAAAAUAGUUCUCUCCCUUGAGGCAAGUCUUUGAACACGUCUCGUCGGAGAGGGAAACGGAGCUCCUCCGGUGGUGGCUGUUGCAAAUGCCACGAGAGCUCAAACAAGCUUGGAAGAGUAGGAGGGGGAGAUUUGAGAGAAGAGGUACUAUUUUUUUGCCUAGUAUUUUCAUGAAUAAAGUGAUACUAUUUUUCAUGAAAAAUGAUAUUUAAAUUCUUAAAAUAGUGGGGCUCAUGAAAUGAGAAAAAAAAAAUCAUUGUUAAAAAAAAAUGAUUUUUGCAUCUUUGAGAAAUGCUCUUAAAAAAGAGUAUUACAAGUGCAGAUAUUUAUUAUGAAAUAAAUCACAUGUUUUUUUGGCUAUAAUGAGAUGAUUUUUAGCUCUAACAUGAGAAUUAUAAAUAAAUUAUGAAAAAAAUGUUGAGUAGCCAUUUAACAUGAAAUGUUUUGGGAGAGAAAAAAUUCAUUCUUGGAAUUAAAAAAUACCAUAAACAUGUGAUAGAAUUUUCCUUGUCAAGUCACAUAAUAUUGAAAAAAUUGUGAUACAAUUUUGUUGGUUGUGUGAGUCUUGAAACUCCUUUAGAUUCAAUUGUGUGAGAAAGUUGUGACAAAUAUAUAUAAAAAAAAAGAGAGUUUGCUAGCCUAAUAAAAAUAUGAGCUAUGUGACUAAAAACUUGACUUAAUGUUGUGUUUGCAGUAAAGUACUUUGAAGGUACAAGCAAACUAGAUGAGAAAAAUUUGGUGUUAUUUGGUGGGAUGAGAAAAGUAAAUUAUUUUUUGCUAACUCUAUUAUGGAGGUUGAAGUUAAAAUAAUUAAGCUUCAACUAGUGAAAAAGUGAAUUGAUUUUACUAUAUCAAUCACUUUAUUUUGAGAAAUUAAUUUUCUAAUUUUGAUUAAUUGUGAUAGCACCAAUAUAAUGGUAGAGUAUAAAAUCAUUAUUAAAAUGAUAAAUUCAGACUCAUGAGGAGAAAACACAAAAUUUUGAGAUCAUAUUGAUCACUGGUAUACCAUCAAUAUUAAUUGUGUUAAAAUUUGUGACAAUCUUGCAGAUUUAUAAACUGAGGCCUUUGCAAUAAAAAGAGUCUGAAGCACAUCGAGGGGGAUGGAAUUGAAGCUAAAAAAUUCUAAGUUAUAUAUGAGGAAAUCCAACCUGGGGACUAGAGAUCCUAUAACCAUGUUCAAUGGGAAGAACGAAUCAUAUGAUGGCUUGUUGUGAAAUGCACUACUGUUAAUUUCAUUCAAUCCAUAUGAUGUGAGUGCAUUUAUCCUAUAAUUAUUUGUGGAGGUUGAGUAUUUUAACUCUUAAUGAAAGUCUGUAUCUCGUAUGAGUGGGGUGUCAAAUUAUAGGAGCACCCUUGACAGAUUUCACCUAUGUGAGUGUGAAAGUAGGUCGCUUUCUAUGAGAAUGAGCUUGUUCUCAAAAACACUUAUGAAAUCGGGAUAGCACAAGGUCGUAAUGUGCUGGCUAUUAAAGCUUAUGUCAACACCUUGACUAUUGUGUGUAAGCAAUGAUACUUUAUUUCCCUUAAGCAGUCAUAGUUCAAGUCUGAGACCACUACUGACUCUGGAGUAAAGGUUAUUAUUUUACUAAGUGAAUGUUCAAUGCAGAGCACACAUUCAUUAUGCAUAAUAGUCUACCUGUAACUAAGUUGUGAAGAACUCUCUUAACUUAAUAUUAAAAUGAGUGGGGGAUUGUUGGUGUGACAUUUUAAUAUUAAUAAAAAUAUAUUAUAUGUCACAUUAUAUAUCAUGUUAUGUCUUUUGAUGGACAUUACAUUUGUGCAUAUUUACUCUCAUCAAUUGUGGAAGAAAGUGGUCAUUAAUUUUUAGUAACUUAUGUAAUCACCAACUCUUCAUUUCAUCAAUUAUUCUAUCUUUAUGUCUUGUAACUUAUGUAACAUUUGAGCCAUUCAUUUGGCAAAUUUACUACCCACUAUCUUCCUAUUCAUUGCAAGGAAGAAUUCAUCACCUAUAAAUAGUGUGGUCUUCCUUUGUGUUGUGUGAUAAGAAAAAACAAGAGAAGUACAAAAAAAUAUAGUGAAAAAGAUGAGUAGUAUUUUAUUGUGUUUAUAUUGAGAUUAGUGUUGUAGUGAAAGAGAGAGUUGAGACAAAGAAUAAUAUUCUAAGUCUUCAACUAUAUUCACUAUAUACAAAAGAGAAUAUUUAUAUAUUGAAGGAAGGUGUUCUUAUGUGGAGUUUUGGACUCUUCAACUAAUCCAGAGUUGUUUGAGUUAUACGACGUUGUUGGGUUGUUGUAUCCUGGAGGGGACAAGUCAAGAGACAUAUUGUUGGAUCGGUGUAGAUUAUGUCGCAGUGGGCUUGAAUCUCCUUAAAGAGAGCGAGAUAUCCGCGCCUCAGCCUAGAAGAUUUGUUUAUUCAUUUUUAUUAUUUUAUUUUCAACUGUAAUUUAUUAUAUUUGUGGUAUAUUACACCAACAGGUUGAGUAACUUUAUUAAUAAGGUUAUCUCAAAGGUGGUUCAUGAAAAACUUCAUAAUAUUUUGUUAAACUUUAUUUCAACAAAUCAAUUAGAUUUUGUUAAGGAGAAAUAUAUAACAGAGAAUGUCUUAUUAAGAAAUAAUGACAAAUAUCGAAAAGAGAGGCAAUCCAUCAAAUGUAAUAAUAUUGAAGCAUAGAAGUAAUUCGGCAGGUUGUAUGAUGACUUUGCAUAAUAAUUAAUAAAUAUCAAAGGCUAUAGAAUUAUUUGAACAACAGAUAACGGCAUGAAUGAGUCAAAUUUUAUGAAAAGAUAUUUAUUUUUAAUAUAAUAUAAAUAAAUAAUUAAAUAUAGAAGAUAUACUAAAUUUGAGUGUUUAUAAUUGAGAUAUUAUAGUAAUAUAAUAUUCAGGUUAGAAGGUGUUUUUUGUUGGGAAUAUAUACUAUAAUAAUUUAACAUUCAAAUUAGAGAGUUAAUACUUUUAAGAUAGUAUAAAAUAAUUAAUCCAUCAAUGUUUAAAUUUCUAAGGACAAACAUGAAUAUCACUCACAUUCAAUUUUUAAACAUAGAAAAUGAAAAACAUAAUCACAAAUUAAGCUAGCGUUUGGCCCCAAGUUUGUGGGGAAUUACACCAUGUGUUUGGCCUCAAAUUUUUCCAAAAAUAUUUGACUAUUUCAAAAAAUAUGAUUUAUACCCAUUAGUUCAAAAUACUAUUAAAAAUACCCAUAAAUUUGUAUUAUAUAUUUAUAGUGAAUAUGUUCCGUUAAAAACUAACUUUAUAACAUAACUGAUAACAAUCAACAACAACAAAAUAACAAUAUAUGCAAGAGAAAUACAUUAAUCGCAUAUUCAAACUAGUUAUUGAUUCGGUUAUAAUUAUAACCCAUUAAAAAUAAAUUGUUCUUUUUUCUCAAUUUUGUCACUCAAAUUAGAAUUUUAACUUUUCCGAAGGAGGUAGUAACAAACUAUUCCUUUAUAUAAUUUUCCCACAUUCUAUGAACAAUCUCUUCCCUAUUAGCUUUUAUUUCUUAAUCGAUGACAGAGAAGACGAAACAAUAAUGUUACUCUGAGUCGAUUGUUCGUCAUCUUCAUCAGUAACCAUAUCAUCAAGUUCAUGUUCAUUGAAUUUUUUUUUAAAUUUUAAUAGAAACAUUCAAGUAAUGACUAACAUCACAAUUAUUUUUAAAUAUAGUAAUUUAGGACAUAAGCACCUUUAAUUUUAAGCUUCAAUUUUGAUAGACCUAAUCUCUUUCUAUUUCUUUUUCUUUUUUCAUUCUUUCCCUUUUCUUUGUUUUUGACCUUUAAGGCUAACUGACUUGUGUUCAUGAAAUAAAAUUCAAAUCAAUAAUAAAAUAAUGUUGAUUCCUUGUAAUCUCCUAGUCCUCUUUUUGCGAAGGAUAAAAGUUUCAUCCUGGUAGAAUAGUGCCCUCCUCUUGUACUUAUUCUCAUGAUAUAUAACACCCCUACUAACAAGGAAAAAAAUAAUUUAAACAAACAUAAAUCAUCUUCCUCUUCUUCCUUUUUAUUUUAAUUUUGUUGACAUGGUGUUUAUUGUUGUCCCUAGUGGGGGCUAUAGUGAUGGUAUGUGGCUGAAUAAGUGCAUAUCGUGUGUAUGCCAAAUGUAUAUUAUUGUAUACCAUGCGUAUGUCACUUUUACAUGACAUAAAAGUAACAUAUAUAUGACAUACUAGUGAUAUACAUAUAGACAUAUGUGUGUGUGUGUGUGUGUGUGAGACUCACAUAUGAUGUACAAAAGAUAUGGUUGAGACUUUUUUUAUUUGACCUCAAAAUUUAAUAUGAAAUUUGAUUCAAAACCUCAUCAAAUCAGCCAAACUUGAGAUAUAGGCUCCUCAAGAUGUUUUCAAACUUUUGGAACAACACUCAAUCGACAAUGAUAUCUAAUCCUUUUUAACAACAUAGUAUAGAUUUAAAUUGAGGUUAUGAUGCUAUUUUUAAAAAAGAAAAAAAUCUAUUGCUACUUUACGUAAUUUCUAACCUUUUUUUUUUGUAUAUCUACGAAGUUUCCCUAUAUAAAAUGAGCCCAUAUUGGACUUAAGACAUAUUUCCUUUAGAUAAUCUUUACUUUAAGGAUUAAUUACUUAUAUACACACCUUUAUUUUUCAUAAUUUCCAUUAUUCCCUAUCAUUUUAAAAUAUUUUCAAAAUCCCUUAUUUUCACUAAAUUCUUAAGUCAUCCGGAUACAUAAAUAUUUUAGCCUUAACUUCACAUUUUCCAUUCCUUUUUUCACUCCUUUAAUCUCUCCUAAUUUCACUCCACAAUCUUAUCAGUUACAACUUUCAUCUCAAUUUGAAUUUCAAAAGGAUUCUCUCUCUAGUCAAUCAAAUUUAAACCACUGAAUUAGGUAAUUUUCAUAUUCUCCAUUGUCGUUUUUUUCAAAAAAAAAUUGUUUUUACCCUUUUUUCUGAUACAUAUGAUUCUCCGUUCAUCCUUGUUUUAUGCAAUGUAUCAUAUUCAUAUUUAAGGUGUUGAUACAUAACUCUAAUGUUGUUGAAUCUUCAAUUAGUUUUAUCAUGUUCAAUAUAAAUGUACUUGAUACAUACACACUUCUUAAUGUAUCGUUUGCAUGUAUCAAGUUUUUCAAUGUAUCAUCAAUCUUAUUCAAAUUUAAAAGGCUACAUAGACAAAAACAAACCAGUUGUGUGUUAUGUAUCUACACUCUUUAACAUUUGUUCAGUGUUAUCCAACUUAGAAUGCAAUGUAUAUGUACAUAUUACCCAUAAUAAUCUUGAUACAUAAAAACUCAUACGACAUGGAACAAUCUGCAAACAUUAAAAAAUUCAGUGAUACAUUAUAUGAAAUACAUUCUUUUCAAUUUUCAAAGCCAACACCUAUCUAACAACAAACUAACACAUAUCGAUACAAUUUUGUAACCAUCUUAUAACAUUUACUAGAUACAUUAAAAUUAUCAAUGAUACAACCAUUCACAAUAAUCUAAGACUGAUAUAUAUUAAUGUAUCAUCCACAUUUGUCUUGAUCAAAACAACUAAUUUACAUAUCUUAAUUGUUACACUAUUUAUCUGUACAAUACACACAAUAAUAACCUGAUACAUUAUACAAAUCUGUGAUACACACUCGAUAUUCAAAACAUAUCUAAUUUGUCUCAAUUGUUAAUUCACUUAUUACAUGUAUCAUACAAAAUAUAUUAUGAUGAUACAUUUUUAUACAAAUCACAUCCGAAUACAAAAUAAUGAGCACAUCAUAAUUGAUAUACCGUGAGUUUACGGUAUUUCUAAUACGUUUCACUUACAAGUUGUGUGUGUCUAAGGCCUUUUUAUAUUGGUUUUGAUGUGUUUUUAUCAUGUUUUGCAGGAAAGACGUUCAGGUGCGGAAGUGUAGGGACAGCUGAAAGAAAUGCAGAAGAAAGGCAUUCACGGAGGUGAUCUACGGACCGUAGGUCCAUUCACGGUCCGUAGGUGAUGACCGUAGAUCAGNNNNNNNNNNNNNNNNNNNNNNNNNNNNNNNNNNNNNNNNNNNNNNNNNNNNNNNNNNNNNNNNNNNNNNNNNNNNNNNNNNNNNNNNNNNNNNNNNNNNNNNNNNNNNNNNNNNNNNNNNNNNNNNNNNNNNNNNNNNNNNNNNNNNNNNNNNNNNNNNNNNNNNNNNNNNNNNNNNNNNNNNNNNNNNNNNNNNNNNNNNNNNNNNNNNNNNNNNNNNNNNNNNNNNNNNNNNNNNNNNNNNNNNNNNNNNNNNNNNNNNNNNNNNNNNNNNNNNNNNNNNNNNNNNNNNNNNNNNNNNNNNNNNNNNNNNNNNNNNNNNNNNNNNNNNNNNNNNNNNNNNNNNNNNNNNNNNNNNNNNNNNNNNNNNNNNNNNNNNNNNNNNNNNNNNNNNNNNNNNNNNNNNNNNNNNNNNNNNNNNNNNNNNNNNNNNNNNNNNNNNNNNNNNNNNNNNNNNNNNNNNNNNNNNNNNNNNNNNNNNNNNNNNNNNNNNNNNNNNNNNNNNNNNNNNNNNNNNNNNNNNNNNNNNNNNNNNNNNNNNNNNNNNNNNNNNNNNNNNNNNNNNNNNNNNNNNNNNNNNNNNNNNNNNNNNNNNNNNNNNNNNNNNNNNNNNNNNNNNNNNNNNNNNNNNNNNNNNNNNCAACAAGAAAAGAAUUAUCAGCAUAGAUUUAGUGUGAUACUAUCUAAUAGGCUAGUGUCGAUUGGUGCGAAGUAAUAACUAAGUCAAACAUCGAUUAUGAUGUCUAAUAUGAGGUAAAGGUAAGGGUUAGUAAAUUAUACACACGUAGCCGGAUCAAGGUGCGGGGUGAAAUUCUUUAGAUGCCGGAUCAAGGAUUUAGAGAUACCUAACUUAUCACUUUGCAUGUAAUACACUAGGAAAGAAUUGUUGUUACUAGAAUUACUGCGUUAUGAGCUUGCGGUGAACACAGAUACCCUAGCUAAUUCUCUCAUCUUGAUAAAAAACCGAAAUUAACUUUUGUUUAUUGAUUACUUACUGAACUCUUACAAUUUGUUUCACAAAUCCCCCAUUUUAUUUCUUGUUUCUGGAAGUACUUUGGCUAAUUGAAUAUAAUUGUUGGUUAAAGUAAAAUCUAAACCAUUUUCCUCGUGGGAUCGACCCUAACCUACAAGUUGGGUUCUUUACUUUAUAACGAUCGUUUAUACUUCUUUAGGGAGGUAUAAUUUGAGCGUAUCAAUAAUCUAUAGAUACAAAAUUACAAUACAUGCGGGUCGUUUACCACUAAUGUAUCAUGACUUACAUAUUCACAUCAAAACGACAAAACAAAACUAUAAAAAUGAUACAUUAAAAAAAACUAUAUACCAAUGGUGGUGAGAGCAGAGGGAAUGGUGGAGUAAGUGGUUGAACGGCCGGAGAUGGAUAAGAAGAUAAUACAAAAGAUAAUUCCUUUGUCGGAUAAGAAGCUAAUCAAUUAAUGAUACCAACACCAUAUGGAAAAUCAUUGUUUCUUCUUAUAUAUCUAUAUCCCUCCAUUCCCCAUGUUGUACCCAUGAGUUCUUGAUUAUCCUCGCAAGGUAUCCUUCCCGAGAAGAAUUUCCACACAACAACGGUAAAUUCAAUGGUUGGUAUUGAAUUACAGAGCAUUAUUUGUGUACCAACAAACCAGAUGAAGAAACCAUAAUAAUCGGGGUGCGGGCAAAUCUAUAAAUCCCAUUCGUAACCAACUGAAGAUUUUCCUCAUGAUAAACCUUUAUUAGAUGAGUGAAGGCUUGUCCUGCUGUCACAAUUGCCAACUUCCUAAUGAAGGGCAAUUCCUCUUGUGGAACUUUUACGAUUUAGAAUUGAUGGAGAAGAUGAAAAUCUAAAUUUUGAAUUUUGUGAAGCUGUUACAGAUUGGAGUGGAUUGAUAUCAAUUAGAUCUGCGUGAUUUAUGGGAAAGAAAAUCAAUUUUAUGUUAAUAUCCAUAUUAAAACAAACAAGUUUUAUAAUGUAUUCGGAUGAAACUUAUGUAUCUGGAUGGCCGAUAUUUUAAGGAAUUUUUGUAAAAUAGAAAAAAAUAGGGACAAGAUGUAAUUUAGGUCUUACACUAUGAGAUUUAUAUACGUUAUAUUAGAGUACAGAUUGAAGCCCAUAGCUAAGCAUAAUUACUAAAGAUAGGAUUUUUCGAGGCAUUCUAUUAACAUAAUUAAAAGGUAUAAUUCAUAUAUAUAUAUAUAUAUAUGUAAUUAUUUUAUUGUUUACAUAAAAAAUAGCCAAAAGUAAUAAAAAGUAUACACUAUUUAUACAGUAUAGCUUACUUAUACAUUAGGUUUACACCAACUAUACAUUAUGAUACACACAAAAAACUAAAUAUAGCUUAAGUUUACAUGAAGUAAGCAUGUUAAAUAGGUUGGGCCAGGUAAGACUAGCCCAUUAGAAAUUAAACUAGUCUCUGAUAUUGGGCUAGGUCGGGUCACCUAUAAUUGGGUUGGUCUGGUAUGGGCUCAAUAGUGCAAAACCCCUUGUCCAGUGCAACCCACAACCGGUUAGCCUAAUUUUUCUGAGCCAGCCCAGGUUUUAGCCCCGUGGGCUUAAUAGGACUGGUCAUUUAUUUUUGGAAAAAUUACUUGGAUGGGUACCUUUUAAUAAAUAAUUACUGAUUUUAGCGACAUUUUUUAUUUAUUACCAUUUUUUAGCAAUACUAUGUUAAAUCUGCAAUAUGUAUUAAAAGUGAAUUAUGUAUGCAAUAUAUAUGUAUUAUAAUUGUUUUUAAAAUAUAUUAUGCUUGUUUGGUAAGAAAUUGACACAUUGUAUUAUAGGUGUAUUAAAAUAUGUGAUAAAUGUAUUAUCCAUCAAUAAACUUGUAUUUAUAUGUGAAUAAUAAAUUGUUCUUUGUAAUAUAUAUUAAAGUUGUAUUAUAGAUGUAUUAAAAGUGAUCAAAUAAGAAAAAAAUGUUAUUGCUAUAAAUGGUAAAUAUGUUUUUAAUGUUUUAUAUUUAUGUAAGUUUCCCAUUAUUUUAAAAAAAUAAAAUUACCAUCGUUUAUCAACUUGAAAGUUUGAGUCAAUCAUCAAUAUAGUGUAUCAAUAUAGUGUUGUUAACUAUUUAAUUUUGAAAUAAUUAUAACUAUUUAUAAUAAUAGAGUACUUACAUUAUAUUAUAUACAUACUUACAAUGUAUACCAAAUCCACCCACAAUAUACUAUCUAUUAUGAUAGAAGGGGACUUUCGCAUAUAGUCACUCAAAAAUAGUUUAAUUACACUCUAUAACUACAGUUUGCUAAUUAUGAUUCGUAGCUACAUAUUAUAGGGAGGAGAUUAGCAAGCGAGAGAGGUGAAUUGUAUAUGUAUAUCGGUUAGAUAACUUACAAUGUAUAUUCUUAUAGUGUAUACAAAAUACACACAAAUGACACAAUAUACUUGCAAUGAAUAUCAAAUAUACCUCAAUAUACGUGAGAAAGUUGGACUCCUACCCAUCAUAAGAAGUAGUGUAGGUGUAGGAUUAAUGAAAAGAGGAAGUUGAAGAAGGCUACUGCUUGGGCAUUAUGUCCAGGGUAGCAGCUUUGCUUAGAUGAGUAUUUGUAACUUGUCACAUGGUAAAUAAAAUAAAUUUACUUUAAAAAAAAAUAUACCUCAAUAUACUAUCUGAUAAUAAUAGAUGUGGAUUUUACACAAAUCUCAUGGUGUUAGAAGCUAAUUACACCUUAUCUCUUCUUCUUUUUUUCCAAAUUACAAAAAUUUCUUAAAUUUGGUGGAAUCCAAAUGCAUCUCAAAACGAUUCGGUACAUCGCGUCUUGGUUUCAGAUACAUCACUCAACGUCCCGAUACAUUACGUUUCGCUUUUGGAUACAUCAUUGAAUGUCCUGAUACAUCGCGUAAAGUGAUGUUUCUGACCAAUACAUUGUGUUAAGUGAUGUAUCUGAUACAUCGUGUAAAAUGAUGUAUCCAAUCGACCGAUAUAUCGCGCAAAAUGAUGUAUACGAUCGAUACAUCGCGUAAAAUAAUAUAUCCGAGAAUAUGAGAUAGUACAAAUUUUUGUAUUUUUUUCAAAUGGUAGAGAUUUUUAGAGAAUAUGAUAAAAUAAGUUGUGUGUUUAGUGUGUGUGUAUAUAUAUAUAUAUAUACAAUGUAUACAAAAUAUACAUUGUGGAUGUGGAUUUUACACAAAUCUCAUGCUGUUAGAAGCUAAUUACACUUUAUCUCUUCUUUUUUUUUCCAAAUUAAAAAUAUUCCUUAAAUUUGGUGGAACAAGAUACAUCUCAAAACGAUUCAGUACAUCGCGUUUUGGUUUCGGAUACAUCACUUAAUGUCCCAAUACAUCACAUUUCGGUUUUGGAUACAUCAUUGAAUGUCCUGAUACAUCGCGUAAAGUGAUGUUUCUGACCAAUACAUCGUGUUAAGUGAUGUAUCUGAUACAUCGUGUAAAAUGAUGUAUCCAAUCGACCGAUAAAUCGCGCAAAAUGAUGUAUACGAUCGAUACAUCGCGUAAAAUAAUAUAUCCGAGAGUAUGAGAUAGUACAAAUUUUUAUAAUUUUUUCAAAUGGUAGAGAUUUUUAUAGAAUAUGAUAAAAUAAGUUGUGUGUUUAGUGUGUGUAUAUAUAUAUAUAUUUACAAUGUAUACAAAAUAUACACACAGUUUAUCAUAUUUAAUAUUUAUUGAUUCUUCCUAAAAUAUAAAUUUAAUUGACCUUACCGAAGACUAUUAUCUCAUAAAACUUUCCAAACCUGAAAACUAUGAAAAGAUACUACACCAAUUAAGGACCCUGGUUUUUAGGAUCGCAAUUCAUAUCUAUCAGGAAAUGGGAACCAAAAUUCAACCCGUCAAUGAUCCAAAUAGACUUUUCAACAGUAUGGGUAAGACUUCCGGAACUUCCGACAGAAUUCUACGACCUCAAAAUUAUCCAACAAAUAGAAAACCAAAUAGGAACAACCCUCAAAAUAGAUAUCGUUACAAUAAACACAAUUAAAGGAAGAUAUGCCAGACUUUGUAUCCUAGCUCCAUUAUCCAAAACACUCUCAAUCGACAUAUUAAUAGGCACACACCUCCAAAAAUAAAAAAAAUAAAUAUGAACUGUCUACCCCCUUAUGGUGAUGUGGCAAACUUGGACACUUAGUACACUCAUUCCCAAAUAAACCAAACAAUAUCCCAUCCACUUCUUGAAGCACUAAGCUACCAAAUUAUUCAAUGCCAAAAGAGAGUCCAAAAAAACAGAUCAGGACAAAGGCUGGACAAUAGUAGUAUACCAAAAAAGGAAAAAAUCAAACUACCAACAACCUGCACACGUUAAAAGCAAUUACUCGCACAAUCAGAACACAUUUAAUACCCAAAUAAAUGACCAAGGCCAAAACAUAACUUCACAUGAUCUUGUAGGUCCACCAAUUCUCAAUACCCAAGACAAAAUCAAACAGCAAGAAGGCAAAAAAGACCCAAAAAAUUCAACACUAAAUUCCAAAGGAGGGGCAACAACCACGCCGCUGAAUUUUGAGAGUACAAGCCACGUAUAAAGUAUGGUAUCCAAGUUCUCCUUUAAUGCUAAAAUUAGUGCAAACGUGGACAAAAAUAACCCCAUCACAAACAAAAACAAAACAAACACAUGUCCAAAAGAAAACUCCACAUCCAUACCCUGCAAACUACCAACCCCCGUCACUAAAGAGGAAAUUUUCACAAAGAUCGUAAAAAUAUGCCAGCAAAAUCCCCCAAUUCAGGGAACUAAUAGUACACCUCAAACUGAAUCAACCCCAGCCACCAAAUCAAAACCAGAAAAUGAAAAUACCCUUGAGAAAGAACCAAAUGAUCAUCCUUCUCCUAACCACUCCACAAAUUAUAAUUCGUUAACCAAACCUUCCCCAAGCGUCAAUUCUGCUACUACUAAGAUCUCAAUGAUAGGAAACUUCACACGACAUUCUACCAAUGAAGUAGUACAAGGAAAUCUGAAAGUACAGCCUAGUAUAGAUCCUGAUAAAUCAUAUCACCAAAAUGAUCUCUUUAAGAGACUACCACCAACAUCACUUUCUCCCACAAAACUUUCUCAAAUAUUACUAAAUAUGUCUCAAUUCAACAACCAUCUUUACCUCCAAUUGCGACAGAGUAUCUAACAACGUCACAACCAAAGGCUGCCAACGAACAAUCCACCCCUCCCCCAUCAACUGAUGGGAAACAAUCCCACUUUUCAACCAGCCACACUUCUGAACCACCAACCACAGUACCAGACAUCUUUUCCUUUCGAGCCAUAUCAACCACCAGAAAUGACAAGCUACAUCCCACGAAAUUCUGUAUUUUAGAACCUAACAAACCCACUCACACCCUUCAACCAGAACUACUAGACCAUGAACACACACUUAUAAGCGAUCUUCUCGCAUGUGGUCCAAGUAUCACCUUACUCGAGUUAGGAAGGAAUGUUAGACCUCAACCAGAACGAAAACAACUUCACUCCACUACCCUCCCUAAUAAAUGAGCGACUAACCAAUAAUCUGAUAAGAUUGGCAUCGACUCAACUAGAGCUAGCCCAAGAACUAACCUCCACGAAAUUCUAUCACAUACUUCACUUUCCUUCACCACUGUCCAAUUUGAACUCCCACCAUCUCUCACUUAUUCACCAAUUGAAUACCUUCGUGAACUCGUCGCUACAACAGAUAAUAGAUAUGCAAAAUCCAAGUCAACAGAACGAGGACAACAUGAGCAACGAGGAAGAUGAAAAUAUGAAAGACCAAGUAGUCCCAGGGAUACAAAUUAGGGUACCAUCAUUCCCUAUGCAGACACCGCAGACACAACCAUCGAAAGAAGAGGCACCAAACAUGCUAGAUCCAUUGACCCAAACUCUGUACUGGAAGAAUACACUGACACUAGACAAGUUAUUAAGUAUCGAAAUGAGGUUUUUAAUCAAAGUCCCUCGCGAACUGAACAAGGUGGACUUGAACAUACGUUGUUACAACUCCUAGGAGCCACUGAAAUACGUGGCACUACUCAUUCCAAUGAUAAUGGAAAAACAAGCUAUUGAAAUAGGGAAUGCAAGCAGAUCAUCAAUAACUAUGAACCUGGAAAAUACUCUAAUGCCAGGAGGGAAUCGCAUCGUUCAGGAAACCCCAUCAAUGAAGAUCUUACUAUGGAACUAUAGGGGUGCAAACAAUGCUAAUUUCAUGAAGAACAUGUGCACACUCAUGGAAUUCCACAACCCAACAAUCCUUACUCUCACCGAAACAAGAAUGGAGGAUCAUAAUAAAAUUUUACAGGCAUUAGAUUUCACUGAUGUAAUUCAGGUCCCAGCUUCGGCGUACUCUGGAGGGAUUUCUUUGCUUUGGAGGAAUUCGGAAAUCACCAUUGAACCUUUUGUUCUGACUAAACAAGAAAUUCACGCCACUAUUGAGGUUAGUACAAGCUUCUCUAAAUGGUACAUCUCUAUAAUUUAUGCUAAGAAUAAUGUUAGAUAUAUGAAGAUAUUAUGGGAAAAUUUGAGGAGUAUAACUAACAAAAUCAAUGGACCUUGGCUAGUUUGUGGAGAUUUUAACGAAAUCACUAGUGCGUCCGAGAAGCUUGGGGGGAGACCUAUAAACAACACUAAGAGCUCAAAUUUCAUCAGCUGCCUUGAUGAUAUGGACAUGAUAGACUUAGAUUUUACGGGGGAAAAAUAUACUUGGACAUAUAAGCAUAAGAACAAUAAAACUCUCAUUAUGGAACGCAUCGAUCGCUUACUGAGCAAUCACUCUUGGUUAACUCUCUUCCUAGAUACUAAAGUCUAUCAUCUCCCUCGUUUAUACUCUUACUGCUGCCCUAUACUCCUAAACUACCUAAAAAGCUCUGGACACUUAAAAAAUUAUUUAGAUUCGAAACUAUGUGGAUUACGCAUCCGGAUUUCUCUAACAUAGUAAUUAGAGUGUGGAAAGAUAAUAACAAUUAUAAUGAUGCCCUCGAAAAGUUCCUCCAAAAUAUAAAAAUUUAGAACAAAGAGACCUUUGGUAAUAUUUUUAAACAAAAAAAAGAUAUUCUCAACAGAUUGAAUGGGCUGCAGCAAAUGAAUGCAACAAAUAAAAGGAAUUUCCAUCAUAAUCUGGAGAAUAAUCUCAGUAUAGAGUUUAACGAAAUUCUUAAAAGAAAAGAGGACUUUUGGAAGCUAAAAUCUAGAGUCCAAUGGCUUAGCGAGGGAGAUGGAAACACUAAAUUCUUCCAUACCACCACUAUAAAUAGAAGAUGUAGAAAUCGAAUUAUUGGGCUAAAUGACUCGGUGGGAAACUGGACAUUCGAUCCUACCUCCAUAAAUAACAUUAUUACCCAACAUUUCCAAGUCAUCUACACAACCGAGCUUACUAAGAGCAACUUCCAUAAACCAAAUAUUUGUCAAAACGCUCUUCCAAUGGAUACUCGAGAUUUUAUUGGUACACCCCUUGAUAAAGAAGAAAUCAAAAUUUUUAUCUUCGGCUUUAAACCUCUUAAAUCUCCUGGCCCUGAUGGUUUACACCCUCUUUUCUUCCAAAAAUAUUGGAACGACACUAAAGAAGCCAUAAUCAAUACUUGCAUGAAUGCUUUUAAAUCCAGCUCCAUUCCACCAGAGAUAAAUAAAACUUUCAUCUGCCUCAUACCAAAAAUUAAAAAUCCUGAGCAAAUUAACCACUAUAGGACAAUAAGCCUCCGUAAUACGAGUUACAAAAUCAUCACCAAAAUUAUAAUUAAUAGGAUCAGACCAUACCUAGAUACUAUAAUAAGCCCUCAACAAUGUAGUUUCAUGCCUGGAAGAAGAGGAGUAGACAACGCCAUAAUCUUUCAAGAAGCAAUCCACUCUUUCCAAAAAACGAAAGGAAAAUUCGGCAAAAUGCUUUUGAAAAUCAAUUUAGAAAAAGCUUUCGAUAGAUUAGAAUGGUCAUUUAUCAAAUAAUCCCUUAUGAUCCUUAACUUCCCAAAAAACAUAAUUUACCUCAUUUUGUCUUGUAUAUCCACUUCAUCUAUAUCAAUUUUUGUUAACGAAGGCCUACAAACUAUUUCUACCCUACCAGAGGAAUUAGGCAAGGUGACCCACUAUCACCCUACAUAUUUAUAAUUUGUAUGGAAUCCUUAACCAGACUUAUAAACUAUGUCAUUCAAGAGCAUCCCUGGCAACCAAUUAAAAUUGGUAGAAUAGGUAUGUCUAUAUCUCACUGCUCUUCACUGAUGACAUUAUUCUACUAGCAAAGGCUGACACCACAAACGCCACCACCAUUAUACAAAUCUUCAAUACGCUGGCAAAACAAUUAGGAAAAAAAAUUAAUUUUAACAAAUCGUCUAUUAUCUUCUCAGCCAACGUCAGCCUUGAAGAGAAGAACUAACUCUCUAUGGCUAUGAACAUUCGCCAAAAAGAAAAGAUAGGUAAAUACCUUGGACUCCCCAUAACAAAAUAUCAUUCUAAGAGCACAGACUAUCAAUACAUCAUUGACCACAUGAACAACAAGUUAAGAGGAUGGAAAACUCGAUUCAUAACCUUAGCAGGAAGAACAACACUAUUUAAAUCAGUCCUAGCCUCUAUUCCUACCUAUGUAAUGCAAUGGAACUCAAUCCCCCAAGCGACCCGUAGUCACAUCGAUCGCAUACAAAGAAAUUUUCUUUGGGGAUCAACAUAAGGGAAAACGAAAAUGCAUCUUGCAAACUGGGAACUAGUAACUUCCCCUAUCGAAAAUGGUGGCCUAGGAAUCCAGAAAACUAAUGGAAAAACUUUGCUUUGUUAGCAAGUCUUAUCUAGUGAUUCUUAAAAAAUAAUAAUCACCUUUGGGCUGAGGUUCUCAAGAAAAAAAUACUUAAAUAGAAGUCAAAUGACUAACUUGAAAUGUUACCCCCAAGACUCUUAUAUAUGGAAAAGUCUCGUAAGAGCCUACCCACUAUUCCAAAAAAACAUCUCUUGGAACAUGGGUAAUGGGGAAAAAAUUCGCAUUUGGGAAGACAACUGAAUAGAUACAACAUACUCCCCACGUCAAAUGAUCCAAGGACCGACCACUGAAACUGAAGCCAAGACGGUCCUAAAAAACUGGAUCAAGAAUAACAACUGGGAUUACUCUUGUUUAUCCGUUGAAAUCCCUAAUAACGUCAAAAUAACCAUAGAAAACACUUAUUUACAAAUAGCAAGCUCCAAGCCUGACACCUUCUACUGGAACAAGAGCAAUGAUGGUUAUUUUAACACAAAAAAUGUCUACUUAGCAUUUCUCAAAGCUAACUAUGAAACUACCAUAAAGACAAAUUGUAAUUAUGUAUGGGUGUGGAAGAUAAAAGCUAUCAAUAAAAUAAUUUUUUUCAUGUGGCUCCUCCUAACUCAUAAGCUCCCUACUUCUGUUGCCCUUUACAACAGAAACAUUACUACAUCCAAAAAUUGUGCAUCCUGUCUUGACAUGGAGGAGGACACAAAUCAUAUUUUUUAAGCUGCCCGAAUGCUAAACACAUCUGGAAAAACUAUAUCAUAAGUAUCACCUCCCAUGACCUCCAUACAGAAAUUCAUCAACUGUGUACCACCAAAAGUUUCGUAACCAUAAACAAGCACCACCGGGUGCCUACCGCUACUCUAGUUCCAAUUAUUCUUUGGAAUAUUUGGAAAAAUAGAAAUAGCAAACUUUAUAAAAAUUUAAAUAUUAGCAUGUCUACAAAUACUAUUAAUAACAUUUCCUUCCAAGCCAUGGAAUACUUUCACUUAAACCAAAUCCCUCCCAAAAAAGUCCCUAGACAUAUCCUGUUUCUUGGCACAAACCACCGGAUGGAAAAUACAAAUUAAACAUUGAUGGCUCAUAUGAACCAAACUCCUCUAACGGUGGAACUGGAGGAGUAAUUAGAGAUCAUCUAGGAACAUGGAUCGUGGGAUUCACACGCAAAAUCAUAGCAAGAAAUGCCCUACAUGCAGAAGUUCUAGCCUUUGCUACAUGGUCUGAAUCUAGCCAAAAGUAAGAACUUAAAACAUCUGCUGGUGGAAACGGAUUUGCAUGUAUUACUUAACACUCUAUAUAGCAAUAAUCUCAUAUACUCACAUAUUUUCGCUGAUUGCAGAUCGCUACUCCUCCAACUAGAGAGUUCGUCCCUGAAGCACAUUCCGAGGGAGGCUAAUGCAGUAGCAGACCUACUAGCCAAAUACGGAAGAGAAACGAAGGAUCCAUAUAUAUGAUCAACAAUCAAACUUUGGUUUUUGAAGCAUCUCCUUCACUAGCAAUAUAUGCAUUAGAAAGAGAUGUGAUUGGAACUGUAACACAUCAACUAGUUCCACUUUUGUAUGGUUGAACAUAUUAUUAUCUAAAUAAAAUCCUUCCGUCAUUUAGCAAAAAAAAUAAAAUUGUCAUACCACAUGUAAAGUCUGCUACAUAGAUAUAUGUAUUUUUUACUACCAAAUACACUCUAAAAUGCAGAUAAAUACAUAAGAAGAGAUGCGAGCAAGAGAGGAAAAGAGGCGAGAGGCGAGGGAGAGAAUAUGUGUAUCUCAAAUACAUAUGAAUCACACUAGAUACAUGCAUCUAGGAUAUAUAUCAGAGACAUGCGAAUAGUAAUUUCAAAAACUUAUGAAAGGCACUUAAUUAAAUCUCAAAUUAGUGAGAUUUAUGUUGUUUAUCCUUUAAAUAAAAGCAAAAUUCAAAGUUGUUACACCAUGGAAUUGAUAUACUAGAUGCAAUCUUUAAGUAGUCUUUGUGAAACAAGAUAGGUGGUUCUAAUAAAAAAGUAUUUGCUUUCUUCGCAAGUUCACGUGUGGACUAUCGAGAGCGGUCCGUUUCUGCGAUAAACAACCUAUAAUCAUUGAACAAAUUUAAGUAAAAUUUGUUGUUAGACUGUGUAAAUAAAGUUUGAUUAGUAAAUAUAAAAGUUUGUUGUUAGAUUGUGUAAAUAAAAGUUUGAUUAUUAUGGGUGUGUUUGGUAGGGAGGAAAACAUUUUUUCUGAAAAAUGUUUUCCAAUUUUCUCAUGUUCAGUUGAAUUAAUGUUUUGAAAAAUGUUUUUUCAAAUCAACUUUUUUUUCCUUAAAUUUAAGUAAAAUGACUUCCCUUCAAAAUUAAGGAAACCAAAACUUUACUCAUAGCUCAAAUUAUAUUUAUCUUUUUACCCCACCAACCCUCUCCAUAAAAAAUAAAAAAACUAAAAGAUUUUAAAAGUUUGUUUUUGAAAAUAUUUUUAAUUUAUUUUAACCUCAUCCUACCUCUCCCCUCCCCCACCCCCCACCCAAAAAAAUAAAAAAUUUAAAGGCUUUUUUAUAAAAAUAAAAAUUAAUUCAAAAUUUUCAUUUUUUACUCCACUCCCUACCCCUCCCUCCCACCAAUUCUAUUUUUGACCCCCUAUCAGCCCCCCUCCCCUCUCCCCGCACACACACACAAAAAAAAAUUGUUUUUAAUCAAAUCCCAAUUUGAAAGUUAAGUCCUGAGUCGGGUGUGGUUGGAUUCGGAUCGAAAAUCGGGGUCAGGUCCUGACUCAGAUCUCAGGGUUGGGUUUUGGGAUCGAUCGUCGGGGUUGUGUCCUAGUUCGGAUGUCGGGGUCAUAUCCUAGAUCGAUUAUCGAGAUUGACAUCCGGAUCAGAAAUUAUUUUUCUAAAAGAGUAUUUUCCAUUCUCUAGUCAAAAAUUAAAAAAAAAUUCUGAAAAAUGUUUUUCAUUCACCAAUCAAACACUAAAAAAUAUUUUCCAGAAAUAUUUUCUACUCACCAACCAGACAUGAAAAAAUAAGUCAAAAGUCCAUUUGUUUUCUAAGAAAACAUUUUCUAAAAAAUAUCUUUUUCCGAGGAAAACAUUUUUCCUUCGUACCAAACACACCCUAUAGCAUGGAUUGAAGAAUUAAUACAGCGCGGUACAGCUGGAAUAUUGGUUUUCGUAUGUUUCGUUCUCAUAAUUUAUAAUACAAAGAAUGGCAACUGCAUUCUUCAGAAUAAUCUUAUUACCUAUCUAAGAUAGAGCUUUCAUUUGAGAGUAUUAAAGGUAUGUUAGGCAUAUCUUGAGCAUCCCUUUCUAACUUUUUAGUUUAACUUUAGAGUACCGUUUCAACAUAAUUUAAAAUAAGGUUGAUUUAACAUUGAAGUUUUCUUUGGAUAAGUAAUUUGAUUCCUUAAAUUAAAUUAUUUUUUUUAUAAUCGUGAUGGCCGACGAGCCAGCUUUCGCAUACCUAAAGUAAUUACAUAGAAUAUUUGUCACCUCUCACUAGCAACAGGUAGAAUAUCAUCAUAAUUUGUGAAAAGUGAAAACCAUUACUUACUUUCCUAACUCUUAUACAAGUCUUACCAAGUGAGCAAUCAUAGUUUAUAAAUAAGCUACGUAUAAGUAUAUCCUAUGAUGCCGAAUUAAUAAAUCACAUAUCUCUAUGUUUAUUUUAUAAUUAAAUAUUUGUGAUUACAUGUUAUUAAAAACAUUCAAAUAUACAUAAUAUACAACAAUUUGUUAGGGUUUUGCCUUGAUUUUUCCUACUUUAUUUGAAAUUUAUUUUUUCCGAAAAGGAAUAACAAAGUAUUAGCAUAAAUGCUUUAACUUUUCAAAAAUGGAAAACAUUAUUUUCUCUCAUAUUUGGUUUAUUAUUUUCUUAGAGGAAAAGUUUGGAGAUCUAUAAAUUGAAGGUUCCUAUUCUCAUAGCAGAAUACAAUAGCAUCCACAAUGUUUUAUGGGGAGUUUAAAUAUUUUUCUUUUAUAUUAGUUUCCAUAUAAUAAUAUUAUGUUUUUAGUAUAAGUUUUUGUCAUUUAAUUUAUCACCGUCAUGAUUUGCAAUUGUAAACUUCCGCAUGACGCCCUAAUCACUUUCGAAUCCAAUACAAUUCACGGAUUCAAUAAGUCAAUAAUAGUAGUUAUUAUAACUAGCCAAUUUUUGAUAAAAUCUCCCUAUAUGGUACAAACAAUUUCUUCACGUCUAACAUGAAUAUCUUUUAUAAAACAUAAAACUGUGAAUUUUUUUUUCAAGAAAAUAUAUACACUUAUGGAUCAAGUUUUAUACUUGAAAACAUUGGAAUUCCAAAUCCUACUUUUUAAAGAAUUUAAGAUUUGAAAUCAUGAUUUAAAGUUAAAAGUUGAAACUUUAUGCAAAUUUCAUAAACACAAAUAGUGAUUUAAUAUCAAAACUUUGAAAUCAGACUUCCAAAUCAAUCAUUAGUAGAUGUCCUUGUUUUGCUAUUUGAAUUUUCCUAUACCUAUAUUAAGUUUAGAGAGGUGCAAUAAUAAUAAAUAAAGGAAGCACAAUGGGCCCAUUUUGCUGCUCUCCAGGGUGUGGUAUCUGUCCUUCACUUUAUUUCAUCAUGUAAAAAGCCAAGGCAAAACUCCCACCAUUAUAAAAAGUGAAAUUUAUAUACAAUCCUACUAGCUUCCAACAAUACUCCAUAAUGGUUGUCAUAAUAAUAGUCUCAUCUACUAUGGCCAAUAAUUAAAAUGAGGCAAGUUUCAUAGUACGUGCAUAACUUUUAAUUGACUGUAGCCCAUGCUAUCGACACUAUCGCACCCAAAAGAUUCAUGGUUAUAACUCAUAACUGAAUGUGAAAAAAAAUCUAUGAGACGGAUUGAGAAUUUAAAUUUUAUGAAUUUUAAUAACAUACAUUAUAUUAGUACAUACCCGUAAGCCAACUUUUAUAUUUGUCUAUGGAUGACAAUCAUUAUCAGAGGUGGAAUUAUGAUUUCAACUUUAUGAAUUCUAAAUUCUAGAAUGUCGACUGUAGGUGGUAAUAAUUUGAUUCUAAAUUUACUAAUUUUACAUAGUUAAUGGCCCCAUUUUGAUUCUAACUUUUAAUUGACUGUCGCCCAUGCUAUCGACACUAUCGCACCCAAAAGAUUCAUGGUUGUAACUCAUAACUGAAUAUGAAAAAAUCAACCAAAAUAUAUAUAAGACGGAUUGAGAAUUUAAAUUUUAUGAAUUUCUGUAACACACUUUAUAUUUAUAUUAGUAUACACCCGUAAGCCGACUGUUAUAUUUGGCCAUGUAUGCUAAUCAUUAUCAGAGGGGGAAUAAUUUUAACUUUAUGGAUUCUAAAUUUUAGAAUGUUAAGUGGUAAUUAAUUUGAUUCUAAAUUUAUUAAUUAUACAUAUUUAAUGAAUUUCUUAACAUAAAUAUAUUAUUUGAGCAAAAUUUAUGGGACGUUCGGCCGAACUCCUAUGGACUUCUAACUAGUUGGAAAGCUAGUGUAAAUCUCAUCAAUAUUUUUUGCACCGCUCUUAUAAAUUAAAUUUACUCCAUUAUCAAGAAAAAGACUAGUAUUCAAUAGACACGUUAAUGUGACAUAUAGAUGAUUGCUUAUUUCUUUCUUAGUCAUUUUUUUUUUAUGAAAGGAAAUAUUAUGUAUAAUUUUGGCAGUAUAUACUUGGACCUUUUUGCUAAGAUAAGAAAGAUCCUGUGAAGUACUCUUCAAAAUAUAAUACAUUGAGACACAAAAAGAGAGGGUGAUCCUAUUGCAUUAACUUCAAAAAAAACUUCUCAGGUUGCCUGUUUACAAUUUUAUUUAAAAGUUUCCCCCUCUUCUAUUCCACUAUCUAUUUCUUUUUACUCAAACUGAAAGUGAUGCUUAACUAUUCCAAUGUCAACUUUUACCAAUGUUGUGUAUAUAUACCAAAAAGAGGUGUACCCUUCUAAUUAAUUAAUCUAUGAUAAGCAUUUAUGGCCAUGGAGGUGAUUUUAGCAUAUUAUUGGGAGUCUUGAAUAAAAUUUCAUAUUAUUUAUUGUUGAAAAGAUUUGGAAGAUAAAUAUAUUGUUCUUAGUGGCGAAGCUUUUUGAAAAAUAAUGUGUGGGUUUAGUUAUAUUAUCCUACCAUGUUAAGAAUAUAUUUAGUCUAAAGUAGGAUUUUGCGGCAAAUAUUUAGCGAAAAUAAUAUGAUUGUUGUUAUAUCAUAUUAAGUGGCAUAAUAAAUAUAAGUAUUUGUAACCAAUGUUCUAUAUAAAUGUCGCUAAAGUACUUUAGCAAUUCUGAGAGCCAUGAAAUUAACUCAAUUACUGCCGAAAUGUUUUUGUGGCAAUGCUAAAAGAAAAAUUGUUUCCACAAAAUAUCUCUGUUAUGAUAGUUUUGUUGUCAAAGAUAGCAUGAAAAUGAUGCACACAAGAAAAAUCUAGUUCCAAUGUGGGCUUCAGUGACCAUAAAUGGUUGACCGUGUGGAUGGCACAUGACAAAUUCUCAAAAAAAUUAACCUAUGGAUUAUGGUAAUGAUCACAUGGAAUUUAGUUCAAGGGGAAAACUCGUGAUUAGUGGUAUGAGCCACGUGAUACUUAGAAGGGUGAUUAUUGGGUGUACAAACAAAUAUGCACAUUAAUAAUUGAAACGAUUUAGAAGAUCCGUAGGCAAGAAUACUCUUGAUAGUGUGAAUUUUUUUUUAAAAAAAAAUUAUUAGCUUAAUUUAAAGCAAAUAAGAGUAUCAUGUUAAAAAAAUAUCUUUAGGUUAGAUUACCCAAACACGCAUACAAAAUUUCAAAUAAAAAUUAGCACGAAUGUCCAGGUAUCCACCAUUAAUUUGAAAUUUAAUGGAUAAAUAGUCUAAAUCUUUGGAGUUUGAAAAUUUUCUGAAGUUCCAAAUGUGUUCAAUUUUUUCAUAGUUUUAACUUAAUAAGGUUCAAACUCAAAGAAUUUUUUAAUUUAUACUAUAAGUACUCCCUCUGUUUCACAAAGAAUGAUCUAAUUUGACUUGACACGAAAUUUAAGAAAAUAAAGAAGACUUUUGAAUCUUGUUGUUCUAAAUUAAAGUUAUGUUUAAAUGUACAAAACUGUCUUUUAAUCUUAUGGUCUUAAACAUGCCACGUGGAAAACUGAAAUUAAAAUGUUACAAAAAAAGAAGAAGAGGUCAUUCUUUUUUAAACAGACUAAAAAGGAAAUGAGGUCAUUCUUUUUUAAAUGGAGGGAGUAAUAUUUUUUGGUACAAUAUUGAGAAAUAUGCUAAAUCAUGUAUAAUUUCACUUAUUGUACCUCCUGACAUAAGUUUCGUAAAAAAAUAUUAAAGGAUUAAUAUUUCAUUCACCAUAAUCUUUAAAUUCCAAGACUAUUAUUGUACCUCUUGAUAUAAGUUCUCAAAGAAUAUUAAAGUAUUAUUUCACUCGAUAUAAUCUUUGAAUUCCAAAACUAUUAUUGUACCUCCUAAUACAAGUUUUCAAAGAAUAUUAAAGGAUUAUUUCACUCACUAUAAUCUUUGAAUUCAAAGACUAUUGUUAUAUCUCUUGAGACAAGUUUUUAAAAGAAUAUUAAAGAAUUAUUUCACUCUCUAUAAUUUUUGAAUUUAUAGACUAUUGUUGUACCUCCUGAUAUAAGUUUUUGAAAGAAUAUUAAAGGAUUAUUUCACUCACUAUAAUCUUUGAAUUCAGAGACUAUUGUUGUACCUUCUGAUACAAGUUUUUAAAAAGAAUAUUAAAGGAUUAUUUCACUCACUAUAAUCUUUGAAUUCCAAGACUAUUAUUGUACCUCUUGAUAGAAGUUUCUCAAAGAAUAUUAAAGGAUGGGCACCCUUCACUUCAAACACGGAGGUUGUGAGUUACGUUCGAGUCAUCAAGAGAGCAAAAAAGAGUGAGAGGUACUCGCUUCAAAUUUAAUUAAAGCAAGGAUUAUGUCCUAGAAUUCUAAAAAGUCUUGCUGUAAAAGAAAAAAAAAAAACUUGGAAGAAAGUAAAAAUCCAGGACUGUGUCAUAAAGUUCCAAAUUAUACAAUUGCAAUCUAAUCAUUACUGAUUGUUUUUGUUGCAUGUCUCCUCAGAAUGCAAAACAUAAUUCCGAUUUUCUGGGAGAUAUGAAGGAGUUGAACAUCACACAAAUUAACACCAAGUUUAACAGAUUCAAGAUGCAUCAGAGACACUACUCUUAUUUUGCACGAAAGCUAAUCAAGUAACGAAUUUCAUCAUAUAGCUAAAAUGACAUCUACGAAUGGAAAUAGUAAAUUUCAUCUUUCGAAAGAGGUGAACGGACUAUUUAGCCAUUGCAUAAUGCAACCCCUUAAUCGAAAGAGAAGAUAUGACAGUUCAAUUUUUAAAAUUAAUUCAUUAUGUAUUCUCGUAGCCUUUUGAUUUAGGUCGUACAUAUCUAGCCUUCUUUGUUGGUAGGAGGUUUGGUUAUUGUAUUUCAAUUAAAAGAAUGGACAAUAAUGAUCAGGAUCAUUUAAAUCCAAAAUUUUGAACAAUUGUGGAUUUACAAAAGAAUGUAUGUUAUGUACCCACCAUUGACUAAAAAAUACUGUAGUAAUAAGAAUACUAAUUUAUUUUUUUUGGAGAAAAUCUUGAAUAUGAAAUGGCUGCAUUGACUCUGGACAAAACAAUUGAAUAGACAGAAUAGAAAGAAAAAAAAAAAGAUCGAACCAAAAUCCUAAUUUCACCUUCUAAUUCGAACUUCCAGGGAAAAAAACACCACAAAAUGUUAAGAAUUUUAUAUUCCCAAAAACAAAUAAAAGAGAAAUAAAAAAAGAAGAGAGAUGUAAUUGCAUGGAAUAUAAAAUAAAUAGGCAUCAGUCACUCACAUACACAGAAAGAACUGAGAAGAAUCAGUUGUCAAUACCCUCCGGCGGCGGCUGCAGACAUCGAAGACUGUAACUGUAACAAAUGGCGAUAGCAGUCUGCUGCCGUCGGUCUUUGCUCCGGGUUAUGGUCCAAACACCUAUUCUGCAAUUCCCUCAGCAAUUUCGGCACCCCUACUAAUCCACAGCUCUUCACUAAUUGCCCUAUUCCCCAUACAUCCACUUUCACUCCAUGAUAAUUCCUUCCCAUCUCCGGCGGAUGCCUCCCGCUCCCCGUCGCCGCUGCUCCUCCGUGAGGAUACAGCUGCGGUGCUGUCACCGCUUCGUCGAAUCCCGUAAUGAACCAUUCGUUCUCCCUGUCGAUUCUCCUCAUCACUUUAUCCCAUCCCAAAUCCCUGUGCAUAAAUGAAAGAUCAUGUAGUGCGACUAAUGCUUUUGUGACCUGUUUCAAUGCUUCUAUUAAUUGAUCGCAAUUAACUGGCUUCAAUUUGCAACCUCUAGGCUUGAAUACCAAUGCGAGAUCUUUCUCCGAUGCCCUAACCACAAAUUCCGCGUGUGGGAUUCUAUGAUCGAGAAAAUCGUAUAUCUCUUUGAUCCCCAACCAUUUUCUCUUACUAGAAAAAUAUCUCACCACUGUAUUCGGAGUCAUUUCCAUGAAAUUUCCAUUCCCAAAAUCUGUUCGCUCAAAAUCCGUGUAUGGAAGAUGUUUAAAAUUACUCCCGUUACUGCUCACGUAAUGGAAGCAUUUAUCCGCUAAUAAUGGUAAUAAUCCAGCAAUUCUCCAGCACGGGACUAAAGCUUUUAAUCUUUCCACUGGUGUUGAUAGAUCCACUGUGUAAAGAUCCGUUCGGAUGAUUCGGUCCUGUGAUCGACUUAACGCACAGAAAGUAACAAUAAAUCCCACGGCAUAGUAACCCAACACGUAAGGAAGGUCCAUGUAACUCCAAAGGAAUUUCUCUACAAUAGAAGAGGACGGAUCUAAUUGACCUUCUCUUAACUGAUCAGUUUCCUCUCCUCUCCACAAGCAAAAAUUCCUUAAAAAAGCAGUAACAUUAGGCCAUUGAUCUUGUACGGUCUCCGCGAGAGACGAUGAAGAUUUCCGUACGAAUACCAUUUCGAUGGAACAAAACUUGGAUAUGAUCCUAUUAAUGCAAUCAUCCCAAAGGCCAAUGUAAGAAUCCCGAUCGGUAGCGGUUGCAGCGGUGAGACUAGGGUUUGAGCGCAUAAUAGAAGUCAAGACAUCGUAAGUGAUGCCUCUACAGUCUAAUAGCUCAGUUGAGGUUGUAAAAAAUAGUUCUCUCCCUUGAGGCAAGUCUUUGAACACGUCUCGUCGGAGAGGGAAACGGAGCUCCUCCGGUGGUGGCUGUUGCAAAUGCCACGAGAGCUCAAACAAGCUUGGAAGAGUAGGAGGAGGAGAUCUGAGACAGCCAACGUAGUACUCAGUUGGAUCUUGAAAUUCCCAAGGAGUAGUUGCUGCAAAUGUGUGAGCCAAUUUUAAAUUAUUUUAACUACUAUGAAAAAUUCAGUUGAAAAUAACAAGAUACUAUUAAUGGGAACUAUGGUAUAGACUAAUAUUAAAUUCAUUUAGCUUAGAAGGGGAAGAAUAGAAAAUUUAAUGAUUGGCUUUACACAAAUAGAAAAUUCUAAAUUUAUGGAAGAGACUUACAUCUGAUGGGAAAUUCAGAAGAGGGAAGCUGCAAUCUUUCACUGGGACCUAAAUUGAAUAGAAAAUUAAAACUGUUACAUCCUACAAGCUAAAUAUUGUAGUAGUACAAUAAAUGGACUUGAGCAAUUAGAUUAAAAAAAAUAAAAAUACCAGAAGGAGCAAGAGCUGGAGAAGAUUUUCUUCUGCCAAAGACUUUGAGUUGUAUUCCAGAUUGGAAUCUAUCAACUGAAAAACCUUUCAUGGGUCCAUCUUCAAAGGCCUCCAUAGUGCAAGCCACCAUAGAAUCAUCCAAAAAUGCAAUUUCAUCUGCAUUUAAAAAACUUGAACCUUGUAGUUUUACUCUACCUCUGUGAUGCUCACCUUCUUCAGCCCAUAAACUCACCGACUCCUCCCAUAUCAUCCUAAUCUUCCCGAUGCGCCGAAGCUCUUUUGAAGUAGUAGAAGAGGAUGGACCGCCGCCGCUUAUAUCUAAUGAAGAAGAUGGUACUGUUUCAAACCCUAAGAACCCACCUCUUGUUCCAUGAAUGAAUGUUUCAGUUCCACUUGACAAUACCAAUUGUUUUGCCCUCACUACAUCCACACAAUAUAUACAUGUCAUUCACAAAUCAUAAUAAUGUUAAUUGUUUUUAAAAUUAAUUGUUGUAUGUACGAUGUGAGUAGUUAAAUUAAAAGAAAGAUAAAUUAAAUGAGUAAUUAUUUUUUUGUACGAGUACCAGAGUGAGGAAGCUCAUCAUCCCUGAAGGGUGGAGGAGGAGGCAAAGACUUGGUAACAACGAGAGGUGUACGAAUAUCGUCAGCAAUAAUAUUGGACUGAGUUCCGAUUCUAGUUUGAGGAGUUCUCAUUCUUGAGCCCAUAAAUUGAGAUAAUUCUUCAAAUACUUCUUCAUCAAAUGAAGCUGGCAAUCUAUGAAUCUUCCUUUCGUAAGGGGAAAGUCUAAAAUAACUUUUUCCAAUUUGUUCCCUUUCAGCACCUCUCUCCCAUUCAUAAACUUUUCUGAAUUCACCCAACAUGUUGUCCCAUUUAGUCCCAGCAGUUUUAGCAUCUCUGUUAACUCCAUGCCUGUUGAGAAACUCAGCCACUUCUCUAUCUUUAUCAGCUCUCGUCUUGCCUCUCCCACUUCCUCCAGUGCCGCCGCCCGCGGCUGCUCCUGGAGAACCUUCUAGAUGAACGAGCUCUGAUGAUGAACCACUACCACUACCACCACCACCUUGGUACUGAAUUUUCCAAGCCCUAGCUAGCCACAACAUCUCGUUAGGUUUCCAAACCGGGCUCACGUAUUUUCCUUUCCUAAAUUGUUGGUGAACUUGUUCUCCUCCUUCGCUCUUGCUCGGCUCUGAAGAAGGCCGAGGAGAGUGAGAAGGAGAAGAAGCCGUGUCUGAAGAAGACGCGGUCGGUACUUGAGUUUGAGGAAUAUUGGUAGCGGUGGUAGUGUGAGCGGUAGGUGAUAUUGGGCUUGAUUCCGCACUCAGUAUAGUACCGGCUUUCUGCUGCUGCGAAUGAUGUUGUUGUUGUUGAUGAUGAGAAGAGGAAGACGAAGAAAUGAAUUUCCAUUGACUUGCAGUAUAUCUUGGCCGCUUUGUAUUAACAACUUCAAACUGUUGCUGUUCGAAAGAAACAGAAGUAGCAGCAGCAGUCGGUAUAUUAUAAAGUGCAGAAGAAGAAAUAUAAGGAGCACCAGAAACCACCGACUGCUGCGGCUGCUGUAGCGGUAUAGUAUUAUCUGGUGAAUCUUGUUCAUGAGGGUCAACUGGAGAGUUAGAUAAAUGUUGUUUCUUGGUGCUAUCUCCUUUGUUUUCAUCCAUCUCUUCAAUAAGGGCCCCAGAUGGAUGGGGAAAAAAAUACUAAUUAAACACACACACACCGCCCUAACUCUUCUUAGUCACAAAGUAAAACAAGAACCAUACAGAGUAUUGAGAAAAUGAAACCACCAUUACUUUGCUAGCUGUAAAACUAGAUCUGUUCUAUUUAGACUUUCUUUCAUUUUAAAUAUACUCCAUUUCAAUUUAUUUGUCUUAAUACAGGAGUAUAUUUUAUAAAUGUCUAAAUUCACAAUAAACAUUAGUUAAUUUAACUUUCAUACUCCGAAUUAAAAAAAAAUUAUAAAAAGGAUAUUGAAGAGACCUAUGUUGAAUCCUAGGGUAUCUUGAAAGGGAAAGAAAAGUGAGACUUGUAUAAGAAAAGGGCAGAGAAAGAAAAGUCGAGAUUGUGGAACCUGCAGUUGAAUGAGACUUGACCAUGAGCUCAAUUUUAACAGUAAAUGCCUCUCUUGUUAAUAUUUUAGUAUUAUUUUACUUGGUACUAAAAUCUGAUCAAAGUGGGGGCGUGUUUGGGGGGUAUGAAAGAGAAAACAAGUGUUUGAUUUGAGAGUAAAAGUAAUGAUUGUACUGAAAAAAACAGAAAAAUGCGGCUACGAAUGAGUUAACAUUCAUUCUUUUAACGAAGAAGCAAUUAAUGGUCUUUGUUUCCUCUGUUUGGACUUCUGUUUUUAUCAGAACAAGACUUGCUUUGGAUCUACUCCCAUACUUAAUUUUAUGUGUUUUCUUUCUCUUUAUUUACUAUUCUUAGACUCCUCGACUAAUCAAUGCCUCUGCCAACUGAUUAAUCCAUUGGCGCAUGCAUCUUCAUUAUUUCAUUUUUCAACCUAUUCCAUAAUUCACUACUACCUUUUCGAUUUCAAUUACUCUAUUCACAUUUUUAAUUACAUGUAAUCACUUAUUGAGAAAAAAUAAUCCUGUAGUUUGGCAUCUCCGGAGUAAAUGAGUGAUCAGUCCAAUAAUAUUUGUUCACUAUUGAUUCUGCACAUUAUUUAAAAAACUAUAAAUAAAAGGUAAUUUUACUAUAUAACCCUUUGAAUAUAAAAAAUAUAAUGCCUUGAAAAAUGUAAUAGGAAUAAAUUAGGAACUAAAUGUAAAAUUAUCCAGAAUUUCAUAAAGUGGAUAUUCCCAAUAGUAUAGUGGACAACUAUUGUUGGACGAGAUACCUUAUAAGUUAAGAGUUAAAAGUUAUAAAUUGAUCGUAUUCAAUUUUGGUCUUUUGGCUUAAGUAAGGGUCUAUUUGGAAAGUCACCUGGUAAUUGGAUUUGUUGUAAUUACUACAGUAGUAAUUAUCAGCCUAGUAAUUACAAAGUCUAGUAAUUAUGCUGACCUGUUUGGUUGCCUUAGUGUAAUUAAACUAUAAUUACACAUGUCAUGUUUGAAUGUCAUAGUGUAAUUACACAUGUUCUGUUUGGAUGCACAAUUGCAAUCAUAAAAAUUAUAUUAAAUUUAAAAAUAAAAAUUAAUUAUUUAAAAUUUAUACUAGACAAAUACGAAAGUUUAUAAAUGAUAUUAAACUAAAAAUUUAAGAUAUAUAUUAUUUUUUGAAAAUAUAUUAAUUAAUAAACAUAUGUUCUUAACUAAUAUUAUGAAAAAAUUAAUUGAUUUAUAUUUUUUCAAAUUAAUAUAUUUCAAUUGAAUUGAUCAUAAAAACUAAAAGUAUGAAGUUUCUACGAACAUCGUGAAAUGAAUGUUUGAUAAAAAGAUUAAUAUACAAAUAAAAUUUCAUAAAUUAUUAAAAUGUUUGACAAAAAGAUAAUCUAUCAACUUAAUUAAAAAAUGACUUACAAUGUGAAUUCAAUAUUAUCAAAACAAAUGAAACUGAAAAUAUAACAUAAGUUAUAAAUUUUAAAAAAAAAUUAACAUAAUACUCUUAUCGCAAAUUUCAACAUAGCAUACAUAAAUAUGAUUUAUUUUUAUUUUAAAAAAAAACGUAAGUCUAUAACCUUACUUAACAAUAAAUUCUAUUUUAAUUCAAAAAUUAGAAUACUAAUAAAAUUAUGCCAAUGAGAAAAUAAGCAUGGCAUAAAGAAAUAGAUAAUAAGAAAAAAUUGCAUAGAAUCACGUAGUAAGGUUGAGAAUGAGAAGAAAAUGAACUAUAAUAACAUAAAUAAAAAAUAAAAUUUUAGAAUAAUAAAAAUAAAAAAAGAACUUAAAAUAAUAGAAAUAAAAAAAUUAAAACAAAAAAAUAAAAAUAGAAAUAAAAAGAAGAAAAUAAAAAGUAAUCAGCUAGUAAUUACAUCAGCAAUUCACAUCCUCUCCAUGUGAAUUGGAGAGUGUAAUUAUCCCCCUGCCAAUUACACCAAUUAUCUGCUGACCAAGUAAUUACAUGUCCAACCAAAUAUGAUAGACAGUGUAAUCACACCCAAUUAGACCAAAUCCAAUUUCCAGGGUGGCUUUCCAAACAGGCCCUAAGUGCUUAAAAACACUUUUUGUUUUUUUCCAAACGCUUUCAAAAAUAAAUAAAAAUGUUUAUAGGUCAAAUACUACUUAAAAUAAGUCGAUUCUAACACCCAAAGAUUACUCUGUUUGUUUUAAUUUAUUUCACAUAUAUUGACUUGCCCGAAAUUCAAGAAAAUAGAGGAAAAUUUUGAAUCUCAUGGUGUUAUGUUAAUGUACCAAAAUAUCCUUUACAAUCUUAGGGGUCGUUUCAAUGAUAAUAUCAAAUAGUCCUGGGAUUAAAUUUUAGUGUCACUUAAUUUGUUGUUUAGUUGACAUGUUCAAGAUAACAUAUAUCAGAAUUAAUAGUUAGUAUCGGGAUAAGUUAUCCCUCUCCUUGAGUGGUAUAGUAAUUUUAAUACACAAUAUACAACAAUUCAAUAAUUAGGACUAGAAUUUCAAAAAGAAUCAGGAACUCAAGACACUAAAAUCUCAACAUCAACUCAUCUCAAGAAUAUUCAAAGUUAAGGAUAGAACCAUAGAUUACUCUUUUACUGAAUUUAGAUAGAUGCAGGACGUGAGGACUGAUAGCCUUACAUACCUGGGAAGAACAAAGUUCUUGGCGAAAUUGAUGGAAACUUGCAGAACACUUGAAAUCCUAACUUUUUCUACCCUUGAAACCUUUCUCGAAUGAUUUGAAGUGUUAAAGAAUGUAAAAAGGAUGUUUAACACUACUAAGACCCUUAACUAGGUGUAAAAGGGUCAGAAUUCAGGCUUAGAUGGGAUGAAAAAAGUUUGAAAUACCCUUAAUUAAUAGAAAACACACAACUCCAGGCGUGUCUAAUGGAGGUCCUAACGGAAAAAAACCUCGUCAAGAGGUUGACUGCCCAUCAUCUGUCAUCGUCAAAGUCACCUAAAAUUUUUGCAUGUGUGACGGACCAAUUGACGGUCUGUCACAGGUUUGACGGCCCAUCAGGGCUGUCGUCGGCAAUUAUUUUACACUUGGCUCUAUUUUCAGCGACCUUUUUCCUUUCCAUGUUCCGGGUCCUUACAACAACAAAUCAAACACUUAAUAAGAAAUAAUCUUAACAUAACUAAUCUCAUCAUAACUAAUCAUUUCAUAACUUGUAUUCAAACCAAACGACUCCUUAUGGUAUUAAAAAAUGUCAUGUGGAAUGUUAGAAUAAAAUAUAGGAAAAUUACGCGGUUAAGCAAACUUAUACUACUUAAUUACUCAUCAUAGCUAUAGUUUGCUAUAAUUACCACUCGCGACUAACAUUAUACAUUUAAUUACGUGGGCUAACUUCGAGUUUGUAUAAUUAGCCUACGUUUGUAUAUGUAUAAUUCGCCACAUUUGUAUAAUUCGCAGCUAACAAUUCUUUGUUUGAUUUGUAUUUGUAUGUGAUUGUUUGUAUUUGUAUAUGACGAUGAUUUCCUUUGAUUUUUUCAGUUUUGUCAUCAUAUACAUUCAAUCUUUUUGUGUAUAACUUUUUAAAGUUUGUAUAUACAUGUAGUUUUUGGAUUUUGUAUAGUAUAAUUUAUAUAAUGUAAUUUGUAUAAUAUAUUUUGUAUAAUUGUUUAAAGUUUAUACGUUUAUGUUUGUAUCAAUUUGUUAUUUCAAGUUUUAUUAUAUUUGUAUAAUUUCAGACUUUAUAUUAUACAAAAACACGUGAAUUAUAUAAACGUACCUACAAAUUAUACAACAGAUGAAAUUAUACAAAUUAUUGUCCUCUCUUGCUCGCCUCUCUCUACCCUCUCCCAAUCUCGCUCGCCUCUCUCCUCCCUCUCCCAAUAUCGCUNNNNNNNNNNNNNNNNNNNNNNNNNNNNNNNNNNNNNNNNNNNNNNNNNNNNNNNNNNNNNNNNNNNNNNNUCUCUCAAUCUCGCUUGCCAUAUAUACAAAUACAUAUGUAUAAUAUACAAUUAUCUAACCGAUAUACAUAUACAAUUCACCUCUCUCCCACUCUCUGCCAUCUCUUGCUCGCCUCUCUCCUCCCUCUCCUAGUUUCGCUCGCCACUCUCCUCCCUAUAUCAUGUAUCUACGAAUCAUAUUUAGAAAACUAUAGUUAUGGAGUAUAAUUAUGCUAUUUUUGAGUGGCUAUAUGCGAAAGUUUUGCUUAAAAGAAAAUAUACCGUUCUUUUUAAAACAGACUAAAAAAAUGUAGAUCUAACAAAUUGAAACAAAUAAAGUAUUUACCCUAGUCCUUACUUAUAAACUAUUAUCAAAUUUAGCCCCCACUCUAUUUUUAUUACAAUAAAAAACAUUACUUGAUUGCUUGAGUAGUGAACAAGUUGUGCUAAAACUUAAUUGGAAGCCAUUGAAAGUUCGCUUAAGCUUUAGUUUGAAAAUUUGAAUUUUCAAAAAUAAAAUUGAAUUAAGUAAUUGUUGAAAUAAAUUAGAUUCAUCCUAAGAGUUUGAAUCUCAAAUUUGAGACAAUUUAAGGUGGUUUGAAUUGGAAAUUCGAAGAAGAUCUUGGAAUAAGAUGACAUAUUUAUCUUUCGCGUAUUACUAGUUUAUUCCAUACAUAUGUAUCUGUUGUGUAAUUUUUUUUUGUAUAUCUAUGUAGACUGUUGUGUGGACUGCAAGUGACAAACGUUUACCCCUAGUUACUCCUGAUAAAACUCCUUGCAUGUGGUAACUUUUUUUUUUUUUUUUGUGUGGGUGGGAGUGGGAGGGAGUAUUCCUAUAGUUGAAAAAAAUACUAUAAUAUUGAUAUUGAAUUGGAAUUAAAAAUAGUAAUUAAAUUAUCAUAAACACUGUGUUAUGGAAGCAAUUUCCAUCUGACUUCGAUGCAAAACAUUAAGGUCGGUCAGUCUCUAAAUUUCCACAAACUCUUUCAAGCACGCACUCAUGGUUGAAAGUAGUGCCCAGAAGUUCACAAAGACUAGGAAGUAAAAGAGGGAUAAAGUAUAUGAGACAGAAAGCCAACAAAAGGGAUAAAAAUUUCUUUAUGUGAAUAUGUUGUCUUAUUAGGAGAAGACAACAUAUAUAUAUAAGUGUAGGAAUUGCAUGUUUUGGUGAGGAAAUAAAUGAGAUAUCCGUUGAGAAUGAAUUUGUACAUAAUUCUCAUCAGCACAAUUAAUUCGAUAGAAUGAAUAUGAAAUUUUACUUUGCAUAUUCAUCUGCACAAUCAAUUUAUGUGAAAACGCUAACAAUCGUUCGUAUAUGUAAAGGAAAGAUGAUAGGAAUAAUUUCUAGGCAAAAGAAAGGAACAUGUACUUCAGCAUUAUUAAUAUAUUUUGAUAAGAAUUGACACGUAGUGAAAUGAGCCAACAACAAAUAUUCAUCAAGUGAAAUACUCUUGAACUAAAUGAACAUAAGUUGAGACCUCCAUAACACAUAUCAUAUUCUUGAUUUUAUACAAAUUCCACGAUACUAACAAAUUAAAGUGUUUUUAUGGUCAUGCACACAUACCUUGGAUCUUAUGAAUGCUCUAGAAAGACGACUCUCAAGUCUUUCAUAAAAGGCGACCAUUUCUUUGCACUCAACAUAGGUGAUUCCCUCAAGUGUAUCUCAAAUAGACCACCUGAAGGCAAUAGAAUCAUUAGGAGCAAAGCAAGAUCAAUCUUAUAAAACACUACCUCACGUCAUAGGAAUUAAAAAUAAAAAAAGGUGUAUAUUGAGGCCUAAUGGGUCCACCACACUACCUCAAUUAAUGGGUUUUAGCCCCAUUCCCCUCGACGUUUUAAGGAUCAUUUUCCAUGUCAAAUCCUUGGUUAAAGGAUGCACUAAAUUUCUAUCAGACCUUACAUAUUUCAAGUAAAUAACAUUAUGUUUCAACAACUGUUUAAUUACAUCAUAUUUCUUUUCCAAACUAUUCCAUAUUUCCUUAGUAGAUUUAUAAGUAACAAAUAAAUCAAAUAAAGAAUCAGUAUAAUUUUGUAACCUUUUUUGUUGUUGUUGUAUAGAACUCAGAGUCAAGCCUGUAAUCUUCUUAUCGAAAAUUGACAAAAAUACAAAGAGAAAACAAUAAAUUUGUACCAAUCACGAAACAAUAAAUUCACCAAGGCCAAGUUGCUUUCGAUGAACUCAUUUAUUAAUGUACAUUGUUUAGAUUUGUCCCCCAAAAGUAUCUGUGUGGAGUAGCAUGUUACGUUGUUGUAUAUAUCUAACUAAGUCUGCCAUAUCUGUUAUAAAUUUUACCAAAAAAAUGGAUCAGCAGGUUGGUUAUUUUUCCAAUUGUGUUUGUUUCCUUAUUUAGUUAAACAUAGCUAUUAUAUUUACAAAUACAUAAUUAUAAUAUUUAAAUAUCAUCAAACAUAACAAUAAUUAAGGUUUUAUAACAAAUUCCUAAAAAGGAAAAGAAAAAGUAAACACGACUCCCACCAUCAUUCCCCCCACCCCCCAAUCUAUUUUCUCUCCUUCCAGCGGAUCCAGAACUGUCACUAGGACGACCUCAAGGAAUUUUCCUUGACGCUUUAUUCACUAGGUUAAGUGCAAAAUUUAAAGGUUUUUCCUAUACAAGAUUCUUAACAUAUACUUUUCAAAGGAAUUAAUGUAUUUUUACUAACACUUUAUUUUCCUAUUAUAAGCUAGUCCAAGGAGAUGGGACAUAUAGUCUAAACUCUCAAUUUUGACUGAUUGCUCUCUGGAAUAGAACACACGAUCUCAAGCAAUUUUUGCAGUUCAUUAACCACUAUAUUAAAUCUUCAACUUGUGUUAAGAUAUAUAUAUAUAUAUAUAUAUAUAUAUAUUUAUUAAAUUAAAAUUAAACCUCGAUAUAUAAUAUAUAAUAUAAUUUUCCGACUUGGUCAAUAUAAUUGUCAGAUCUAUUUGAAGAAUUUAGUAAUUUUUAAAGUUGUAUCUAGAUUUUUUAGGGGUUGCAUCAGUAUCUAGAAUUGAGUGUUUUGUUAAUCUCUCCUAAUAAGUAUUGUAUCUAAAAAUGUUUUUGGGUUAUAACAGUGUAUCUAGUAAAAUUGAGAAAGUGUAUAUAACAAAAUUGAGUGCUUAGUUGAUUACUCGAAUUGAAUGUUGUAUAUGAUAUAGAGUGACAUGCUCCAAAAUCACUGUAUCUAGCAAAAUGAGAAAAUAUUGAUACAACUAGAUUGAACGAAUAAUAUAGUGUAUCCAAUUAAAUUAAGUUAACAACACAACAAAAUUGUUGUAUUAGUAAUACAAUGCGAAUUUCAAGAGAUUAUAUAUGAGAUACAAUACGAAUUUCAGACUUGUUGUCACGCAUCGUAAUUAUCAAAAGUGUUACUAUGUAUGGUAAAAUCAACACCAAAGUAGCGCUAUUUGUGAAAUUCCUCUAAUAAAAUCAACCCCCCAAACUUCCCCUUCCUCAACCCCUUUAAUUCAACUGGCUUAAUUCCGUUUAAUUUAUUGGUAAACUAGACCAACUUAUAAAUUGACAAUUGACUCAAAAUUUUCUAAAAUUCAGAAAAUAACAAUGAACCUAAAUAACUUAUUAAAAUGGGAUAGAGUACUUUCAAACAAUUUAUAUUUUGUUCCAACAGCUAAACAAAUAAAUGAAAACCUUAACUAUUUGCUAUAUCAACGGGUUUUGACCACUGAUAAUUUUUGAACUAGUAAAUGAAGUCAUGAUUCACGUUGUAUUAUAUAAAAAGUAGGCAGAAGUUUUGGAUUCGAAGAUAAAGAAUAUCUGAAUAUGUUACUACCACUAAAAAAAAGCAGAUUUAUAUAAACUUAUGUCUCAAUUUACGUGAAAUUCAUUUUUAGUCAGUUUUUAAAAAAUAUACUUUUUCCGUCUCAUUUUAUGUGACACUUUUCGGAUUUCGAGAUUCAAACAAGUUUAAUUUUAACCGUAAAUUUUUUGUAGAUCUUUUAAACAUUUUGAAUUAUCAAUUGUUGUGAUUUCUAGUACUUUUUAUGUAGUUUACAAAUAUAUAAAUUUCAUUUCAAAAAAAUUGAAGAUUUCAUGCGCAAAUUCCCGGUCAAACUUAAACUGUUUAACUCUCGAAAAAUAAAAAGUGCCACAUAAAUUGGGACAGAGGGAGUACUAUUUUUUUAUAUUUAGUAUUUUCUCUGUCCUAAUUUGACAUCUUUUGAAUUUUGGAGAUUCAAACAAGUUUAUCUUUGAUCGUAAAAUUUUCAUACAUUUUUAAAUAUGUUGAAUUGUCAAUUAUUGUAACUUAUACUCCCUCUGCCCCAUUUUAUGUGAGGUAGUUUGACUCGAUACGGAGUUUAAGAAAUAAAUGAAGACUUUUAAAACUUGUGAUCCAAAAUGAAUGAUAGAAAUGUGUGUGGCUGUAAAUCAUAUCAUUAAUGGUAAAAUAGACAUCUUAUAGUUAAAUUGUUACUUAAUAUAAAAAUGUGUCAUUCUUUUUGGAACUCACUAAAAAGGAAAGUAAAUCACAUAAAUUGGAAGAGUAAUACUUUUUACAUAGUUUACAAAUUUAUAAAUUUCAGUUCAAAAAACUGAAGAUACCAUGCGCAAAUUCCUAAUAAACUUAAAUUGUUUGACUAUCAGAAAUAAAAAAUAUCACAUGGAUUACAAAGAGAGUAACAAUUUGAUUUUAAACUGUUCAUUUCACCCUUAUAAGAUGAUCUAUGACACACAAACAUUUUUUAGACCAUAAAUUUUAAUUUUUUUUCUUUAAUUAAACAAUAUCACAUAAAUUGAUCUAUAUAGACGCACAAACAUUUUUAGAUCAUAAAUUUUAAAUUUUUUUAAAAUUAAAUAACUUCACAUAAAUUGAAACUAAAAAAGUGAUUGACUUGAAAACGCACAUGAGAGAAAAAAUGGGAGGAAAAAAAAACACUUUGGUAGACAACAGGCAAGUGGAGCAGUGGAUAAAUAAACAAGCCCCAAGUAAUAAGUAUACAAAGCUGGCCGGCCAGAGACACUCCGCUCCCUCGAUACCUAGCAACCCGCAUUAUCUUUUCUAAUUAGACUCGUAGUUGUGAGACAAAUUCAAAAUUUAUAUUUAAUGAAUUAUAUCUUUAUAAUUUUAUUAUUAUAGUGCUUUUCUGUAGUUUCAAAUGUGUAUAAUUUAUUUUUAAAAAUAUAAAUACUUCAUGUCCAAACUCACAAUUAAAUUUAAAAAUUCAAUUCUCGAUAUUCAAUACUUGAUAGUGGCACAUCAUUGAGACAGAUGGAGUAUUUUUUUUUUGAAACUAUCUAAAAAGAAAAACAGAUAAAUAUGACUAUAUUAUAUCUACACUAUAUAAUUCGAGUCUUAAACAAGAAUUUGAGCUACGUUAAUUUGCUAGUUUUACAUUCAUCAAAAUCAAAUAGUCUAUAUAUAAUUUGAGUGAUAUAUAGUUGAAUUGGUUCUUUUGCUCCAUAGGUUUUUUUUUAUAGAUUACACUUAUAAAUGUUGCCUAAAUUCUUAAUUAUGCAUUUGAGAAAAAGUGUGAAUAUUGCAAGUCCUAAAAAUAAAAAGGCUCUGUCUAAGUUUACCUUUUGCCGUCUCUUGUUCACAUGAAGAGCUAAUUUAUGGCAAUAAUUCACAGACCCUAGCUAAUAGUUAAUUAUUAUAAUGCAUUUAGCUUAGGGUUGGCAAUAAUCACAUAUACUUUAUCUAUUACGCAGAUCAUCAUAGGCUCCAAAUCCUAUUUUCCUUGACCCCUAAUUUUAAAAAGUAAGAGAAGAAUUAAUUGAUAUUCCUAAGAGAAUGUGAGAUAACCAUCAUUAUCGUUGUUAUAUAUCAAGCCGUAAAUAAAAUCGAGUAAAAACCACUACAAGAAAAGUGUGAAUUACAUGGAAUUUUCCUGGAGAUUAGUAUUCUGUAGACAACUUAUUUUCCUACAAAUUUUCAUACUAAUCCCCAGAAAAAUCCCCAUGUAAUUUACACUUUUCUUGUAGUGACCUAAAAGAUAUUAUGCACAAAAAUUUAGAAACAUGUGAAGUGAUUUAAACUUGUUUCAAGUAAACGAAGAUAUCAAAAUAAAACACCUCUAUGGCAUAUAUAUAUAAAAGAAAUCAUAUGUGAUAUACAUAAUAGAAAAUAUAACGGUUUGUCAAUUGUCAUAGACAUCAUUACAACACGAGUAUAUCAUAUUUUCUAUUAUGUAUAUCACAUAUGACUUCUUUUAUAUAUAUAUAUAAAAGGAUAUACUCGGUAUACAGUGGAGAUAUACAGAUAAAAAUCCUUUUUAGUUUGAAACUCAACUCAAAUCCAUCUCAAAUCACCUUCGAAAUUGUUACCUUUAAGACGUUCCCAACAAAAAAUUUAAAUUUUGUUUAGAAAAAGUUAGCAAAAGGGCCGUGAGUGAAAAAGAGAAAAGAAUCUACAUAGGGAGGAAUUUUUUUAGAAGAAAGUCUAAUUGGAAUAAAAAGAAAAAGGAAAAACAGAAGAGUUGGUAAUAAAUACAAAAAUAAUAUCAUGAGAGGGAGGCAAAACAAAUCAAUAAGAAAAACUACAAUAAAAAUUAUCUUAGGAUAAAAGAAAAAGAUUUUUUUUUAUAAAAUCUUGUUUACUAGCAAAAGGAUCGCGAGUGAAAGAGAAAAAGGACAAUCUACAUAGGGAGGAAAUUUUUUAAAAGAAAGUUCGAUUGGAGUAAAUUAAAAAAGAAGAAGAGAAGAGUUGGUUUUAAAAUAAAAUAAUAAUAUGAUGAGAGGGUAUCAAACUCAGGCAUAGAAACGAAUCAAUCGAACGACUUUGAUCACUCACAUACAAGUUACAACCAUAGUAUCAAUUAAAUAAUUUAUUACAUGGAUACUCUUUUUUUUAUUUUUUUUAUUACAUGGAUACUCACCUUUAAUUUUAUAAGUUUUUUUUAACUUCUAUAUAAAUAUAUACUAUAAUUUAAUAUGAGGUUAGUAAAUGCUGGAAUGGUCAGAAGGCGUAAUGUGAAUGAUCUUAAUGAUAAUAAUAGCUUAAAAAAAUUCAUAAUCAUCAUCUCAUUAAUAAAGGUAUUUCAAAUCAUUAUUUAAAAGUUUUAAAACCAUGACCAAAGCCAUUGAAUAAUGUUUCAAAUCAAUAGCUCAUUCAUUAGAGAAAAAACAUGUUGAUAGUCAUUACUUCAAAUUCACCCCAACAAAUUUCACUAAUGGAAAAAAAUAUGUUCCUACGAACAAUGUUUUCAAAAUAUAGAAAAAUUUAAAAGAAAUAUUUUCUUCCGUAUCGAACACGCCCUUAAUUUCAUGCAUUUUAAUUUUGGGAGAAGGUCAUGGUUUUGCAUGCACGCUACAUAACUGUGACCUUUAUAGUUGCUAGAGUUUAGGUUGGUUCACAUAUAUAUAUUUAGCAUAGUCUCCAACAAAAACAAAUUUGCACAUGGAAGAUUAUCUUACAAAUAAGGAAAACAAUUUGAUUGAAUCAAGAAAGCAGAAUUUAUAAUAUUUUAUUGUACAUGUAGUAGUUUAUAGAAAGUGAAUACCAGCGUUAACUUGUUGUAAUCUAAACCUUACUCAAAUAAGUAAUAACCAAACUACAAAAUUACGUUAACUCAUAGUAAUGAGCUAGUGUACUUUGAGUAAAAUUGUUACGUGCGUAUAUCUUUCUUUUAGGAAAACGUUUAUAUAAUAGGAAAAGGAGUAAUUAAAACAAGUACAAAGGGGAAAAGAAGAAAAAGGUAAAUGAUUGAGCUAUUGGAUAGCUUUCUAUACUAUAUGAAAGGGCAAACAAGAACUAAAAGAAAGUAAAGUGAAGUACACAAAAAUAAUUAUAAUAAUAAAUAAUUGUUACUUAUUACUACUUUACUAUUAAUAAAUAAAUUAAAUGAUUGUAAUGUUUGGUAAAUGUUUAUGGUCUUAUUAUUUAGAUUAGAUCUUUGGAUUUUUAGGUGCAACUUACAAAGCAAUACAUACAGAACAUAAUAAAUUAGUAGUUUUAGAGUCAAAUGUUGUAGUAAUAAUUUUUUCAAAUGUUCUCUAAUAUUUUAAAUAGUUAACUAGUGUGAUUACUUACGGUACUUUUAUAAUUUCUAAAUAGGUAAAAUUUAUUUUUAAAAAUAAUGAAGAUUUUAUAUCCGAAUUCAUACCGAACAUAAUUAAUUUGAUCCUCGUAUUCCAAAUGAUCACAACAAUCAUUUUAGGGUGAAGGGAGUACUAAGAGGUCGUUUGGUAGAUGGUUUAGAGAUGAAUUAUGCAUAAAUAAUAUAUAUCAAGUUUGCUAGCUGAUUAGGAGCUAAGUUAUUCUUGUAUAUAUAAAAUUAAUACGGUAUAUGACUUACAAUUUAAUUAGAAAUUCGCACAACUAAUACAUGUAUAAGUUAUAUAUGGAAGAAUUCAUGUAUAAUUUGAGAAGGGUAAAGAUGAAAUAAGUAAUACAUGAAUAACGAAAUCCUGCAUAAUUAAUCAUUGCAUAACAUAAUACAUAAAUUUCCUCAUAACGAAGAAUAUUAGCAAGUCAUGCAUUAUUCUAAUCAGUUAUUAAACGACUCCUAAUCAUAUAAAGAUAUUUUAAGCUUUAUUAAUAUAAGUUAAAUCUAUAAUGGAAAAGAGGGCAAAUAUACCACUCAACUUUGAGAUUUAGAGCAGAAUAUAACCCUCGUUAAAAAAUGGUGUGUAUACAUAUUCAUGUCGUCUAACAAAUGAUACAUUUUUACCCUUUUUCGUUAACAUAUCUAUAUUUACUUAAUUAAAACGAAAAUAUACUAGUUUUUUAAUUUCAAAAAUGUCACUUGGUUUUCAAACCUUAUCUCACUGCUUUUUUACACCUCUAGUCCCGAUGCAAAUAAAAAAAAACAUUUUUUCUUCUUACUCAGUCAUAAAAUAAUUUAAAUCGAGUUUGAAUAGAUAAAGAAUUGUGCUUUUUUCAAUUGGAUUGGGUUUGGGUGUGUUAAAAAAUGGAUAAGGUAACAUUGUUAAAUCAAGUGACAUUUUAGGAAUCUAAAACUACUUUUAAGGAUUUAAAAAAAAAAAUUAGUUUGUUAACGAAAACAAAAAAAAACAUACAUCUAUUAAACGAUGAAAACAUAUAUGCAUUAUUGAUUAAACGAUAAAGAUAUACACAUAUCAUUUUAGCUAAUGAUAAUAUAUCUAUUUUAAAUAGCAAAAAUCAAAAUAUAUAUCCCCCCUAAAUACCAAUCUCUAUAUAAAAUAAUAACGCCUCUAAAACAUGCAAGUGCAACUAGCUAGAAAUUACUAGAAUUAGCUAAUUUUAUUUUACUAUAUGUGGCUGAACAUGUGAUUCUGAUAAUUUUGAUUUCAUAUGAGAUAGUGGACGUAGUCACGCAAGAAAUUAAAGCAGAAUAUAUAAUGGAAUUGUCAUCAUGUUUUUUCUUAUUAUAUCAAAGUCUCUCGUGACUGAUCUAUUCAAUUCAGCCUGCGAUGGAUGGAGUGACUUUGCCUUUGCCUUUUGCAUGCAAAUUGAAACACCUAUCUAAUCAUCCUAUCUCCCUAUGCAUCUAUUCAUCAUCACUACUCUUAAUAAAAGCCUGCAAAUUUUAAACUAACUUGGACCAUCAUAUAAUAACCAUCAAACUAUGGAGUAGCAUUUUUGUUUUCCUCAUUUUUUACUUUCUUUUUUUUUCCCUAAAAAUAUUGUUAUACUCUAUAAUCAAAUAUAUUAGGAUUAUUUUAGUAUAGUUUUCUUUGUCAUCUGAUUAAUCGCUUCUAUAACUUGUAGUAUUACUAAUUUUCAUAUGUUGCUUUUCAAUCUUAGCAAAUGACAUUUGAGCUGAUGAUUCUAUGGUUCAGGUUCAACGAGGUCAAAAAACUUGGUCUAAUGUGGUUUCAAAUAAAUUGCAAACAAUUUGAUGAUAAUAAUGAUUAUAUGUAGCUACCUUAUGGAAUUUUUUUUAUUGAAAGUACCUUUGAAUUUGACGUAAAUUAUUAGUUUUAUCUCUGGAAUAUUGACCGCCUUAAAAGCACUCGAUUUGCCACAUAACAUAACAAGUGAUCUCAAACCCUUGUACGAGUAUAGUGCUCUUUAUAAAAAUCCAAAAAAAAUUGUUGAAAACACUCCAAAACUUGGCAAGAAUGUAAGAUUGUAUUUCACGACCUCAUAUUACAAGAUCAGAGUUGUAUUUGAAUUCAAUUAAUUAAAUAAAGAGAUAAUUUUAAAAAUAUCAAUUUAAGAAUAAAACUAAUAACUCACGCUGAAUUUAUGAGAUUUCAAUAGUCCGUCUAAUAACAAAAUCCAAUUAUAACAUUGAACAUUCUUGUUGCUAUGGAAGCUAUACCUACCUAGGUAUCUAUGUUAAUAAAAGGCUGCAAAUUUUAUAGUGAGAUGGACCAUCAUAUAAUAACCAUCAAAUUAAACCAUCUGUCACCAAAUCAAAGUAGUACGUAGUGGGUAGGUGGGGGUGGAGGAGGUUCUUAACUUUCACAAAAUUGGCACAAACCGUUAGGAAAAUGAAGAAUGACAAGUAAUAUUUUGGAAUAUAUAGCUAUUCUUUUGGUGUUAGAGCUACUCAUAUAUACUUACUUGUAGGCCGGCGACUCUCCUUUUCACAUGACUACGUAGGUUGCAAUCUCUGCACCCUUUGUCCCUUUCUUGUUUUUCUUUGUCUUUUAAUUUCAAUAUUCACUCAAAUAUGAUACAUAUAAUAGUGUCUCGAAAACAAGCUACAAUAUAUAUAUAAAAGGUGUUACAUAUUAAUAUGCAUCAUAUAUAUGCAUUGCCACAUUGUGCAACAACUUCUUCUGUCUGUUGGUGGGUAUUAUAUUAUAUGCCCUUAUUUCAUGUUCUCAUUUAGAGAGCCUCAUUAAUUAUGUUAACAUAAAGUCUUAUGUUAGUGGUUACAAUUGUUGGCUAUAAUGUUACAUUUAGCAGCAUAUAUAAAAGUGCUAAAUGUAAUAUUAUUGUCCGAAGUUUUGAACUCUAAUUUUUGUUCAGACUUUAUUGAGUUAUAUAUUGUAAGUGGACUUUUGUAUUUUGAAAGAGACAAGUGAAAAAGAUUAUUGUUGGACCAAUAAAAAAUAUUACUCCAUUGGAACACCCAAAUUACACAUUCGAAAACAAGUAUAAAUCAAUUGAUCCCAUAUUGUUUUAAGAAUAAUUUAAAUUAUUUUUUCACUUUUAUUAGACGAUGAAAAAGAUUAUAUUUAAGUCAUUUAUAUAACGAUAAAGAAAUACCUGAGAUUGUGUAACAAUAAAAAUAUAUAAACUAAUUUUUUAACAAAUGAUAUAGUAUCACUUUUAAAUCGCAAAAUUUAAAAACAGAGAAGGGCCUAAAAUGCCCCUCAAGUAUUUGAAUUGGUACAAAAUUACCCUCCAUCCACCUAUCGGCCCUAAAAUACCCCUGAGGCCCUGACGUCCACCUUUCGGCUAAAAAAUACCCUUAUGUCUAACGGAUCAUACUCAUUAGGUGGAUGGAGGGUAAUAUUGUACCAAAUCUCAUAGUUUAAGGGCAUUUUAAGCCCUUUUCUGUUUAAAUAAUUUGAAAUUAUUUAAUAUAUAAGCUCACAUGAUUGACUUGAUUUUGAAUUUCAUAGUAAAUUUAAAGUUAUAAAAAGGUUAGACAUCUACUCUCUACACUUCUCCCUCCCCAACCCUUCACUUCCUAUCUCUUCCAAAAAAAUUUCUAUUUCGAUCUUGUCCGCCAUUUCGAUUAGUCGAGGUAAGUAUAGAGUUUAGUUGGAUCCUCAUUUAUGAGUUGGGUUACAUUAUAAUAAAUUGGGGUUGAUUUAAAAUAGGCCAAUAGAAGAUAUCAUGAAAUUAAUUAUUUUUUCAAUAUUAUUUUCAAGUGUAUCGGGUCAAAAUUCGAAUCAUAAGUGGUAUUAUAGAAAAAUAGAAUUUCUAAAAAUAUCAUUUUUAUUAUUUAUUUGAGAAUGAUUUAAAUUUGGACCAAUCACAUUAAGCAAUAUAAUAAAUAAAUAUUUAAUAAUUUUACUUUAAAGAAGCCAUUAAAAAUAAGGGCAAAUCUGAGUCAAAGGAUUAACAUCGAGGGUAUUUUUGAGCCGAAGGGUGGACGUCAGGGAUAUUUUAGGGCCGAUAGGUGGAUGAAGGGUAAUUUUAUACCAAUUCAAAUACUUGAGGGGCAUUUUAGACCCUUCAAGUCCUUUUCUCUCUCUCUAUAUAUAUAUUUUAUUUAUUUUUCUUUUUUCCGAAGCAUAAAGUGCAUUACUUCAUAAGUAUUAAAAGUCCUUCCCGUCCCUUGUAUAAAAGGAACAAUACACAGUCUCUUCAAAUUUACGUAUCAAAAAAUAAGAAUUAAUUAUUCCUUCCGUUUACUUUUGCUUGUUUAUAUAUAUUUUUUAAAAUCGCCCAACAAAGUUUUUACCAAAAGCACAGAUGUUUUGUUGGGCCCUAAGCAUGAAAGUGCACUACAUCAUAUUUGAAAUCCUUGCCGUCCCUUCUAAAAUAAAAAUAAAAGGAGCAAUAUACCCUCUUCUAAUUUUUUUUCCAUAUAUACUGUUAAUAUUAAAUAACUAUAUAAAAUAUUAUGUCAAAUAUAGAGUUCAAAAAUAUCAUAUUGAUUCGGACAUGCCAAAUGAAUAUGCAGUAAUGUAAAUUUUAAUUAAUAAUAUGAUGAUAACAUCCCUCGUGGCCUUUAUUAUUAUGAAACUUGUUUUGUUAGAAAUCUUUUUUUCUUUUUUUUUUGUAACAAUGGUAAGGCAUCAAAAGCCGGCCGUGGGAUUUGAAUACAUCAUAAAUAAAAUAGUUUAUGCAUAAGAGAGGAAAUAAUUAACAACUAAAAAGUAAAAACCAUCUAAAGGUCAACCAUAAUAAUAAUUUUAAGAAAAAAUGCGACUAUCAAACGUAAGAUUGUAGAUGAAUUAUAACAAUCAUCAAUGCUGAAGUAUCUAGGUCUCAAUGAAUUAGCUAUUGGUAUAAAUGCUUUCUAGAGUAACCCCUUUAUUUAUUAUCUUGCUUUUUAUCGUUCCCGUUAAUUUUCAUUAGUAUGAAUUUAGGAAUAAUGAAAAAUUAUUUUUUAAUUAUAUCAACCAAAUCGAUUCGAAAGGUAGAAAUCAACAAAAGAAAAAGUAAGUGGACAUGACAUAUUGAAUCAUGAGUUUAAGUUUUGUGCAUCGUCAGUGUACAAAAUUUUCUACACCAUCAGUUACUUUUAAUGAGAUUUAACCAUAGUAUUAAUAAAAUAACAUUUAACUAAAAAAAAAAACAAUACAACAAAGGUAGUUGAAUCAGACUUGGAUUCUAACCAAAAUUAUUUUCAUAACUAAAUUAUUUUCUUCCAAAGUACGUCACUUUCUUCCCAGGGAACUUCAACUCCUAUAUUUUGCUCAUCUACGUUUAACUUUUCCAUUAAUCUUGCAAAAUACAAUUAUAAAUGUUAGAUAGCUUACAAUUAAUUAUAAAUCUGAUCAUAUAAAUAGUCAACAUGUUUAGUAAAAUAUAUUUAAUAUUAGUGAAAGUUCAAUAAAUAAACUCCUUCCCAAUAAUCUAAAGAGCAGAGCUUAAGUAUUGGGGACAAUAUGAAGACACUUUAAGAUACAAUAUUCACCUUUCAGGAGACUAUGUUCACUUGUUUUUAGUGCAUUGAAAUUCUUCUGCUCGUGAAGAUAUGUUUAAAAGGGCUUUUUUUAUGUUUCUAAAUGAGAAAAAUGUGAAAUUUGUUCUAAUUGCAUGACGAUAUAUCACUAAGUAGAAGAAGCGUGUCAAGUUUCAAAAUUGUUUGACACUUUAAAAAUUAUUUCUUACCGGUUGUUGGUUGACAAUGUUUGAUGUUGUGAAAAAGUUUGAUGCUGUGAAGAAUUACUUGAGCUAUAGAAAAAAGUGAAAAACCUACGAUAAACAUAGUAAUUGUAAUUAACUUUGAAAAAAAAAUUUAAUUAUGGAAAUAAUUUUGGUUAGAAUCCAAGUAUGAUUCAACUACCUGUUGAUGUUCUUUUUUUCCAGUAAAUUGUUGAUUUUCUUUUUUCAUGAAUUAUGGUUAUUUUAUUAAAGUAAGUUACUAUGGUUAAAUCUCAUUAAAAGGAACUGAUGAUGGUGUAGAAAUUUUUUUACACCGACGAUGCACAAAACUUAAACUCUUGAAUCAUAACUCUUUUCUAUCCGAUAAGAAGGGUAGUAGCACAAAAUUUAUUUCUAAGGAAUUGCCCCAUAGAUCCUAUAUAUAUCUAUAUAAGAAGAAUUCAUGUAACGAAGGAGAUUCUUAUUUGUACAAAUGAUACUUUGAGUUUGGAACGAGCAUGAAGAGAUUAACGAUACUUCUUUAAUUAGUUGAAAAUGAAUUAUUAAAAUAAAUCAAUUAUAAAAUAGUAGUAACUAAUGAUUUCGCAUCUAAAAAAGCUAGAAAACUAGAUUUUAAAAUAUGAUGAAAAAUAAAAUAUUAGGGCCCCUCUCUUAAGUUUCGCUUUAGGCCUCCAAUCUUAUUGAGUCGGCCCUGGCCCUGAUCAUAUGUUAAUAAUUUUUUUUAUUUAUUUUGUUAAUUUAUUUCAUUAUAGAAUAUUAUUAACUUACAUACUUAAUUAUUAGUAUUUCUCACUUUUCUUUCCUCUUGAAAAUAAUAUUUAUUCUUUCUAUUGAGAAUUCAUUACAUAAAUUAAAAACAAAAAAAUAUCAUGAUGUUAAAGAAGUAAAAUAUAUAAAAGACAAACGCCAAUAAUGUAAGGAAAAUAUCGACAUUUAAAAAAGCCGACUUAGAAUAAUGGAGAGAAAAUUUUAACUAUUCAAAAUUGGAGGAAGAAGUUUAAUUUAUUAAGUAAAGUUGGAGGCCGGAUGCGAUUUAGGCCCUAUAUAAUAAAAAUAAGCACAAGACACAUCACACGUUAAAAUAUACAAUUUAAUAUCGGUAACAUAAUUGCUUGAUUGUGUAAUUGAAAAUUUAUUUCCUCAUCUUCGAUUCUGAAAUUGGUAAUCUUGGCUUGUUUUUUCUCAUAGUCAUAAUAUAACCUUCAUUGUUUGUCUCAUCAUCAUCAACAUAGUCAUUGUUCUCAUUUUCAUCAACAUAAUUAGUACUAGUACUAAUAUUCUUCACUAUUUUGAUAUCUUUUUUCCUCAUUUCCACCACAAUAUUCUUAAGCCAAUCCACCACUUCUAACAUGCUUGGUCUAUUUUCAGGAUUUCCAUCAGUACAUUUCAUGGCAAUCAAGAUUGUGUUCUUCAAUUGUUCACGAUUGAACUUUCCUUUGAGCCUAGGGUCAGCAAUAUGAUUAAAAUCACCUUUUUGUAUAUAUGGAAGAGCCCAAUGCACAAUGUCACGUUUGACACCAUUAGGAAGUUUUUCUAAGGGUUUUCGAGCGCUUAUGAUUUCAAGAAGUAAUAUUCCAAAACUAUAGACAUCACAACUCUCAGAGACUUUUCCCCACAUAGCGUAUUCGGGAGCUAAGUAGCCUAGGGUUCCUUUAACCCUUGUUGUUAGAUGUGUAACACCAUCAGGUAUCAACUUAGCAAAUCCAAAAUCUGCCACUUUUGCUUGGAAAUUUGAAUCUAAAAGGACAUUGCUUGCCUUUAUAUCUCUAUGUAUGAUAUGAGGAUUUGCUUCAUGGUGCAAGUAACUACAAAAAUAAAAUUAAAAUUAAUUAGAUAGUUGAGAAGAAUUAUAAGCGGCACUACAAAAAAAAAGUAUGAUUCUCAGUAAAGACGUGUAUAUGACGACUUUCUGGGUCAUCAAUUAACGGAUAUAGAGUCAAAAUUUUUAUUAAAAAAAUAAUAUGUAUAAAAGUAAACACGCAAAAAAUAUCAAGAGAGAAUUCAACAUAUAACAAUAUACAUAAAUUAUUAUUUUUAUCUAUCUACUCAAUAUAAUUUUCCAGCAAAGGGCAUCUAUUGACACCCUUUUGGCCAGCUUGCCAUGAAAAACAAGAAGGUAAAAAAUAAAAAGAGUUUUCGAUAGAAAAAGAGGCCGGCAAUAGAAGUAUUCAGAUAAUUAAUUCAAAUUCAGCGUAUAUAAUAACUAGAGAGUCAAAUAGAUUUUUAUGGAUAUACAAAACGAAUAUACGUGUUAUCAUCUAGACUCUAGUACUAUUAUAUACUCAUCCAAGUUUCAAUUUGUUUUUGUCUACUACUUUUUCAAACUAUAUUCAUGAAAUUAAUAUUUAAGAUCAUAAAAUUAAAAGACAAUUUGGUAUAUUCUAUGUAUCUUUGUUUCAAGUCAAAAUCAGACAAAUAAAUUAAGAUCGAAGGGGUUAAGAUUUGAAUGCAAGUGCUUACCAUAAUCCAUCGGCAGAUCCAAUAGCAAUUUUCAUUCUUCGUUGCCAAUCAAGAAGACAAUCAGCAGAAAGUGUGCCAUGGAGAUGAGUGAUUAAGCUAUGAUUAGGCAUAUAAUCAUAAACAAUAAGCCUUUCAUCCUCACCAGCAUAAAAUCCUCUAAGACCUAAUAAAUUUUUAUGUCUCACCCUUCCAAGUAUCUCCACUUCUAUUGCAAAUUCCAUUUCUGCUUUCGCACUCAUUGCCUUUAGCCUUUUAACUGCUAUCUAAACAAUUAAACAAAAAAAAAAACAUGUAAUUAGUUAUGAACUUCAUCGCUAAUCUGUCAUGAAAAUUACUCAUAGCUAGUAUAAUUUUAAUGAUAGUAAUAUGUAGCUAAAGAGAAUUAGUGACGGAUUUUGUUGUUUAACUACUUGAAGUAGAAAAGAUAGAGUUGAUUGCCUCGAUGCCUUUACUUGUUCGACCCCAAUAAACACUUCCAAACCCUCCUUCACCAAUCUUGUUAUCAUUAUGGAAGUUGUUCGUAGCGUUAACAAGCUCUUUUAAUGUGUAAAUAUCCCAUGGAUAAUCCCUGUUCUUGAUCUGACCACUGAAUAAUUUCAUCACGAACGAAAAAGAAAUAUUUAAAAUUAAUUAAGCAUAUACAUAAACAUAUAUAUGUUAAUUAAAAUUAUUCGAUGAUAUACCUGAUUUCUAGUUUUUGAUCACCACCAAAACAAUUAAAACAUCUCUUAAACAUUAUUGUUUUUGGGAGAGAAAGGAGCACAAAUUAAAGGAAUUAUAAUAGAAGAGGAACCAGCAAGAAAAUGGUAGAUAAAUGUUGAAUAUAUCAAUGCAAAUUAAUGGAAUGAGUCGUACGUACAAGAGAGACAAAAUGGCAUCCUUGGAAGUCAAGGACUUGAUUUUAAUUAAAUUAUUUGAUCAUGAUGUUACAUAUAUAUUAUUUUAUUUUAUUAGAUUAAAAAAACACUCAAAUUUAAGGGUUUUAUUGUGUAUUAGAUCUUCAAGAAGUAUAUAUAUAGGGUGUGUUUGGUAUAACAAGUUUCUUAAAAUGUGGAAUGAUUUUCCGAGAGAAAACAAGUUUUAUAAAUAACUUUUGAAGUUUAUUGUUUCCUUCUUACUGAUCAUUCAACGUCCCCAACCCCCAUCUCUUGACCAUUUCACUUCCUCCACCCCCGAACUCUCACUUCCCAACCCAUCUCAAUUCUCAACAUAAGAAUAUUUUGCUAGUUUAUAUAUAAAUGCUUAGUGAAUAUUAUUUUUUAUUUUUUACUUAGUUAUCAAACAUUAGACAAUAAGUAAGAAACACACUAAUUUUCAAAAAAAAAUAUUUUCUAAUAAAGCAUUUUCAUUCCUGCAAAAUACACGUUAGUUUUAUGCCAUUUGAUGAAAUCAAUUGAUCGAAAUAUUUAUUGCGAUAUCUGAAUUUUGCUUCACAUAUUAAAACAAUAAAACUACCUGCCUUUCAAAAGAUUGUCAUGCCGCCCAAAUUUGCUUCAAAAGUAAUUACCAACAAUAUUUAGUGUAAUUUUAUAAAUAGAUUCAGAAAAAACAAACUUUUUACGCUUCAAAAGUUAGCAUAAAAAACAAAUCUCAACUGGAAAAUGAAGUUCUUUAAUGACUUGCUUUAGUGUUCCUCACUUUAUUGUAUUAUUUAACAUAAAAAUGAAUGUAAAUUGUCAUUUCUCUUGAACAUGAUCUCUUUGUCCACUUUAUAUUGUAACUACUAUCACGCGACAAGUCAAACUUAUUUAUGUUUUGAUUGUAAUGUAAAAAGUGAUAAUUAUUUUGACUCUUAUAAUAAUUAAAAUUCAUUCAUGGGGAAAUUAUGCGAUUAAGCAAAUUUAUACUACUCUCCUUCCUCUCCCAAUCUCGAUCACAUCUCUCAUCCCUCUCCCAAUCUCGCUUGCCAUAUAUACAAAUACAUAUGUAUAAUAUACAAUUAUCUAACCUAUAUACAUAUACAAUUCACCUCUCUCCCACUCUCUGCCCUCUCUCGCUCGCCUCUCUCCUCCCUCUCUCAAUCUCGUUUGCAUAUAUACAAAUGCAUAUGUAUAAUAUACAAUUAUCUAACCUAUAUACAUAUACAAUUCACCUCUCUCCCACUCUCUGCCCUCUCUCGCUCGCCUCUCUCCUCCCUCUCUCAAUCUCGUUUGCAUAUAUACAAAUGCAUAUGUAUAAUAUACAAUUAUCUAACCUAUAUACAUAUACAAUUCACCUCUCUCCCACUCUCUGCCCUCUCUCGCCCGCCUCUCUCCUCCCUAUCCCAAUCUCGCUGGCCUCUCUCCUUCCUCUCCCAAUCUCGAUCACAUCUCUCAUCCCUCUCCCAAUCUCGCUUGCCAUAUAUACAAAUACAUAUGUAUAAUAUACAAUUAUCUAACCAAUAUACAUAUACAAUUCACCUCUUUCCCACUCUUUGCCCUCUCUCUCUCGCCUCUCUCCUCUCUCUCUCAGUCUCGCUCGCCUCUCUCCUCCCUAUAUCAUGUAGCUACAAAUUGUAAUUAUCAAACUAUAGCUCUGGAGAGUAAUUAGGCUAUUUUUGAAUGGCUAUAUGUGAAAGUUCCUCAAAUAUAAACCCAUCCUCUUCAUGGUACUGGGCCUUCAGUUGGAGCCUGAAUGGGCCUCCACUGAAGUAAGGGUACUGGCGUAAAGUAUUGAAAAGGCCUGCCUGUUAACAAAUGCCUAGGUACAGCCCAAAUGGAGUGUGGGUUGUACAACUAAUAAAGGAGGCCUACGAUUAGGUCAAUAGUUACUAGUCAACUAAAAAUAAUUGUUCAAAUUAUGCAAAAUGUCCGUCCAUAAAAUUUAUUUGUCAUCGUUUUAGCCUAAUUUAUAAAAUUUACUUAAACUGGUUAUUCGACCUAAUUUAUAAAAUUUACUUUAAUUUUGGGACUGCUUAUUAGAGGUGAUUUGAAUUGAUCGAGAUUGAAUAAUACUUCAUGUAUAGUUAGUUUGUAUAUAUAUAUAUAUAUAAAUUAUAUCCACUCUUUUGAGUAUAUCAUAUAUAAUGUACCGUCAAUUUAUAGCUUAUGUAUAAAUAGAUGUAUUGUAUAGUCAAUGUAUAUUUUCGAUAAUUUUUGGCAAGCUAUUUUGUAUAAACAAUGUAUACUUUCUAUGAUUGUUUAAAUUAACCCAAAAUAAAUUGAGAAAAUGACAUGGUCUGGCUAAUAAAAGACAUAUUAAUAAGUAGUUGGAAUUAUAAGUAGAAAUAGUGUUGCAAUGGAAGCACUUUAUUUUUCACUUCUGUCAAUUUUGAUCAAACGUAAAUAAUGGAGUUUGAAUUUAAAAUUUAUAGGUUUUGAAUUUACUACCACAUACGUAACGCAUUUUAGUUACUGAAUUUGUAAUAAAAUAUUUAGACAUAUUAAUAUGUAUAUACAUACUUGAUCUAAGUAAAUAUUCCUAAGUUCAUCCGAACCUGUAUGUAAUACACGGCUUCUGCUCUUGCCUGCUGCUUUCCUAUGGAAGUAUUAACACAUUUAUAUUUCACAAAAUUAAUGUUUAAUUCAUCUAACNNNNNNNNNNNNNNNNNNNNNNNNNNNNNNNNNNNNNNNNNNNNNNNNNNNNNNNNNNNNNNNNNNNNNNNNNNNNNNNNNNNNNNNNNNNNNNNNNNNNNNNNNNNNNNNNNNNNNNNNNNNNNNNNNNNNNNNNNNNNNNNNNNNNNNNNNNNNNNNNNNCACAAAAAUAAUGUUUAAUUCAUCUAACCCCCCCCCCCCCCCCCUAAAAAUUCAUCCUCGGCAUAAAACCAACAUAAAUUUGUAUAACGCAAAUGGACAUAUCCCUGUCCUUUUUUUUUUUCUAGUUUCAAAUCGGUGUUUGUAAUCUGCAUUUGAGUUUUAAUGAAAUUCGAACCACCAAUUGCAGGACUUAUUCAAGGGUAACACUUACGACAAGAUUUUCUCUAUAUUUAACGUUCGAAUUCAAAAUCUCUGAUUAAAAAUGGAAUAAUCUCGCCACUGCACCACAACCCAUAUCGUAUCUCUAUUCCUUUCUGAUCCUUCAAUUGAGUGGUGAUAAUUUGAAUUUUUUUUCUUUAAAAGAAACAAGUGAGGACCACAAUCGACUUGUCAAUUGAUAAGAGAGACUCACAUAACAAGAAAUUUCUCGCAUUUAUCAUGCCAUACGUGAAUGAUUGUUACGUGUCAAGUGUAAGUUCGUUUUACACUAUCCUAUUUUGGUCUAUAUAUUAAAAUAUUUGGUUAGGUUAAAUAUAAACAAAAGCUAAGAUAUGAUUGAUUAUUGUUGAAAAGUUCAUUUUUUCAUGUAAUUGUUAUGAACUUAUCACGUUAUCGAAUGUGAAAAGAAAAAAAGAUCAGAUUCGAUUUUCUUGAAAAACGUAACGGAAGGAACAAGGUUAAGGAGAGGAGAGUCAUGUUUCAUUAAGGACCAACUAUAACAAUAAUAAUAUGGAUGGUAUACUUUUACAAUUGAGAUUUAAAGAAAGUCAUAUAUAUAUAUAAAUUUGUUUUUAUUUUAUUAAAAUAGAGAAAUUAUUGUCAAUAUACCGUUAGCUCAAUAAAUAGAAUGAAAAAUAUCCAAAGAUACACCCACUCAAAGUCAUAAUGAACCAAUGUAUGUUUUCUUAAUUGAGAACUUUUAGUUUAUUGUGAAGAUCGUGAAAUUUUGUAUGAAUUUAAAACGUUAAAUUGUUGAAUAUUAUUCACAAUCUACAUAUAGAAGUUGAAAUUCCUAACAUUUCAAUAUCCUGGACGUUUGCAUUAUCAAAAUCUCUAUUACAUCAUCAAAAGAAUGUCACUACAUCAAAAAUAACUUUAACGGCAAUAACUCAAUUGCCUCUAAAUAUGUAUUUUAGUGGCAACUAGCAUUCUUUGUAUAUGUCGCUAAAAUCUUUAGCGACAUUGGAUCUAAUGACACUUAACUAAUGCCGAUAAAAACUUUAGCACUCUUUAUUAAUAUGUCAGUUUAUUGCCGCUAAAGUUAUAAUGUGUGGUGCAGUAGAUAAAAAAUAAUUUAUAUUACUGCUAGCAAGAUAUCAUAAACCAAGAGUGCUAUUGGUAAGCUUUCUCCGAUCUAUCUAAGUUCAUUUUUCAUUUUUACAUCUCCUUAAGAAAAUCAUAAAUAUUCUUUAGAAUUUUUUUUAGAAAUUUUAUGAAUUUAUUUAUAUUUUUUAAAAUAAAAUAAAAUUGUAAGUGUAAAAUGAAAAAAAUAAAUUUUUUUUUCUUAUGACUUUAUAAUAGAAAAGUAUUUUAGAACAACUAUUUUGAUAAGUGGACAAGUAAUAUGGGACAAAUGAGAUAGAAAGUAGUUCUUACUUUAACUUCUCCUUCCAUUUAAUUUUAAAAAUAAGUCACUUAAAUAGAAAAAAUACGCCAAUUAAGUAAUCAAUGAAUAAGUAAUUUACUAAAUUAUCUCUAUUUAAUAAAUUAUGUUUUGAGAAUGGAACAUUAUUAAGAAGAUGAACUAUAAUCAUAUAGCUGGAAUAAUAUACUGUCUCUUUUCACUUUUACUUGUCACAUUUCGACUUAACACACACAUUAGAAAAAUAAUGAUUUACAUGAUUGUUUUAUCACUAUCUCUAAUAAAUAAUGUUUAUUAUUAGAUUUUGAAUAAUAAUUUAAAGAAUAAAUAAUUAAUGACAAAAAUGAAAAAAAGUUAGUAAUAUUUUUUUUGAUAUAUUAAAUAUAAAAAUAAAAUAAAAUUUAUUUUUAAAAUAAUAAACAAAUAAAAAUGAACACGCUAUAGAAAAUUGUGUUGGUAAAAAGACAAAAGAUAAAUAAAUGGUUAUCCAUGUCAUGUGUGAAUUGCAAUGACUCCUAGAUCUUCUAGGUGUUGGACCUCAGAGUUUUUUUGUUUUUUUCUUAUGUGUGUGUCCAAACAUCCAGGCUAAUCAUCAUUACGUAAAACGGAAUAAAUAUCCUAAGCUCAAUAAACAAGUUUAACUUCUUGUUAAUCAUUCUUAAUAUUUAAUUAAUUCCACUUAUCGUUAAGUUUCCAUAAGAACGUGGUGCAACCAGCUUAAUAUGAUUCGUCCUGCUCUUUGUCUUUAUAUACUCCAGUGGAUACUAUGGGCCAACUUGACCUAAUCUAACAAUUACUACUAAUUUAAUUAUCAUUACCAUCCAACCUUGAAUGAUUAUAAUUCAAAACACCUUCCAUUUUCAAUUCUUCUUUUCUUUUAACAGCCAUCAUAACAAAUUUUUAUUUUGUUUUGAUUUAUCUGAUAUUCACAUUGGAGUUAGACUAAAUUGGGAUUCACAUUAUAAAGUAAAACGUUGUCUAACAAAGGCGACUCCUCAUCUAAAAGGACUUAAUCUAGAGACCUCUGAUUGAGAAUAAAUAAGUACUUGUCACUUCACCACAAUUCUUAUCGGUCAUCAUACAAAUUAUUAUUUUUGUUGUUAUUGAUCGAUUUAAAUAUGAAUUAAUAUUAAAUAAAAGAAGCUUAUAUGGCAACAUAGAAGGAAAUGUGGCUAGUCUGUAGGACCUUAGAUCUCAGCCACUACAAGAUAAAGUUUUCCAAAGAUUAAAAAGCUACCUAAUCAGUGCUUGGUUUAAAUAUUCUUGUCCUUUUGUUUAUGACGUGUUUAACCCAUCGAUUAAUUAGUUAAUCAUGUCACUCAUUGGAACUAUAACUAGUUUGUAGUUUCUCGCUUAAUUUAAUUACUCUCUCUAUUCAUUUCAAUUUGAUUAAUCUUCGAAGUUAUACUGAUCAAUUAGAUUAGUUUAUUAUGUUUAAUUAAAAUGUAGAUAUUCAAAAUUCAUGUAGUUUGAUUCUCGAGAAGUAAAAUGUGACAAGUAAAAAAAAACUAUUUAUAAUAUAUUAUAGUAUUUGAAACAUAAAUACUAAUUUAGGAGUCAUAUACUCCCUAUGUCCCUAAUUACUUAUCCACUUUUGAAUUGACACACCUAUUAAGAAAAUAAUUAAUGACAUAAUGAGUUUAUCAUUUUACCCGUAUUAAUUAUGAAGUGGAUGAAAAGUUCUACAUUUUAAAAAAUAAUUAGUCAUUUAAUUAAGGGUAUAAUAGGUAAAAAGAAUUUGUUCUUUCUUGAUUUGUCAAAAUGGACAAGUAAUUAAGAACAACUAUAAAAGGAAAAAUGAACAAGUAAUUAGGGACAGAGGGAGUAUGAUUUUCCCUUAUGAAACCGGAUCGUUUAUAGCAAUAAUGAUUCAAAUUAUUGGUUGUCGGAAUCCUCACAUGACGGAUGAAUUCCCUAAUAUUAGAGACAAAAUUUUUAUUAUGAACCUUAACCAUCAUAGGAAUAAGAAAAAUCUAUCUUUAUUUCUACACCCAUAAAGGUAUAUUUAUACAUUAUAUAAUUUAUAGGUAGAGUUUAAGAAUAUUUCUCAUUUGGUUUGCUCUUGUAAUAUUAUGAAUUUCUCCGGGAGAAUUUUUUUAGACAAGUCUAUAUUAACCAAAUUUCUAGAGGAGGUUCAAUUUUAUGUCCCUUUAAAUAUAUUCACUUUUUGAAUAUUAAUUUACAAAGUAGAGAUCUUAGCCAAACCCCUGCCACUACAAUGCAACUAAUUUUUUUUUGAUUUUUCAUUUAGUGUUUGGAGCCUAUAUUGAAGUCAGGAGCAUAUUUAGAGAGGGUGUCGUGGAUUCACGUGAACCCAUAUUUUCCUUUCUAGAUCAUAUAUAGAAAAUAUUUAAAUAUAGAUGUGUAAAUUCACGUUCAAUGUAUUAUAUAAUAAUACGAUGAUUGAGUGCACCUCUCUAAGUGAGGAUAAAAAUUUAUACGUAUUUUAUAUCUACUCGUCUUUUUGAGUAACACCUCUUAAUUAAAGUAGUUAUCAGUAACAUUUUUGACGUUUCAACUAAUUUUUCUUUUCUUUUUUCCGUUAAUCUUUCAAAAUUCCAAAUGUGUUAGAAAAAUCAUAAAAAUUUUAGCACUAUAAAAAAUUUAUAUAAUUAAAUCAAAUAUGUAUAGUAAAAUUUAAAACUAGUAUAGUGUUAUAUAUUUUGGACCUAAAUAUUUCUUUUUAAAAUUUAAUGGUUCAUAUUAAGAACCUAAAAAUCAAACCGAUCAAAUUUAUAUUUAAGAUGCCUUUUUUUGUAAUCAUGCACUCAUCUUGCUGAAAUCUUAAAUACAUCUUUGAUUGAAGUCUUAAUUAAAUUUAGAUCACAUACUGUAAAAUCCAUCCAAAAAUAUUGCUUCCAACAAAAAAAAAUUCAUAAGAAAAGCUCGAAUCCAAAACUUGAAAGUUUUCCCACCAUAAGCCGGGUUGGUAACAAUAGUAUUACAAUACCGACAACCUAUAUAUAGCUACUCGAUAGUGGUAAUUAUUUCUAUAAUAACAGUGGCACAAUUAACAAAACAAACAAGAAAUGAAUCGUCGUUUAUCAAGGUCCCAAAUAAGAACAAGAUUUUUGUACAGUGGUUCAGAUCCUCUUCAUGUGCAAUGGACAAAGUUUCCUAAAGUCUAGGCCCCAUUAUUAUAAAUGUUGUGCUGAAAAACAUAAAAAAUAAUUUAUAAUUUUCUUCUACAUCCUCUUUGCUUUGCUGUGGUGCAUCAGAUUCUUAUGUACUCACAAGAUAAUGUAUGUUUAGAUAAUGCUUGUGUCUACAAAUAAUGAUGCAUUAGUGAAUAGGCAAAUCCGUACAAGAAAUGACAACUAUUUCCAAGACCUCAUAAUCAGUGUUACCCUCUUCCCAAAUUGUUUCUUUAUUCCUCUCCUACAAUUUAUCUUCUUCAAUCCGUCUACUUUUAGUUGCCAUGUUUUUUUUAAGAGUCAAAUGAUAUGCAAAAAAUUAUAAUUUAUAAUACUUUUAUUCGUAUAGUUUUUGAAUAUCUAAAUUUUUUGUUUAAAAAUAACGAAUUAAUGUAAUUUGAUUUAACUUUGAAAAUUAGUUAAAUUGACUUUCAAAAAAUGCAACAUGACAACUAAAAAUGGACGGAGAUUAGUACAAUUUUUCUUUUUAGACUCUGAUUUUUUCUCAUUUCUGAAAGAAAAAUUAGAUGUGUUGUUUCUAAUUAGAAAUAAAGUAGUUUGAGGAAGUGCAUGAAAAUUAUAUAUUAAUUGGUCUUAUAUAUAAAGUUGGUAGUUCAAAUUAUAAAAGUAGUAAAUCUCUUUUCGACAAUGCAUGAAUUUUAGAUCACUAUUAAUUAUUUUUUUACUGGAAUUAGUUAUGAACUUUCACUACUAGAAACAAAAGUUUUUUGAACAAAUAUGCAAGAAGUUUAUGCUAUUGAAUAUGAUGUUUCUACUGAAUUAGCUCAUCAUUGAAAAAAUGCAUGGUGAGAAAUAUUUUCUCAUUGAAAUAGUGAAAAAAUUCUUAAUCUUCCAUAUGAAAAUAUUAUUAUAUUUUCUUUUCUCCCCAAAACAAUCAAAAUAUUUAUGAGAAUUGCCACUAAACAUUUCCAAUAGUACAUUUUUAGUAGUGUUCUUCGUAGCUUAUGUAUCACCAAAUUGCUUGUAGCUAGCAUAAGUUUUUGAUAAUUUGUAGCAAAUCAUCAUAAAAUAGGAUAAGUAAAAAGAAUUUUGUUGUUUAGCGACAAAAUUUAUCUUUCGCUAAUACAUUAUACAAAACAUUGGUUUCUUAAAGGCAAAAAAUUCUGUGGAUGCGGUGAGCCGUGAAAACAUGAAUGUAAAGAUUAAAAGGUAAGAGGAUAUUGAAAUUAAUGUCACAAAAAAAAAGGCAAAUAGAGACAAAUGAGAAUUAAGGAAAGGACAACAGGAAUCCAUGAAAAAAUCCCAAGUAAUGUCGUGUUAUGUUAGAGAGGAGGAAACAAAAAACAAAGAAAUGUGCAAUUUUGGGAUAAUACAAGUAUACAGCCUACAUACAAUAAUAACAACAAACAUAAGCCAACACAAACAACAAAGGUUGCCACGUGAAGCGGCCCUUUUGGAACCCUAGUCUAAGAAAGGCACUAUAUAUCCUUGUCCUUACUUAUGAUGGCUGCUAUAGGUUCUCAUCCCUCUUCUAUGGUCGUUUUCUUUAUAGUUAAUUGUAAAAUAAUUCCAUGGGGUAAAACAAUUCGGAAUAGGUGGACGAAUGAUGUGACAACAUGUGGCAAGAAUAAGCAAUUACAACAAUCUAAUAAGAAUCAUUGAGUAACAUCUCCGGGACACGGUCAGUCAAUGCGGCUAAGUGUAGGAAAGUUUUGAAGUCAACACCAGCGUAACCAAUACCUAGCCGGUAAGGCCCAUCUAGGUCCAAAAGUUUGGUUCCAAAUUCAAAAUCCUAGCCAAGCAAGAUAAGGAUAAGAUACGCGUUACAGUCUGUAUUUAUGAAAGGUGUAGAAAUCCUAGUCGUCCGAUAUGCAAUAGUAGAGUUGAUCAUGACUAAGUAAAAGAUAAUCAGAGGGGCGAAUUAUAUGGAAGUUGUAUUAGGGCUUCCACGAUUCUUAUGAAGCACAUUAUAUGCUAAUAAGUUUAUAAUUUAUCUAUUUAUCUAGUCUUUAAGCUUAUUGUCACGAUUCAAAAAAUGGACGUGAUGGGCACUUGCCUAUUUCCACCAAGACAAGUCAGUCUUCAAUCCAACGAAACGAAAGAAAUGCGAAAAGUAAAGCAAGAAUAACAAAAAGGCAGAAAAUUUAGUCAUUCUAAUUAAUAUAACUCUCAAAAUAUGGUUGUUACGUGUACAACUCACUAAUACAUAAGGUACAUAAAUAAAAAAUAAGUUCAAGUCUCAAUGUCUUUGUUUAUCAAGUCGAACAAAGCAUGACAUAAAGGAAAAAGAGGGUCAUCGGGAUGACAAGCAACUACCUCUCAAAGUCCUUCUACAAGCCUCAGGUAUAGCUGAAGAAGAGCAAUAAAACAGAAUUGGACUCAGAAUCUACACAAGUGUAGAAGCAAGGAUUGAGUACCAAAUAACACGGUACCCAGCAAGCAACCUGAUAAACAAAGCAAAACUAACUAGAAAACACGCAUUACUUUUAUCCCAACCAAAUCUCCUCAAACUACAAGCUACAUAGAAAUCAACCCAAUGUCACAGUUCAUAAUACACAGUUCACAAGUUCUCAUGAUCCUAGUAGUCAUUAUUCAACAACCAUCAAGUAGCAAGUAUGACAAUCACAAGUAGCAAGAUCAUCUAAGUAUAAUAAUCAAGCACACUGAACACAAAUCCACAGAUAUAUCAUGCACAAUAUCAAUCGAAACUCAUGGAAACCACCCAUGGUUUAUGAACUAGCUGGUAAUGACCUCAACAUUAAUAUCACUCAUCGGCAAUGACCCCGACAUCAAUAUCACUCAUCGAAAAUGACCUCGGCAUCAAUAGCACUCACAGGUAAUGACCCCGGCAUGAAUAUUAGCAACGAAAAUGACAUCAACAUCAAUAGCACUCUCUGACAAUAACCUCUACAUCAAUAUCACUCACCGAAAAUGACCUCAGCAUUAAUAACCAUCACAAGUUUCAUCAUAGUGCUUGGAAAACAAUGCAAGUAAGCAAUUUCACACCACAAGAAAGAGACAAUAACUUAAGCAAAUCAAGUCCACAUUAAUGCCAUCAAAACAUUUCAUCAAUCAUCACAUUAGGGUUCACAACAAGGCAAAUUCAUAAAGUAUUAUUGAAAUCCUAGCCAAGCAAGAUAAGGAUAAGAUAGGCGUGAUGGUCUGUAUUUAUGAAAUGUGUAGAAAUCCUAGUCAUCCGAUAUGCAAUAGUAAAGUUGAUCAUGACUAAGUAAAAGAUAAUCAGAGGGGUAAAUUAUAUGGAAGUUGUAGUAGGGCUUCCAUGAUUCUUAUGAAGCACAUUAUAUGCUAAUAAGCUUAUAAUUUAUCUAUUUAUCUAGUCUUUGAGGUUACUGUCACGAUUCGAAAAAUGGACGUGAUGGGCACUUGCUUAUUUCCACCAAGACAAGUCGACCUCAAUCCAACGAAACGAAAGAAAUGCGAAAAGUAAAGCAAGAAUAACAAAAAGGCAGAAAAUUUAGUCAUCUAAUAUAACUCUCAAAAUCUGGUUGUUACGUGUACAACUCACUAAUACAUAAGGUACAUAAAUGAAAAAUAAGUACAAGUCUCAAUGUCAUUUUUUAUCAAGUCAAACAAAGCAUGACAUAAAGGAAAAAGAGGGUCAUCGGGAUGACAAACAAUCAACUACCUCUCAAAGUCCUUCUAAAAGCCUCAGGUAUAGAUGAAGAAGAGCAAUAAAACAGAAUUAGACUCGAAACCUACACAAGUGUAGAAGCAAGGAUUGAGUGCCAAAUAACACGAUACCCAACAAGCAACCUGAUAAAUAAAGCAAAACUAACUAGAAAACGCACAUUACUUUUAUCCCAACCAAAUCUCCUCAAACUACAAGCUACAUAGAAAUCAACCCAAUAUCACAGUUCAUAAUACACAGUUCACAAGUUCUCAUGAUCCUAGUAGUCACUAUUCAACAACCAUCAAGUAGCAAGUAUGACAAUCACAAGUGUCAGAUUGAUCAAUCACAAGUAGCAAGAUCAUCUAAGUAUAAUAAUCAAGCACACUGAACACAAAUCCACAGAUAUAUCAUGCACAAUAUCAAUCGAAACUCAUGGAAACCGCACAUGGUUCAUGAACUAGCCGGUAAUGACCUCAACAUUAAUAUCACUCACCGGAAAUGACCUCGACAUCAAUAUCACUCUUUGGAAAUGACCUCAGGAUCAAUAACACUUACAUGUAAUGACCUCGGCAUGAAUAUUACUCAACAAAAAUGACAUCGACAUCAGUAGCACUCGCAGACAAUAACCUCUACAUCAAUAUCACUCACCGAAAAUGACCUCGGCAUCAAUAACCAUCACAUGUUUCAUCAUAGUGCUUAGAAAACAAUGCAAGUAAGAAAUUUCGCACCACAAGAAAGAGACAAUAACUUAAGCAAAUCAAGUCCACAUUAAUGUCAUCAAUCAUCACAUUAGGGUUCACAACAAGGCAAAUUCAUAAAGUAUUAUGAUCAACACAUUGUCUUUUCAUUAAUCCUCUUUUAUUCAUUAAUAUCAAUUAAAUGGAAUAAUUGAACCCAUCACCUCGUUUCCAUUACUUCCCAACACACACAAAUGAAAGGAAAUACAUGAUUCUACUAAUUUUACAAGAUUUAGGAGAUCAUUUGCCUCAAUUUCAAUCAAAGUCAAUACAAGACUUGAGUCUUCCCUUUCCGAACAAUUUCCAAACCCACGUAAUCUAAUUCACUCAAGUAAUUAUAAUAAGAUUCUAAAAAUAACAACACCCAAAUCAAACACUUUGUAAAAAUGGGCCAAAACAACUCAAAAACCCAAUUCUUAAAAUGAGGUUUGAAUCCAAAAAUCUUAAGUGAACAUUACCUAAAGGAUUUGGAAUCCAUUGAUGAAAUUCAUUUCGAAAAAGGAUUAAAAAUCGGUCCAUAAUCACCAUUUUACUAAACUUUUGGGUUCUUGAAGAAAACCCCAAUUAAUCAUUUCAAAAUCUUGAUUUGAACACUUAAUUUCAUAAAUAAUAAUGUGUAAAUGAAAAUUUAAGAUUAUGAGUCUUUACCCAAAUAUUUAUUCUCAAAAAUCUUGUCCAAAUUGUCACACCAAAGCUCCCAAAACUCACAAAUUGUGAAAUGAGGUUGAAACCUCGAUAUUUAAAAGAUAUUAUGUUCAAGGAUCCACCUCAAAUGGGAAAGGACAACUCACAAAUGAGAUCCGCGAAAGAGCCCCGCUUCCCCCGAACGCGGGUCACCCCUCCGCGAUCACGAAGGGUUGGCUUCAACAACACAAAUAAGAAAAAUCAUUCAAACACGAAAUCAUCGAAAGGAUCCUCGAGAUUCGUUCAGAACCCCGUACACACAAACCAUAUAUGUAAAUUGGCUAUACAUGACAAUACGAACUCAAUGAAACCAUUGAAACACGAAUUUAAGGUCUCCUUGACCCGAAACUCAUAAAAUUCAUAAGAAAUAAACAAAAUGCCUAAAAAGGCCAAAUCAAGCUCGGGUUCUCUAAAAAUUCAACGAAGACCUCACCUAGGCCUAAAAUCAUCCCUCGAAUUUAGCGGAACUCUCGAAACUUUUAUCUGAGAAUCCAAACCCCCAAUAUUGACUAAAGUCAACCUAAAGGCUAAAAUUUCACAAAUUUCCAACUUAGGACCUCAAAUCCUCAAAAAGACUCCAAAUCUGAAAUCGACGACUUUCAUAGUCCAAUUUCCACAUUCCGGGACUGAUGGAAUCAAUAGAAUUUCAUUUCAACACUAGAAAUUUCAAAAGACACCAAAAAACAUUUUUAAUAACUUUAACCUUUCAAACUCAAAUCUUACAAAAUUCAUAACUUUAUUUACUCAAAGUUUGAAACCAACUUUCAAAACUCAAUUAGAAAUAACUCGGAGUCAAUAUCAGGAUGGACAAAAUAGUAAUUUUAUGAAAAUUUUCAAAAAUGACCAAGCGGGUCAUUUCACUUACUCUAUUAUUCAUUUUUUGAAAAAAAAGAGUCAAUUAUGUUUUACCCCCGAAAGACAAAUUAUUAUGAUUUGCAUGUGAUCGAGUUGGAACUAAGUAAAACCGUGUAAAAAUAGAGAAUUGGAAGUGAUCAAACAAAAUGUUGCCGAAAUCGUUGCUGGUGUGGAUGAGGGAAUACAACCGCAACUCCGUAUGUACCACCACAACACUCGAUUAAUAGACACAACUCGAGGUGGAAUGGGUGCAACUUUAUAUGCGACAUAUUGAUGCGACCACAACUUUGGAUGUAGUGACACAUCUCACCUGAUCUACAUCGCUACUCAGUAGCAUCAGUUUGAUCAUGCUAUACGAUGCAACUAAGCAGAUGCGAUUGCAUCAACACAUGGGACGUUGUUGCGCAUGUGCGAGCCUUAGUUUUAUUCAAAUUUUAAUGUGUAUUUUCAAAAACUAUAAAUACUUAAUGGUAGGAUUUAUUUAGCAAUUCAAUUUUUAUCUGGUUUUUGAGACUAGGAACAAUACUUUUCGUAAGAAAUGUAAGUCCCCUCCAUUUUUGGCAUUGUGAUCAAAUUGUUGUUUAUUGAAAGCAAUAUUUUGGUUCUUGAUUCUACUACUUGAUCAUUGUAGGCAUGUUUUUUCAAUUUUUUAUUUCAACUUUUGUAAUAUCUAUGUUGUCCUAAAAGGGAGUAACAAUGAUACUGUUUACUAGUUAGAAAUUCUAGUAAGUAUUUUUUUGGUGUAUGAUUAGUUCUUUCAUUUUGUUUGAAUUCUAAUGAAAGAUUGUAACACCUCAGAUUUGAAAAAGACUAGAAAGGGUCAAACGGGCAAGUCACGAAUCCAAAAUGGACCAUGGACCCUUCAUAGUGCCCUAGAUGGGCCGUGUAAGGGUCCACGACCCAUUAAAGGGCUCGUGAAAACUAUCCAGAACUGCCCUAGGCAGGAGCCACGUGGACGGUGUCUCAGACGGCCCGUCUAGGGGUCGUCAAGUCAUCAAGCCAGAAAGGGUUUCACCUUAAGUCAUUGUUAAGGACCACAGACGUCUAAACGGUCCGUGUCGGGCAGGGAAAUUUCACGACCCACUUGAUGGGCCAUCAUGAUCUAGACGACCUGUAAAGCCUUUCGUGAGAGGCAUUUCAACAGUUUUAAGUAAGGGUCAUAUAGGUCUUUUCCCAACUGUUUUAACUCAAUACUAUGUCGUUUUACCUUCUUACCUAGGCCAUAUAUAAACACUUUUACCCCCAAAAUCACCCAAUUCAAUUCACUCUCUUAAAUUCCCAAAAGUUGAUCAAGUUCAUCCUCUCAAAUAUUUCUUUCUCUAAGGAAGAAAAAUAAAUCUAGGGUUUCAAAUCAAGUCUCCAAAUCCACUAUUAAUUGCAAGUUUAUGGCAUCAAGGUAUGAUAGUAUUCACCUAUGGAUCUCUUUCCUUUAUAGGGUUCCAUUCUCCAAUUUCGUAAAGCUAGAUUCUCCAAUCAAAUUAGGAUUUUAUUCAAUUGCCUUGAGUUCCUUUCAAUGUUGAUUCAAUUGAUGGUUUUAUGUCUUCUUAUACAUGAAUGGAAGUAAUUACAUGUUUUUUAGUUGAAUUCUCAUGGACCCAUGAAUGAUCUAUGAUUUUGACUAUGAACCAUGAAACAUAAAUUUAUGAAGAUAUGCAUGCCUUUUCUUUAUGAAAUUGAUGUUGAGGAUGCUUUGACUUUGAAAACAUGAUGAAGCUUAUGAAUUCUUGAAAAAUGCAUGUUUUAUGAAAGUAAUGCUUAUGACUCAAGUAAGCUUAUAGAUGAAGGUAUCUAUAUGUUCUAUGAAGCUUGGCCACAUGACAUGAAUGACAUCUAGAUUUACCCUCUAUGCUUUUUAGCCUAUUUUUCUAAAUUAGGUCUUGAUUAAUAUGAUAUCUGGAUAUGUCAUCAAUGAUUAUAGAUCACGCUUUCAAACAAAGUUGUUUAAGAUCCUUGCAUAGAUCCCCACAGAUUGAGAAAUAGACAAAAGUCAAAUAAUAAAUAAAGUGAAAAAAAUUACUUGGACUUUGCUAAAGAGAAAUCCCCCUUCUCUAUAAUGACCUUUGCAAUAGAAAAGGCAGCGAAGCUACAAAGGUUCGCUACAGUGAAGACCCGUUCGCUAUAGCUAAGGUCAAUAUUUUAUUUUCGUGUUUUUAAGUCAGUUUUUUGUCCAAUCUUGAUCAUAACUUAUAAUAUUCGACCAGAGGAUCCUAAUGGUGACUUUUUCAAAACUUUGGACUUUUCUUUUACUAAGUAAGUGAUUCCAAUUUAUCUUUCUCUUUUGUUAUCCAUUUUUUCAUAGAAUUAAAGGGUAAGAUCUUUGUAGAUGGGUUAAACUCUAGGCUAAUUAUUAUUGGGGCAGAAUGCUAAGGGAGGGUAAUUAUGCAUGAUUUUAAUCAUUUCCAUUAAAUUUUAUUUUGGGGCAUGGAAUUGUUAAUCUAGGUUUUAAUUUUGAUAUAGGGGAAUUGUUGCUCCCAAUUGCACACGCAAAUGUACGUGGUCGCGUAAAUAAUAAAGUGACUCUUAAAAGAACCGAAUUAUCGAACCCAAAGGACUUGUCGAUUAACUAUUUACUAAAUUAUACUAGUCUAAUUAUUUAUUUAAGAGUGUUGCAACCCAAAGGACUUGUCGAAUUGAUUUUUUUUUGUAAAGAAUAGAAUGCAAGAAUGAAAUAAUAAUAUUACUUACAGUGGUUGGGAUAAUUCCAGGGCUGCAACAUAUAUCAUAUUUCAUGUAUCAUAUUUCAGGCAAUGAACUAAUUUCGAUUAUCAAGUUACUGAUUUACAGGGUUAAUUGUAUGAGUCGGGUCUCUCGACCUCUAGCCGCCUACUCCAGUUAGCUGUCUAACUACAUUGUUGAGCGGGGAUAGAAGGCCUAACUGGCGAGCAUUUAUAUUUUAUCAUGUUUCGUAACCAAGCAAGUUGUUCAUCCGGGCGUCACUCCUGAACGCACAUCAACUUAAUGGAAGAUUGAGCUUUCUAUAUUCUCUGGUCUAUCUACCCUCUCCUCUCUCGAUUUUAAGAAUAGACAAUAUAUUUAUCUCUAGAUGGCCAGUCAAGAAAUACUAAAACAAGAAUAUAAAAGUAACUUCAACGAUAACCAAGAAUUAAUUCAAAAAACUUUAAUAUUCAAUAAUCAAUCCAUAGCUACAGCCCCAGAACAAGGGCGUUUAACCACUAAUCUCUAAGAAAAGAAGAAAAGCAAAGAACCUUAAAAAGUAUUGACAACUUUAUACUUUGAUGCUCUAUGAUUGAUCUCUUCCUAAUUGAUCUCCUAUAUUUUGAUCUCUCUAAUAAUUAUUUGUAUAUCUUACCUAAAUUCCAUAGUGUAAAGAUCUAAAUUACAUUCUAUCCCUACUCUUUUUCAAUUUACGAAAAUCCCUUCAAAAUCAGUGCUAUCCAGAUACAUAGAAAAUAAGUCGGAUAUAUUAAUUUCAAUACAUUAAAACAAAUUCAGUUACACUUUUAAAGGAAAGUGAAUCAAUUUUGAAUGUGAGUUCCCUAAAUCAUUCUAAUCAAUUUAUUGUCAAUCUUUCUCAAAUGGUAACAACUUACAAUUAAUUCAAAAUUCAAAUUUUCUUCUCUCAAUUAUCUUCCAAAUUCUCCUAGCUUCAAACAAUUCAAUUAGACGCAAAUCCUUCCAGAAUCAACAAAUUCAAAAUUCAUUUUUUUUCCUCUCUAUUCAUCGUCUCAUGUUCAUCGAAUAAUCAUUCAAAUCAGAUUCAAAUUUUCCAAAGAAUUGAUAAGAUACAUGAUGAUUAGUUGUUGGAAAAGAAUUUCUUUUGUGAAUCUCAAAUACACCAUUGCAGUAGAUCGAUGAGAUGAGGAAAAACUUGAAAACCCGAUAUAUAGUGGAAUGAUAUCACAGGAAAAUGUUGAUUCUGCUGCUUGGCAUACUCUUCAUCUCACCUCGAUCAUGGCACCACAGUAAGAGAUGGUCAAAGAAGUUACUGACCACUUCAAUUUGUAUUUUAAAAUACAUUAAAAAACUAGUUAAUGUAUUCCAAAAUUGUUCUUCUUAUUCUUUCUAAAAAAAAUUCAAUUUUUGAAUCAAACUUGUCGAUAAAUUGUAUUGAUACAACAUGAACAUGCCCAUCUUGUUGAGACAUUCCGAAAUCUGAGAAAGUGAGGUGAGGUAUGAAUGAUACAAAAGUGAUGAAAUUGUUGUUGGUCAAAAAAUUGAUUUGUGAAUCUCAAAUCAACCAUUGCAGUUGAGAAAAAUUUGGAGAUCUGAUACAUCGUUGAGGGGAAGAAACAAGAGUUUGAAUUUUCAAUGUAUCCGUUAUAAAUUGAUAUAACAAACAGAAAGGCUGAAGAGAUGCAUAGCUUUGAUGGAUCAUUCAUACCUUUUAUAAUGUUGUUUAAUUUUUUUCUGAAUUUUGUUUCUGAGAUGGAUAGAUUUAUCAAUACAUUACUAUUUAUGUAUCUCGUUUAAAUUAAGAAGUGUUGUAUUUCUACUAGAUACAUUAAAUAAGUAAUUGAUGUCCAUAAGAUGUAAGGUUUGAGAUCGAUACAUUACUUUGUGGUAGUUGCUACGUAUCAGAUACAAUUAAUAUAAAUUUGAAUUUACGUAUCAUGUCUAAAAUAUUGUAUAUUUGUUCAUGCAAUAAUAGAAUGUUGUGUAUCCGAUACAUUAUAUCAUGUAUCAGUUAUAUGGUUUAGUAGAUGUAAUAUUUGUGUUCCAUAAAAAUGUGUAUCUAACACACAAUUUGUGCAGUUGUGUUUGAUAAAAAAAAUUGUAUUUGAUAUUAACACUAUUUGAAAGACAGAAUAUUGUGUACCUAAUACAUGAUAUAAUAUAUGUAUUAAUGCGCUUCAUGUUUAUUGUAUCAGAUACAUAGCUGCAAGAACUUCAUAUUUUAUCUCUAACUAAACAAACUUUUGAUAAUAACAUUUGUGUUUCACUGUUUAUGAAUCUGAUACAUGUUUGUGUGACACUUUAAUGUAUCAUGUACUGUGUACUGUUACAUAUCCUUCUAAAUUUGAAUAAGAGAGAAGAUACAUAGCAACACCUAGAUACAUGAUAAAUGAUACAUUUGGAAGAAGUUUUAUAUCAAGUAUCAAAACUAAUUAAGUUUAUGUAUCAAAAUUAAUAUUUGAACACGAUACACUGUGUAUGAUAAAAUUGUAAUGUAUCAUAGUGUUGAAACAAAGACAUUAUACAUUAAUUUAAGAAACAAAACUAACUAGAUGCAUUAAAAAUCUAGUUAAUGCAUCUAAUUAGUAAUUUGAACACGAUACAUUGUACAUAGUGAAAUAGUAAUGUAUCAUAAUGUUGAAAUGAAGACAUUAUACAUUAAUUUAAGAAAUCAAAACAACCUGAUACAAUAAAAAUCUGAACGCAUAUAUAUCAGAAAAAAAGAUGAACAAGAAAAAAUCGGGAAAAAAAAAUCAACAAUCUAAUCUAUUUCGACUUCUCUUUCUCAACAAUCACUUUAGAAGACAAAUGUACAUUCACUUUUUAAAACAUUUACUUUAUAAAACGAAGGUACAUCCUUCUUCUCAUUCUCAUUCUCAUUCUCCUUCUCAACAUUCACUCUUGUAAUUAUUAUUUUUACUAUUAACAUAGACGUCACUCAUGAAUCUCGAUCCAAAGUCCUUACAAAAGCCACCAGUAGAUCGACUUUUUUCGUCUUUUUGAGCAUUUUUUCCACAGUCUAUUUAGGAGGCGAAGAUGCAUCCUUCUUCGACUAGUUGAGUAAUACCAACACUAAAAGAAUGAUCUUGAUCCAUAUGCAUCAAGAAAUAAAGAAGAAGAAAAAUAAAAUUGAAGAAGACGACUGUGGAGGAGACACAAUAUAUCAAUUGAGUAGUUUGAAUUUGAUUGACCGGAGAGAGAAUUCUUUUGCAAAUAAAAUUGAUAUGAAAAUUCUAACGGAUAAGAUUGUAGAGAAUUCUUUUGAAAAUCAAAUUAAUAUGAAAAUUGCAACUGAUAAGAUUGUAGAGCAAAUUAUGGAGAGAAUAAAGGAGUGAAAAAAAAGAAGGAAAUCAUGUGUUAAGGAUGGGAUACUUAUGUAUCCGAUUGACUUGAAAAUUUAGAAAAAAUAAGGGAUUUUGGAAAUAUUUUAAAAUGGUAGAGAAUGAUGGAAAUUAUAAAAAAUAAAGAUGUGUAUAUAAGUAAUUUAUCCUAAUUAUUUUCAUGGUUACUUAUAGAUGUAGAAAACACAAAAAGUAAUUGAGUCCAAAAUAAAUUAGGUACUCAAAAUCUUAACAGAAUUGGAUUCCGCGUGAAAACCGUUUGCUGUAGCCGACUUCCAUUGGAAAUUUGAAAUAUUGCCUUCGUAGUUGACACGUGGCAUUUGAUCAUAUUGAUACUGCAACUUUUGAUUCCAAUAAGCAUAGGAGUAUAUUUAUUUUAUAAAAUUUAAUUCAUUAAGCUGCCUGCUUAAUUUCCUUCUUCAACUUUUCAUCUUUAAUUCGUUUUAGUUUUAAACUUUUUCAACUUUACACUAAUUUACUCCUACAAAUAAAAUACACUAUUUAACACAAUCCAUAAAAUUCAUGCUCAAAAAGGGAAGAUAUAAAUAGUAAAUGUGAGGCAAAUAAUGAUUACAAUAUAUAUUUUUGGCCUCACAUCAACACCCACACUUUAACUUUUGUUUGUACUCGAGCAAACAUUGAAGCUCAUCUCAAAAACUCAUAUUAGGAAUGUCAUCACUUUGGUUUAUACAAACAAUUAGGCCAUAUACCAAUUUCAAAACAUCAAGUACACUUCUCAAUCAUUAUGCAAAAACAUCCAUAUAAACAACAAACCUCUAACCUCCUAACCUCAAGGAAGGACUUUGAACUCAUCAAAUUUAAGCUUGCUCCCCUACUUUUAUCAAAGACAGUUAAUAAAAUCAUCUAUCCAUCACGAAACAAAUGUCUUCACAAGAAGAAAUAGUCCACACACUCAAUUAAAAAGAUUGAAUAUAAAUUAAGGACUUCAUAUCAAGAACAACUCUCACACUCACAAAGAAAAUUCACAUGUAUGCACAAAGAACUAUAUGCUUGUCCAUUAUGUACAUCUCUACUAAUUAAGCAUGCUUGAAUAGAAUCAAAUAAGACUUUGACGGGUUGUAAUGUAGGCUAGGGGACGGAUAGGAAAAUUAUAUAAUAAUGACUUACACUUUAUUAAGCACUUUGCAAUUUUAGACUUCAUCACCCAUUAUUUUCUUCUCUUUAUUGUCAGCCCUCUCUUCAACAAUUAUUUCACAAGUAAUUCUCAUCAUAUCAAGAAUGCUUCAAUCAUUUUUUUUUUCAUGUCACAUUCUUUCAAAGAAGAUCUUUUAAGCCCUUUGUAGCUAUCAUUGAUUACCUUUUCACUCAAUCAUCUUUUUUUCUUCAGAAUUAACAAUUAGAAUAAGUCUAUGCUAUAAUGCUCAAGGAAGCAAGGUGCAAAAAUUAGGGAUUGAACAAAAGAGUUGAAGGAAAAAUAUGGCUACCAACAAAAGGGUACAAGCUAAAAAGGGAUAAGUAGUGAUAUAAUAUCUUAAAAGACUAAAAUUUACUAGACAAAUCAAAGAAAGCCUAUUAUCAUCUCCUAAACAAAGUAACAUUUUUUAUUUCGCUUCAAUAACACACAGGGCAAGUUCUAGACUAAGAUGCAAAAUAUGGAAUAAACAAAUUCUCACCACACAUGGCACAAAUAUCAAUCAUGAUAGAUCAAUUCCACUUCUAAGAGAGACAAGAUCAUAACAAACUACAAAAUAAAAUAAGCUAUAUACAAAGUCACAACCAUGAGCUUUGGUCUCAAAGAGUCUGCAAUUUCCUUAUCAAUCAAGCAUUCACAAGAAAGUACUACUAAACAAUUAGACCUAAAUAGCAAGUAUCACACCACUCAAAGGGGUUUUUUCUUUUCUCUCAAAAAAAAAAUUAAAAGAAAAAUUAUUCCUAAAAAAUUAAAAGACACUCGGUUCAAAGAGACUAUCCUUAGGAAAAGAACCGAAAACAAAAGCCAAGAAACCCAUCCUAAAAAGAAAAGACUCAAUAAAACAGUAAAAACUAGGAAUUCAUUCCUCCACCCCAUACUUAAAAAGAUGCUAUGUCCCCAAAACAUCAAGUAAAAUUUAAAACAAGGGUUAGAAAAACUCCCUGAGGCCUUUAGGCCUAGCUAGUAGUAUGUUCUCUUAAUUUUCAUCAAGAGUCGUCACCCCACACUUAAGCUCAAACGUGCUCUUUAGCUUCAAAUUUUGGAUACUCAAACUUCUCCAAAACCUGUAAAAACAACACAAAAAAAUGAGACUAAAAAAUAUAAGAAAUUACACUAUAAAUUGAGUUGCCUCCCAGUAAGCGUCUAAUUUAACGUCGCAGCACGACACAAGUAAAUUCACUACUUUUCUUUCCACUUUGAACUUAUGAAUUGUACCCCUAACUUUGCAUCUAUUUUUCUGCACCUCUCAAUGGGAGGUGGUAUAAACAUAAAGGAACCAAGUAAUAUAUGUCGCAUCUUGCACUUCUUGACCCUUAGGUGAGGAAUGUCGUUUUGUCUACGUGUACUAAAACACUUUAAGAUGUAGUGGCCUUGUACCUCAUCUAUUCACUCAUCCAUUAGUUCAGAUUUUAUAGAAAAGUGUUUUAAAUGAGAUUCAAGUUGGCUCAACUCCAAAGCACCAUUUUUUACAACAUUCUCACUUUUGUACUCUUUCUCAACAUCGAUAUUAAAGAAUAAGGUAUAGUUGAAUGGUUGGAAUUCCUCUUUUUUCUCCACUAGUUGGUCAUCAUCUAGACAAUUGGUAAUUGGGCUUCAGACGCCUUAAUCUUUUUGUUCAAGUCAGCCUCCAAGUCAUGAAUAUUUGAGCCAAAUUGAUCUAUUUCUUGUGUGAGCUCAACUCUUCCUUCAAUUAGUUGGGUUGUCAUGUAUGUGAGACCAUCACAGAUAGACUCUUCUAACUUUAGAAGUUGAGUUUGUCCUUGUUUCAAAAAUUGACUCACUAUCUCCGUUUCUCCAUAACUUUCUCUUUGUUGGGCUUCAAUCUCUUCUAAUUCAGUUUGGAUUGUAAUUUCUAAUUGAAUAGCGUCAAGCUUAUCCAGCAGUUUCAAGAUUUUUUUGUGCUCUUCCGUGCAUUCAAAUAUUUGUUCUGUGAAUUUUGAAUUAACUUUGUCCAACAUGUCCGUACAUUCCAUAAAUGAAUUCACAUUACGCGCCUCUUGUUUUGCAUUCUCCGCUUCAUCGCCCCUACCAACAUCACAAAUAACAGAAGGAUCAUAAUAGGGGUUCGGGGGAAGGGAAUAAGAUUUAGGACAACCAUUCCAAUGAAUAUAUUGACGACCACAUAUAUGACAUAAAGGACAUUCAUCACCCAACCACGAUUUAUUCUUAUCAUUCAUAUCAAUAAGAGUACCAAAUUAUUCAAAGAAAGAAAAAAAAAAUUAAUUGUUCAGAAAAAAAACUAACUUAAAAAAAAUAAAAAAAAAUAAAAAAAAAGCAAAAGUAUAACCUAGAAGAAUAGUUAAUUUCUAGGGCCCCGGCAGCGGCGUCAAAAAUUUGUUGCUCCCAAUUGCGCACACAAGUGUACGUGGUCGCACAAGUAAUACAAUGACUCUUAAAAGAACCAAAUUAUCGAACCCAAAGGACUUGUCGAUUAACUAUUUACUAAAUUAUACUAGUCUAAUUAUUUCUUUAAGAGUGCCAAAAUUGCUUGAUUUUAUUUAUAAAGAAAAAAAUGCAAGAAUGAAAUAAUAAUAUUCCUUAUAGUGAUUGGGAUAAUUCCAGGGCUACAACAUAUAUCGGAUUUCAUGUAUCGUAUAUCAGGCAAUGAACUAAUUUUGAUUAUCAAGUUACUGAUUUAUAGGGUUAAUUGUAUGAGUCGGGUCUCUUGACCUCUAGUCACCUACUCCAGUUAGCUGUCUAACUACAUCGUUGAGCGGGGAUAGCAGGCCUAACUGGUGAGCAUUUAUAUUUCAUCAUGUUUCGUAACCAAGCAAGUUGUUCCUCCGGGCGUCACUCUUGAACAUACAUCAACUCAAUGAAAGAUCAAGCUUUCUAUAUUCUCUUGUCUAUCUACCCUCUCCUCUCUCGAUUUUAAGAAUAGACAAUAUAUUUAUCUCUAGAUGGCCAGUCAAGAAAUACUAAAACAAGAAUAUAAAAGUAACUUAAACGAUAACCAAGAUUUUAUUCAAAAAUCUUUAAAAUUCAACAAUAAAUCCGUAGCUACAGCCCCAGAACAAGGGCGUUUAACCACUAAUAUCUAAGAAAAAAAGAAAAGAAAAGAACCCUAAAAAGUAUUUACAACUUUAUACUUUGAUGCCCUACGAUUGAUCUCCUCCUAAUUGAUCUACUAUAUUUUGAUCUCUCUAAUAAUUAUUUUCAUGAAUUAUUUAUAGAUAUAGAAAAUCCAAAAAAUAAUUGAGUCCAAAAUAAAUUAGGAACCCAAAACCUUAACAUAAUUGGAUUCCGCGUGAAAACCGUUUGCUGUAGCCGACUUCCAUUGGAAUAUUGCCUUCGUGGUUGACACGUGGCAUUUGAUCAUAUUGAAACUGCAACUUUUGAUUCCAGUGUAUAUUAUUUUAUAAAAUUUAAUUUAUUAUGCUAUCUGCUUGAUUUCCUACUUCAAUCUUUCACAUUUUUAAUUCGUUUUAACUCCAAACUUUUUUAAUUUUAUACCAAUUUACUCUUAUAAAUAAAAUACACUAUUUAGCACAAUCUAUAAAAUUCAUGCUAAAAAAAGACAAAUAUAAAUUAUAAAUGUGAGGUAAAUAAUGAUUAAAAUAUAUAUUUUUUGCCUCAUAUCAGGAAUCUAGAAACUUUAUAAAAAUGAGUUAUUGAGCAUAUGAACUGCUCAAGAGAGGUUAAUAGGGGUAAAACUAUGUGAAUGAGAGUGAGUUGAUCAUGAAAACCUCGGGUUUGAUAUAAUAACCUGUUAAUUAUUCGUUAGACCUUCCAAAAAGUUAGAAUUAGGUAAGUUUGAAUAUUCAAGACCUUCAUUUGAGUAAAUAGGAUAUCAAAAUAACCUUAUACUUUGUUGGUAUCAGGUUUUGAGCAUUUUGAGACAUUGAGGAAAGGGAAAGCUUGACAAUUUAGGUUGUUCGCUUUUCUAUUCAAAAAAUGAUAUAGUAAACUUAUCAUUUUAUUAAUUACUUCUUAAGGAUGUGUCAACUCAAAUAUGGACAAGUAAAAAUAGAUGGAAGUGUCAACUCAAAAUGGACAACUAGCCUACAAUUACAAACUAAAAAUAAAACUAAAAAUAAAACUAAAAUCAAAUAGUCUAACAAGACUAAAACUAAAACUAAAAUCAACUAGCUACAAUUGUGAACCCUCUUAGUCUUUAGGUUUUGAGUAAACAGGCGGCCUAGUGUGAAGUGGAUAGAGUACUGAUAAUUUGAUAUAGUUAUAGUGUCUAGUUAUAUAUUAAAUUAUUAAUAUUUAAUAUUUAGAAAGGAUAAAGUAGUAAUUAUUACCGUCUUAUUGGGUUAUCGGUUUACCCAAUAGAAAAAACCUAACCAAUAACCAAAUAGUAUUUUUAUAAACCUAUUAAAAACGCAAUAACCCAAUAACAAUUUUUCGGUUCGAUUUAUUGGUUGAUUCGAUUUUUACACACCUCUAAUAAUAGUAUUUUCAUUAGUCAUAACUCAUAAGGUCGAGCUGCUACAAUUAAGGAUUAAUUACCUUACUACGCAUCCUUUUUUACUCUAUUUUUCUAUUAUUCCCUACAAUUUCAAAAAAUUACAAAAAUCCCUCGUUUCCAUAAUUUCUCUCACUUUUUCGGACACAUCAUUGUAAACUAUUACCCCAAGAUUUUUUUUCCUUUUUUCAUGACUAAAAUCACGUAUCAUCAAUUAUCUCCAUCACUUUAUUUUUUAAUUUCAAAUCUUUUCUCUUUCUGAUUUAUCAACUGUAACACCCCAGAAAAUUUUUCGAACUAAGACUCGAACCGUUCUUCGUAGUGAGUGAGAUUUUACCAAGGAAUUAAAAAUUUCUUGAGUGUUAAGGUCACUAGAUGUAGCACCUUGAGUUUCAAAAAGAAUUAAAUUGGAAAUAGCAUAUGAGUUUUGGGUCGACUUCAAACGACCAUAACUCCUAGAUCAGGAUGAGUUAGGUGUGAUACCAGAUACCGUAGGAAAUACCUUUGAAUUAUCUUUCCAACGCCGCUGAGUUUGCUAAGUUUAGAGGUCAGAUGAGUGAGAUAUGACCUUUUAAAGUUAGGUUGUCCAGUUAAAGAAAGUCAAAACCGGGUUUUAGAGGGGUAUUUUGGUCUUUUCCUUACCAAAACAGAUUUGAUUCGUUUUUAGCAAUAUUUUAGGGGUCUAAUCUGAUUAGGUUCAGUUUUAUAAUCAUAAAAUUAGCCUAGGGUUUUAGUUGAGAGUUCAAGAAGAGAAAAGAAGAGAAAAGAGGAGAAAAGAGGAGAGGAUCAAGCGUUCGUCGAGAUUCUUGCGUCUUGUUGCGGAUUUUCGCUAUGAGUUUAAUCCCUAAGAGGUAUGUUAGCUUCCAUAGUGUUGGGUUCUUUCACCCACACACCAAUCAUGAUUUAUUCAGCGUAAUUUCGUUCUUGAAAAUUUAAAGAUUAGAGUUCUUGAUAAGUGUUCUUGAAGUUUCAUUAAGUUUUGAAGUAAGAUUCUGCUUAGGUCAACUUUAAACAACCAUAUCUCUUAGAAUAUUAAGAGUUACGUGAGCCAUAACCUAUCCAAUUAAAGGUAAUUCAAUCUACUUUCCAACCCCACCAGUUUCACGUCAAUCCAAUAUUUGAGUAAAAAUUUAUGACCAUUUUAGUAACCUAUACAGUGCUGUUACGAAUUAGCCGACGGGAAAAUAUUGAAAAUAAUCGUUUUUGUCUUUUUUACAUCCAAGAAAAACCAUCAACGAAUUUCUUGACCAAUAAAAGGCUCAAAACAAUCAGAUUUUCAUCUUCACUCAUGAAAAUCAUAAUUCUUGGCCAUGGAGAUUUCAAGAAACUAAUUCAAGAAUUUCAAAAAAAGGUUUUCUUGAUUUUUACCUUCAAGCUAGGGUUUCAAGGCUUCUAAUCAAGUUCUUAUUGUUCUUCUAGGUAUGUAAGGCUAUCAUAGUGUUGGACUAGUUCGUCCUCACGCCCUACAUAUACUUUCAGAGCAGAAAAAGAGUAAUCUAGGAUACUUUCCCUAGAUUUGAGUAUUCUUGAGAUAAGUUGAUUUUGAGCUCUUGAAUUCGUGUUUCUUUUAAAAGUUCUAUUCCUAAUUAUCGAGUAGCUAUAUUGUCACGUCCCGAGCUACCCCCGAGACGCGGACACGGGACCUAGNNNNNNNNNNNNNNNNNNNNNNNNNNNNNNNNNNNNNNNNNNNNNNNNNNNNNNNNNNNNNNNNNNNNNNNNNNNNNNNNNNNNNNNNNNNNNNNNNNNNUUGACCUCAUCAAUGAAGUUUUGUGGGUCUUCACCAAGUUGUGACACUAAAACUCGGGCGGAUUCAUCCUUAUAAAAAUCUCAAACUCUAGCUGCCACUGAUCCACCAUUUCUAUUAGUAGGAACUGGAACUUGCUGAUUGUUCUCGUUGGUCAUACCUGAGCCAAAAGCUGAAUUGGCAUUUCGAAACUCUGCAUUCGAAACUUCAUGAUCUGGGACCAGAAGAACUGCGUUAGCAUUGCGUGUAUUAGCAUUCCUUACCUAAGCUCUAUGAGAAGGCAUGAUCUCAAGCGCAUAAGGAUGGAUUAGAAAGGAGAUCAUCCCAACGCACGAUAAAAAUAUCAAGAAAGUGAAGCUUUUGCCUAAAACACUUCACAGCCUCCCUCUCAUUAGAUAUGGUGCACUUCACACCCAUGAAAAGGACUCUACUUAGUGCGGCUUUUCAGACAUCCUAGAACUCUUAAACCUAGUGCUCUGAUACCAAGUUUGUCACNNNNNNNNNNNNNNNNNNNNNNNNNNNNNNNNNNNNNNNNNNNNNNNNNNNNNNNNNNNNNNNNNNNNNNNNNNNNNNNNNNNNNNNNNNNNNNNNNNNNNNNNNNNNNNNNNNNNNNNNNNNNNNNNNNNNNNNNNNNNNNNNNNNNNNNNNNNNNNNNNNNNNNNNNNNNNNNNNNNNNNNNNNNNNNNNNNNNNNNNNNNNNNNNNNNNNNNNNNNNNNNNNNNNNNNNNNNNNNNNNNNNNNNNNNNNNNNNNNNNNNNNNNNNNNNNNNNNNNNNNNNNNNNNNNNNNNNNNNNNNNNNNNNNNNNNNNNNNNNNNNNNNNNNNNNNNNNNNNNNNNNNNNNNNNNNNNNNNNNNNNNNNNNNNNNNNNNNNNNNNNNNNNNNNNNNNNNNNNNNNNNNNNNNNNNNNNNNNNNNNNNNNNNNNNNNNNNNNNNNNNNNNNNNNNNNNNNNNNNNNNNNNNNNNNNNNNNNNNNNNNNNNNNNNNNNNNNNNNNNNNNNNNNNNNNNNNNNNNNNNNNNNNNNNNNNNNNNNNNNNNNNNNNNNNNNNNNNNNNNNNNNNNNNNNNNNNNNNNNNNNNNNNNNNNNNNNNNNNNNNNNNNNNNNNNNNNNNNNNNNNNNNNNNNNNNNNNNNNNNNNNNNNNNNNNNNNNNNNNNNNNNNNNNNNNNNNNNNNNNNNNNNNNNNNNNNNNNNNNNNNNNNNNNNNNNNNNNNNNNNNNNNNNNNNNNNNNNNNNNNNNNNNNNNNNNNNNNNNNNNNNNNNNNNNNNNNNNNNNNNNNNNNNNNNNNNNNNNNNNNNNNNNNNNNNNNNNNNNNNNNNNNNNNNNNNNNNNNNNNNNNNNNNNNNNNNNNNNNNNNNNNNNNNNNNNNNNNNNNNNNNNNNNNNNNNNNNNNNNNNNNNNNNNNNNNNNNNNNNNNNNNNNNNNNNNNNNNNNNNNNNNNNNNNNNNNNNNNNNNNNNNNNNNNNNNNNNNNNNNNNNNNNNNNNNNNNNNNNNNNNNNNNNNNNNNNNNNNNNNNNNNNNNNNNNNNNNNNNNNNNNNNNNNNNNNNNNNNNNNNNNNNNNNNNNNNNNNNNNNNNNNNNNNNNNNNNNNNNNNNNNNNNNNNNNNNNNNNNNNNNNNNNNNNNNNNNNNNNNNNNNNNNNNNNNNNNNNNNNNNNNNNNNNNNNNNNNNNNNNNNNNNNNNNNNNNNNNNNNNNNNNNNNNNNNNNNNNNNNNNNNNNNNNNNNNNNNNNNNNNNNNNNNNNNNNNNNNNNNNNNNNNNNNNNNNNNNNNNNNNNNNNNNNNNNNNNNNNNNNNNNNNNNNNNNNNNNNNNNNNNNNNNNNNNNNNNNNNNNNNNNNNNNNNNNNNNNNNNNNNNNNNNNNNNNNNNNNNNNNNNNNNNNNNNNNNNNNNNNNNNNNNNNNNNNNNNNNNNNNNNNNNNNNNNNNNNNNNNNNNNNNNNNNNNNNNNNNNNNNNNNNNNNNNNNNNNNNNNNNNNNNNNNNNNNNNNNNNNNNNNNNNNNNNNNNNNNNNNNNNNNNNNNNNNNNNNNNNNNNNNNNNNNNNNNNNNNNNNNNNNNNNNNNNNNNNNNNNNNNNNNNNNNNNNNNNNNNNNNNNNNNNNNNNNNNNNNNNNNNNNNNNNNNNNNNNNNNNNNNNNNNNNNNNNNNNNNNNNNNNNNNNNNNNNNNNNNNNNNNNNNNNNNNNNNNNNNNNNNNNNNNNNNNNNNNNNNNNNNNNNNNNNNNNNNNNNNNNNNNNNNNNNNNNNNNNNNNNNNNNNNNNNNNNNNNNNNNNNNNNNNNNNNNNNNNNNNNNNNNNNNNNNNNNNNNNNNNNNNNNNNNNNNNNNNNNNNNNNNNNNNNNNNNNNNNNNNNNNNNNNNNNNNNNNNNNNNNNNNNNNNNNNNNNNNNNNNNNNNNNNNNNNNNNNNNNNNNNNNNNNNNNNNNNNNNNNNNNNNNNNNNNNNUGAAGUUGACCAAUCAAUAAUCUUCAUCUAACUGACUGUUGACCCUCAUCUACGGUCAGACCUACGGACCGUGGAUCGAUUGACGGUUCGUGCUGGUCAACCGUCAAUCGGGACUGAAGCUGGGCUUUUGGGGCAUCGAUCCACGGACACGAACUACGGUCCGUGACCUGACCUACGGACCGUAAGUCCGGCCGUGGGUCAACACUUAGCCAAAUUUUCUGACUGAGUCUUGGAGGGGUUGCAGUGGUGAACCAUGGACCACCAGCGCGGGCCGUGGUCUGACCUACGGUCCGUGGAUGGUGACCGUAAGUUGCACUUGCAACUUCUCGAAAUCUGUAUUUUUUGUCUGUUUCGAAUACGGGGUGUUACAUAUAUUGUUAUUGAGAUCCUUCAUAUCAUGAAUCAUAACUCUUGAAUUCAUAAUUCAAAUUCAAGAGAGAGUUAAGAGUAGAGUUCAAAGAAGCAUUUGAGUUCAAUUGUGAAUCCUUUGAGAUCCAUCAUCAAUUUGAGUUAAGUUUUGAGUAAGUGAGUAAGAGAAUGAGAAGAGUCAUAUACAUGAGUUCCAUGUAGUUAUGUAGACCUUUGAGUCGAGUCGUUCAUGCCAAUAAUUUUGCAUGAACUCCAUAAAUUGAGUAUCAUUGAGAUGAGUAGUAUCUUCAAGUUCUAAGUCUUGAGUAUUGAGUUCAUAAUACCUUUUGAGAUUAUAUUCCUAAUCAUGGGACUAUUACAUGCUACCCAUGAAGUCCUUGAGUUGGGUUAUUCAUGUCAAUAAUUCCGCAUGAACCCUAUAAGUCGAGCAGUCUUGAAGCGAGAAGUAUGUUCGAGUCCUUGAGUUGAGUAGUUCAUGCUCAUAAAUUUCGUAUGAACCCUCUGAGUUGAGCAUUCUUGAAGUGAGUAGUACUGUUGAAGUUCUUGAGUUCCAAGUAUUGAGUUCUAUCUAUGGUUAUUGAAAAUCUUGCAUUGAGUCGUUCACGUCCAUAAUUCGGUAUGAACCAUAUUUUAAAAAGUCUUUUACAAACGUUUUAACUUUGUUUUAAGACUUAAGUUUUGAGUUAAGCAAAGAGUAAAGAGUAAAGAGUUGAAGUUCAUUUCUUCAAAAGUAUAUGGAGACUAUGUAUUCCCAAAAAGAGUUUAAAAAUGUUUUCACAUUUAAAUAAGAAUGGAAACUGAGAUUUCCAAAGAGCUUUCGGGCGAGUUUUUAGAAAACACUAAUAGCUUUCUAAAUGAAGCAAGCAGGAAAACUGAGAUUUCCAAGAUAGCCUUUGAGCUAAGUUUUGAGCAAUUAUCUCAAAUCACAGAAAGAAGUAUGUUUUUAAAACAUAAAGAGCUAGUAUAUUUUGGGAGUAGUAUUGAGCACCGAAUUGAGGGCGAGCAUGAGUUCAGAUAACUCACGUCUCCUGAAAACCAUGUAGCCACCAUGGGUAGAAAAGGGUCAUACUUUUUAGAUGAAUCCUUACAUCAGUUUAUUGUAUUUUUACAUACAUUUCAGACAUAUGUUGUAUCCUUGCAUACACAGAGAGUUUUCAGCAUGUUUUUAAACAAUUUGUUUCUUUAUACACUUAUUUUAAAUUGCUUUAUAUUGAAAUGAGUUCAGUUAUAUUGAGUUGAGUAUACAGAGUUGAGUACCCAGAGUCGAAUAACAUAUCUUUGAGUUGAGUAUCUUAUCCUUGAGUACUUCUGAGUUGAGUAAGUUUGAGUAGUUUUGAGUAGUUUGGAGUAUUCCUUGAGUUGAGUAAGAUUUGAAAAGAGUUAAGUAUGUUUCCUUUUAUCAAGUUUCAAGCUUAUGUUUAUGCUUUAGAAUUCCCCUUACAUGCUCGUACAUUCCACGUACUGAGUCAUUUGGCCUGUAUCUUCUCAUGAUACAAACACAGGUAUUGAUCAUGAUCGUCAAUAGGAGCUUCGUUGAUACAUCCGGGAGUUCGAGUUAGCUAUGGUGAGCCUCCUUGUUUCCGGAGGAUUUCAUUUACUUUUCAGUUUAGUCAGGAUGACGUGGGUCUUGUCCCGACUUCCAUCUUUAUCAGUUAGAGGCUUCAUAGAUAGUCAGUAUAGUUGAGAAGUCUAUAUUAUUCAUUUAUUUUAUUAAAUGUUUUAAAGACUUAAGUUGCCUAUUUUAUGGCGAGUUGAAUAAUUUAUUUUAUUCGGAGUUUUCUUUUGAGUUAAAGCUUUCUAUUUAAGUUUUAUGAACUUUUAUUUCAGUUUUUAAGCUUUGUAUGCUUGAUUCAGUUUUCCGCUUGUAGUCAGCCAGGAUGAGGAUUCGCUUGGGGACCAGCAAUGGUCUUCGAGUGCCGGCCACGUCCAGGGUGUAGGCUCGGGUCGUGACAUCAACUAUAAGUUAUUGAAGAGGUAGUUAUUCUUCAUCUUCUUCUUCAUCUAUUUUUUUCUUUCUACUUCAUCAAGUAGUCGAUUUUUUAUUUUUUUUCGCUUUUCCAUCUACAAAUUUAAUCAAAGAAGGAUGCAUCUUCAACUUCAAAAUCGAUUGUGGAAAAAACGCCCAAAAAAGGAGGAAAAUGUCGAGUUGUUGAUGGCUCCGCUAAGGGAUUUGGGUCGAGAUCUAUGAGUGACGCCAUUGUUGAAAGUGGAAAAAAAAACUACGGGAGUUGAUGUAGAGAAAAAGAGAAAGUGUAGAAGGAUUUCUUCAUCAUUUUUUUUUUUUGCUUUCAGCAAAGCAGAUUGUUGACUUUUUUUUCCGAAUUUUUGUUGUUCAUCUUUUUUAUGAUACAUAUGGGUUCAGAUCUUUUAAUAUAUCUAGUUGAUUUUGAUUCUUAAAUUAAUGUAUAAUUCGUUCGUUUCACCUUUAUGAUACAUUACAAUUUAAUCAUGUACAAUAUAUUGUUUCAAAUAUUAGUUGUGAUACAUAACCCUAAUUUAUUGAAACACAAAUUACUAUGUAUCAUGUUCAUAGUUAUGUAUUGGAAACACAAUUAUUACAAAAUUCGUUAUCUUUUUACUACCGACACAUACACCCUGCCUUGUUUAACUAGUAGAAGGCUAUGUAUCGGUAGACACUAUCAAAUAUUACUAUUGAUACAUAAACACUAAUGUUUUAUAACAAAAUCAGUUUGUAUCAUAUUCAUAGUUAUGUAUAUGAUACAUAACUUUGUUAUGUGUAUAACAUAGUUAUGUAUCAUGAUGUUGUGAUGUAUCGCAUGUUGUUAAGUAUCUGCAACACUGUUUUAUCAUAUUCAUAGUUUUUUUUUUGUACAUGAUACAUAAUUAUAUAAAAUUGUCGAUUUUCUUUUAAUCUGUUAUAAUUUGGGAGAGAAUUUGAGAGAAGAAAAUUUGAAAUUUGAAUUGUUUGGAGCUGUUAUUUGGGAGAGAUUGACAUCAAUUUGAUUUGCAUGAUUUGGGGAACUGACAUUUAAUUUUAUAUUUAAUUUCCUUUUUAAUCUCAACAAAGUAGUUGUAUAAUGUAUCAGGAUGAAAUUUAUGUAUCUGGAUGACUGAUAUUUGAAGCGAUUUUUUAUAAAAUAGAAAAGAGUAGGGAUAGAAUGUAAUUUAGGUCUUACACUAUGACAUUUAUGUAAGUUAUACUAGAAUUAAAGAAACAAGAAAAAGGUCAUAUUUGUUACUCAACUAUGCUAAAUGGUUCAAAAAAAUAAAUUCUCCAUCAGUAAUUGGGAUCAGAUCUACGUACCUUCUCCGUUGCUGAAGUUGUCCAAAUUUUCCCUUUGUAGAACAUGUUUAACAUAGAUUAGCCAUAUGGCUCAAACUUAAGCCUCGUAGUUCAAAAUAUGCGAGGGCAAAUCUAACCUCAAUUAUUAAAGAAGGAUAUAUAUAUAUAUGUGUGUCACGAAAUUUCAUAAUUCAAAAAUCGAAUUUCAGAAUUUUCGAAAAUUUUAAAAACAACAAAAGAUGCUUCACUUUUUCCAACUUCAAAUAACUCGCAGAAAGUCAAUUUUAAUUUGUAUUCAUGGCCAAAAACAACUGAAUCCAACUUUCAAAUACCAUUUUUCACUUUAAAAAUAAACUUUUUUUAAAAAAAAUAAAAUGAAAUCGCAAUGAAAUAUGGACAAAUGAUCACUAAAUACAAUUUCGAUUUAAAGAUUAGUCAAACUGACUCUCAUGACCAGUAAAAGUAUAUCGAUUUUGAAUUAUAAAUGUGGACAAAAGCACAAAAGCGACGGGAGUGAUAAUAUGAGGCUGGAGUUACGUAGGGACUAGCACUCCCUCCACAAAUAAUUUAGUAUAGUUAACAAAUAAAAUAUACUAUAGAUUAGUUUUUUUUCCUUUGGGUGAUCAAUUUGGAUGAUAUAAUAUGGUAGGAAGAAUGUUGCAACAUACAAGGACAAAGAGCAAGACAGUGUUCCUUAGCAUUCCAUAAGUCACAAACAUCCAAAUCUCCAGAUAUAAAAUAGAUGCCAAGAAUAAAAACAAACACACUUGCACAAGAAUCCAUAUCCUAAUUUUGAAAGCUAUGUCUAUAUAUUAUUAAUACAUAUUUUGGACUUUAUCUUACCUCUCCACUCAUUUUCUCUUUCUUACUUCUGGACCUAUUAGUAUUUUGAAAUGAUUCCCUACGUGGACCCCUUGAUCUCUUUCUAUUUCAAACUUUUCGAUGCAUCUAAUAGUAUCAAUUUUAUGCUAUCAAGUAAGUCCAUACAAAAUUAAUUCGUGACAUUUUGUAAAAACUAUAAUAAUUAACUACCUUGCAAGGGUUUGAAAAUCAUCAAUUUAAAAUGCUUUAAUUAAAGCAAGAAAAAUCAGGGUACCAUGAAAAAAGGCCAUAUCUAAAAUAUGUAAUGUAUGCAGUUUAUUCUAAUCUUAAAUAUCAGUCGUUGAUUUCAUUAUUUAAAGUGAAGAUAAUUUUAUCGUUGCUCCGAGCAGGAGAGCCCGACUCUAAAAGGUUAAACAAAAGGCAAGGUGCCUUAGACCUCCAAAUUUAAAGGGUUUCAUUUUAUUUUAUUUUAAUAAUAAUAUAGGUGUUUUUUCAGGAAAAAAUAUUGAAUAAGUACUAUUUCACACAUUUGGAAUACUAUCUAGAAAAAGACUAAAAUGGAUUGACUAUAUCAACAAUUUAAAAAGAAUCAUUAAAAAAGUUAAUUAUAAAAAGUUAUUAACAAUUUUGCAUCUCAAAAAUCUAGAAGAAUAAAUUUCAAGAAAAAUAUAUAUAAAUUUAUUUUUAAAAUUGUAAUUAAGGCUUUCAUUUGAUUUUCACUUUUAGAUCAUAAUGUGCUUGAGACGCCUCUAGCUCAGAGACUAAACACAAAAAAGGAAGACCUCAAAGAAGAAGAGAAACAAAAGAAAUGAAUACAUUGGAUACCAGUAAAGCUAGCUAUUCAUAAUCUUCUCUACAUUUUUUUCAAUAAGUUAAAUAAACAAAACUAAGUUAUACAACACUUUUAUUCCUUUCCUUGUCCUUCCCUAUCUCUUCUAUAUUUACUUUUUUUUUAACUCAACUUUUCAUGGAAAAAAAGAAGAAGAACAUGUCUCCUCUUUUUCUUUCUUUCCAAAUUUUCAUUCUUCUUGUGAAAUUUUCGAAAGAAACAUCUCCUUUAUGCCUCUUCCCCCUAAUUUCCAUACAUUGUCAUAUUCUUCGUAGAAGCUAAGAGAACGUGUACACGUACAUAUAUAAAUAAAAUUUCAAGGUCUUCAAUCUUGUAGCUCUUAAACUUGUGUUGUAGUAUUGUGUUGAUCAUGAAGCCAAUUUGAGAAUGUUUGAAGAGUGUUCAUAUCAGCUCUAUAAUGUUUUUGAGUAAAUUCAAGGAGAGUAGGCCAUGUGAAAUCAGGAUAUAUUCGAGGGUUGUUGGAGUCCACCAAUUCAUUUGGUGGGCUCACCACCUUAUCUUUGUUUGGACAAAGAAAGAAAGCUAGUGAUUUCCUAGGAGUCUUGUUGUUUACUACUGCUCUGUGCAGGCAACUUUUGUAUCUUCCAUUUGAUAGCGCCUGCAAAAGGUAAAAAAAAAUAAUGUUUAAACCCCACUAGAUCAAAUUUAUGUGACCACUUUUUCACCUAUAUUUCAACUUGUUCAAUGGAGUAUAUAUAUGUGGACAUCAUAUUCAUGUUGUACGUCCUAAUUAAACACACAUGAUAUAUAUCAUUUCAUCGUUACAAUGUGAAAAUAUCUUACCAUAAAUGUGUCGCCUAUGUUAACCACAAAUGCAUUGAAAUUUGGACUGAUGGAACGCCAUUCAUCGUCCACAAAAACUUGAAGUCCGCCAACACAAUCUUGAUGGAGAAUUGUUAAUGAUGUUGGGUCACAAUGAGGCCCCGUUCCUAAGGUGAGCUCCGGUUUCUGACAUGGUGGAUAGUAGUUGAGUCUCAUUAUCGAAUCAUUUUCUUCGAAAAAUUCUUUGAAGUGGCUCUUCUCUACGCCUAGGCUCAUCCCUAAGAGUUCCAUGAUCCCAAGAGAAAGUGUGUUCAUGGAAUUGCAAUAUUCUUGAUAAACAUUCCUAUAUAAUUUAAGUGGAAAAAAAGGUUAACUCAUUUACAUAUAUAAUCGAGAAUAUGUAUAUAUAUAGUGCCUCUAUAUCAAAUUGUUUAUCUGGUUUUGAGUGACACAAAAUUUAAAAUAAUAAAGAAAUUUUUGAAUCUUGCAGUCAGCUGAAACAAAUAAAUAUAUUGAAACGAAUAGAGUAGUACGGUCCGUACCCAAGAUGGUUAAAACUUUCACCCAAUGUCCUUUGAAAAUACUCUUCAACUAUGUGAGAUGAUUCUUCUUCAGCAGAGUAACGAAAAGAGAGUGUCUCUUUCCAAGGUAGCUUUGACGAAAACCUUCCAGUAAAGCUACUAGCAUAACCACAAUGCUCACCAAUUUUCCUCUGAGCCUUUUGCUUUUCCAAAAGCGGCAAGUCAAAGAACGUAUCCAUAUAACGAUGAGCAUUAGAAAUAAGAUUAGCAUCAACUCCAUGGUUCACCACAAGAAAAAAGCCAUGACUCCGACACGCUUCUCCAACAAGCUUAGAUGCUUGUUGGGCCGCGUCAGAGUCACCAGAAAGAAAACCCCUUAAGUCAAUAAGGGGUACGUGAAGUUCUUGUACUACGGCACAAGGCUUCUCGUGGUCGGGCCAUAUGAAUUGUGUGGGAAUAUUAGACUCACGUUUCAUAUGCGAUGCAUCAAAAAUAAAUUGUUUUGUUUCAUCUAUCAUUGGAGAUUUUGCAUUUGUGAUCAUACAAUCAAUAGCCAUUAUUGCAUGCACAGAGUAGGAGUAGUAGUUAAUUUGUGAAGAGCCAAAAGUGAAGGAUAUAUAAAGAAACUAAAGAGAGAGAGUUGAGAUAAAGGAAAAGCCAAGGCCGUUCAUUGGGAAAAUAGGUGAACAAAAAUUGGAAUCUUAUAGGUCUCUCACUUAACAGAGAAAAUGAAUAGUUUGCUAAAAAGGGCUUAGCAAUGCUUAAAAUUGGGAUAGAGGUCCUUAUGUUGUUUGUCUUUUUUACUAUUGACAUCAUAGAAGAGUUUCUCAUAUAUUUUAAAUUAAAUUUUAAAAAAUUAUGUUUGAUAGUAAUAGAUUUUGAAUUGGAUUUUAAAAUUUUAUUUUCAAGAUACUAAUUAUUUACAAGUUUCAAAAAGUGGUCACAGAAAUUUCACUUGGGAAAUCUUGUAGCUCAAUUGAUUGAAUAUUUAAACUCCCAUUUUACUAGUGAAAGUUCAAUUCUCCACUUUGUAAUCCUCUUCAUUUUCACUCACUUAAGUAUUAUUUUUAUUUUAAAAAAACUAAAAUACAUUUCUAAACACAAUUUUAAGUUAUGAAUAUAUAACUUCAAAAAUUUCAUUCAGAAUUUAAAUUUUAACUUUAAAAUUUAUGAUCAAAUGAAAUAAAUUUGCGGAGAAGUUGAUAAUGGUUAAAAUAGAGAUAAAAGGUUCAUAUGUUGUUUGUCUUUUCUACUGUUGGACAGGAAAGCGUUUCCCAAUGGUGUUUGGAGUUUCCUUUGGUCGGGUGAUUGAGCCAUCACCAUUCACCACCCAACCUUUUUUAUUGAAGCAUACUCUUUUCAUUCAUAACAUUAACAUAUUCCUCAUACCGUCAUCACUGGCGUCACCUAACUAUUUGACUUGACACGGUUAUUUUUUUAUUUUAAAAAUAAAUUUUUAUUUUUAUUUAUCACAUUUUACAUAUCAAUUUUUAUUUUUAUUUUAUAUUUAGAAUUCCUUAUUUAUCUCUCAAAUAUUUUUUCAAGACCUAAUUAGUAUUCUUUAUUUAUUUUCCAAAUAUUUUUUCAAGACCUAAUACUAAUUAGAACAGUGUGCUAAGUCAAAAAGUGAUAAGAAAAAUUGAACCGAGAUUGAGAAUUUAGUGGGGGUGCUAAGACUUCUUAUCCUAAUGAGCAUUGAUUGAUAAUUUAGUUGGAGGUGGGGUGGGGGCUGACAGGGUCGUCUCGACCAUAAGGCCACUAAAGCAAUCGCUUGGGGUCUCAAUUUUUUUGGGGCCUCUAUUUUCUCUCAAAGAUAUGUGUAUAUAUAUUGUUAAAAAAAAUUCAUGUAUUGAUAAAUUUGAAAUUAUUUUUUUGUAUAGAAAAUAUAAUUGAGAAAUUGAAUAUUGUUUAGUUGAUUGUAGUGUCUUUUCUAGAUUCUUAUGUGGCUAGUUAAUUGUAGUAUCCUUUCUAGUUUCGCAUGUGGGUAUGUAUUUUGUUGUCUAGCUCAUUUAUAUUUUGACGAUUAUCAUGAACCAACAAUAUUGUGUUCUUAUACUUAUUUUUCUUUAUUCUCCUUUCACUAUUUUUCAUUCUUUCAUUAUUGAAUAUUCUUAAGUCUCUCAAACGUUCAAACAUUCUACAUUAUGUGAUAUCUAUUGUUGUGUGUUUAUAAAAAGAUCAAAUUUGUUUUUGGUGUCUUAUUAAAAUUUCAAGCACUAAAACUAAUCAACACUAUUUUAAUAUUAUUUAUUAACUUAUCAAAUUCAUCGCUACACUAUUUUAACAUCAUCAUAUUUUUAAAAUUUUGAGUCAUGUUUUAUUAUUCCAACUUUAUAUUAUAUAAUUUUCAUUGAAAUUUACAUUAUUUGCAUUCUUACUUCAUAAUGUCUACAUAUAUCCUGCUCCUCCAGACCUCAUUUGUAGGAUUACACUAGUAUAUUAUAAUUAUUCAAUUUAUAUUUAUAUCAACUAAAAAAAUUAGGGCCUCUUUAUAAUGUUUGGCUUUAGGCCCCUAAACUUGUUGAGACGGCCCUGAGAGAGGGAUGAGGGGGUUAGAGUUACUUUUUAAGUAUAUUAUAAGUUAUAAGUUGAUUAUACUAAAUUUUUAAUUUUUAACUUAUAUUAUAUAUUUUAGGCCUAAAAAUAAGUGUUUAAAUUAUUAUUUUUGUCUUUUUCCAAACAACUUUCAAAAAUAAAAAAGAGUUUAAAAGUCAAAAAUUAUUUUAGAUAAACCAAUCAAAAUACCCUCUUAUUAAAAAUAAUUAUUAACAUAUUAUAAUAAAUUAAAUUACAUUAAUAAUAUGAAGAAAAUAAAUUUAACUUGUACGCCCCUUUUUUUAUUUAAGGAGAUUCUAUCCAAUUAUUAAUCGCGAUGCGGAAAAGAGCAAAGAAAGAAAAGUUGAAGACGGUUUUACGAUACGAAAGAACCCCUCUUAUCUUGUGGCUAGCAGAGGCGAAUCUAGAAUUUGAAGACUUUGGAUGCACCAAUAUUACCUUAGCUUAAAUAUGAGCUCUAAUAUAAACUUAAAAUAAAAAUUGUGAAAAAAACAUUCUAGCUAGAUUCAAACUCAAGUCUCAUGGGUAGAUCCUCUAGCUUGUACCAACAGCACACUGACACUCCUAUGCUUUGCAUGGAUACACUGUUAAUUAUAUCUUAAUUUAUGUAAGUUUCUUAAAAUAGAUAUACAUAUAUGUAUAUGAUUUUUUUUGAAAUUAACGGAUGCACGUGCAUCCCACCUAGAGGGGUACAUACGGUGGGUCAGCCUCUGGAAUGGCUAGCAACAUCAAUACUCAUGUAUCUAAGUUUGUGUAAUUUAUGUAAAUUUCUUAAAAUAGAUAUAUAUAUGUACAUGAUUUUUUUUUAAAUUAGCGGAUGCACGUGCAUCCCACCUAAAGGGGGUACGUACGGUGGGUCAGCCUCUGGAAUGGCUAGCAACAUCAAUACUCAUGUAUCUAAGUUUGUGUAAGUUACCUAUUAAAAUACGUAAAAAUAAUCUAACAAUAUUAUAUAAAGACAUAAUACAUAAACAUGACUCUUAACUUGACGUCAACCGGCAAUUAUGACCUUUAAUUUUGGGUGUGCAUAAGUAGACACUUAAACUUGUAUAAAAUUGAACAAAUAGACACAUUCAUCCUACAUGACACCCUAUAUGGCAAGUUUAUGUCCUAUGUGGCGUCCUACGUGUAUAAUGUCAUGUAGGACACGUGUGUCUACUUGUUCAAUUUUAUACAAGUUUAAGUGUCUACUUGUGCACACUCAAAGUUGGAGGGCAUAGUUAUCCGCUGAAGCCAAGUUAAGGAUCAUGUUUAUAUAUUAUGCCUUAUAUAAAUUAGGCAUAAUACAUAAAUAAGACCCUUAACUUGGCUUCAAAUUAUAACUUUGACCUUAACUUUUGAGUGCACAAAUAGACACUUUAACUAUCCAAAACUUAAACAAAAAAACACUCGGAUAUUUCAGGCAAAAUGUGUGAUAUACAAAUGCGCUGACGUGGAAAAGUGAACCACUCCAUUGCUGCCAACUAACUAAAAUAAAUACACCUAGAUUUUAAAAAUAAAUUAUAAUAUAGGGUGUGUUUGGUAUGAAGUUUUCUCAUGUUUGGUUGGGUUAAAUGUUUCGGAAAAUGUUUUCCACCCCCCACCCACCCACCCACUCCCUACCANNNNNNNNNNNNNNNNNNNNNNNNNNNNNNNNNNNNNNNNNNNNNNNNNNNNNNNNNNNNNNNNNNNNNNNNNNNNNNNNNNNNNNNNNNNNNNNNNNNNNNNNNNNNNNNNNNNNNNNNNNNNNNNNNNNNNNNNNNNNNNNNNNNNNNNNNNNNNNNNNNNNNNNNNNNNNNNNNNNAUGCUUUCUGUGAUUAAAAUUGAGUUUAAGGGUUAUUUUGGUCAUUUAAGGAUUUUUCUUUAAACUUCAAGCUUUAUUAAUAGUGAUGUAUUCAUUUUAGAGUUAACAUGAACGUUUACUACCAUAUAAAUAUAUAUAAUUUAUUCAAAUUUAAAAUUUAAAACUAUUUAUUUAAGGUCAGUUAAAAAUUAACUUUUAUAAAAAAAAAUUGUAAUAAUUAUUAAAUGUCACUUGCAUUUUGCAGUGAACAACAAAUAAUGCAAAAAAGAGGGGAAAAUUGUUGAAAAAAAUAGAAAGAGGGUUUAAUUGUCCUUUCAAUGCUUUUUUUACUGUUGGCCCCCUCAAUUUUUACAUCUGACGCGCCUAAUUUGUGUGUAUUUCACGCAUUUUGCCAGGUAGGAUCCGAGUGUUUUUUUGUUUAAGUUUUGGAUAGUUAAAAGUGCCUAUUUGUGCACUCAACAAGUUAAAGGUCAAAGUUAUAAUUUGAAGCCAAGUUAAGGGUCUAAUUUAUGUAUUAUGCCUAUAAAUUACAUUUCUUUCACGAACUAGAACUAAACAACGUAGCGCAUGUACAAAUUCAUGUAACAUGUAAAGUCUUCCAUUCGAAUUCUAGCAAAAAUAACAUUUUUAACUUAAAAGAUAAAAAUAAAAUUUGUAUUUAUUUUGUUUCUUUUUAGAUUUCAUUUAUAUAGUUACAUUGAAUUUAUUAUUCUUGUUUGUGUGAUCGCCAAGCCUAUGCCAAUAAAUAUUUUGCUAGACUUGUAAUGAUAAAGUUUCCGUUUAAAAGAUUCACAUAAAGAAGAAGAGGAAUGUUUUAUGACACCAGUGUAAGUCUAUCACUCUCCUAUUUCAAUUUAUUUUAAUUACUAAUAUAUAGUAACACAAAUAUUUAAGAUUUAUUUUAGAUCAUAAAUUUUUUUUAAAUUUUUUUUUUCUUAAAUUUUAUACUAAGUAAAAACUUAAACGAUAUCACAUAAAUUAAAUAGAGAUAAAAUAAGCUUAGGUUCAAAUGUCGUUUAGUGCCUUUGUCUUCUCCUUUUUGCAGCCCCCAAUAUGUUUACUUAAGAAAGCUAAUACUUUCUCAUUUUUCUUUUUAGUUAAUCUAAAAAGGAAUGACACAUUUUUAUAUUAUUUAAAAGUUUAAUUUUAAAAUAUUUAUUUUAUCUUUAAUAUAAUGUUUUAUAGUCAUACAGACAUCUAUAACUUAUUUAAGACCAUAAUUAUCAAAAGUUUUUUUUUCUUUUAUAAAUUUCAAGUUAAAUCAAACUAAACGGGAUAAAUAUAACAACGAAAGCAAGGACAGGGGAAGCCGUAUCAUGCCGACCUGUAAAUAGACAGUUUCUAAUUUAAAUUAAAGAAAGAAACGCUCUCUACAUUAAUUUCAGUAGUAAUCUCUUUAAUUUGCAACAAGUUAACAAAUAUGAGCAUUUAAUACAUCAUGAUGAUCCAUUGAAUGAGACGUACAUAUAAAAUAAAAAAAAUAAAAAAAGGAAGAAAUUAAAGCAGUAAUAAUGAACCAAGCAAGAGGGGAGGGGAUUGGUGGCUGUUCACAUUUAGCCAUAAGGUGGAGAUUGUAAGCUCUAUAACCGGUUGACCAAGCUUUUGGGACGUCAAAAUUACUUAUUUUAAAAAACGUGAAGUAUUUAGCUAAGUAUUAAAAGAAAAAAAAUAUGCUUAUGAAAUAUGAAGAGUAACAUAGAAAUUAUUUUUCAAAAUAAAUUGAUUUUGAAAGUUUGACCAAACAUAUUAGCAGUCGUAUUAAAUGACACACACAAUAAUUGGACCUAAAGAAAAUGACAAUUAGCAAAACAAGAUAUUGGAACUCUAAAGUUUGAAGAUAUAUAUAUAUAUAUAUAUAUAUAUAUUAUAUAUAUAAUUUUAAAAAAAAGGAAAUUUGAGUUUUACCAAUGACUGUCAGCAUCUCUCAAGUGUAAAAUCCAGUUUCAGCAUGAAAGGUGAAAGGAAGUAAUGGAGCUUGAGGGUGACAUCUGGAGAAUUAUAAGCUAUAUAUUAUGCUCUUAAUUAUAUUUAUAUGUAUAUAACAGCUAUUAAUGUGCUUAUGGUUGUCAUUUUUUUAGAGGAGAAUUACAGAGGAUGUAACAUGUCUAUAUUUAUUUUUUAAUAAAAGUUUGUCAUUGUGCUUAAUUAAGCUAAUUUAAUUUACUUUAAAAUGUGCAACUUGUAUAUAUCCGUUAAGAGUAUCUAGCUAGAGGAAUUAAUGUUGUAAAUCCAGGAUUCCUUCUUUAUAGAAUGCUAUUUUCCAAAAAUCAAACUCACACAAACCAAAUUAUUUUCCAUUGCAAACAUUAUACUUAUAAUAUAAUUUAAUCUUGUGAUCGACAGGCUUGCACCAUAUAUGAACAAUCUAUCAAGUUGUCCCUUGGGGAACAUCCAAUAAAAUUGGAACAAAAAAGCUAUCAAGCUAAUCAAAUAGGUAGAUCUCACACUGAUGACUUCGUCUCGGAUUAGUGAGGGUUCGAUUCCCAUCUUAUACUAUCCCUUCUCCCAUUUUUUCUUUUUCUAUCUGCAAUUUUAUUUUAAUUUAGAAAUAAAAUCCUUCGCUGGUAAUGUAAAGACAGAGAAUUCCUUGUGAGUCCUUUUUUUCAUUUUUUUUUUGUCUAAUGUAAAAUAUAAAAGUUCGUCAUAAAAAGAUUAAAAUUAUUUUGAGCAAUUUAUAUACAAACUUUUUUCUUAUGGGAUCAGAAAUUGCUUUUAAGGUAGUGGCUCGCUAGUCGCUACAACACAACGUAUUAAUUAGUAAAUUUUUCAAUUUGUUUGUUAUUGACAAUAUUGUAAUACUUUUCCAAUCAUAUAAGUGGCCUAUAUCAAGAGUAACACCCAUAAAGUAAAAGAAGUCACCAAGUCAUUAAUCUUAUAUGGCUCUAAGUGGCUUAUCGCGAUGUCUAUUAUGAUGAACAUUAAAUUGGCUUACUUCCCAAAGUUCUAUGAUCACGCAUUAUGUAUAAUGAAUCUCAAAGACUAAUCUAAUAUAGGUUACGAUAAAUAGUAUUCAUCAUGAUAUUAUUGAUGUAACGAUCUAAUCUAAUAGUGAUAUUAUGACCUAGAACCGCACGACUUUAAAACACGUCAGUCAGUAGUGUGUAAGGUUUAUUUACUUUACUUAUAUACUCAAUAUCGUUUUUUUAUAUUCAAAUUACAAAAAUAAAAUAAAACUAUAUAUACAAUCAUUUCCUCUUUGAAUAGACUGGGCAUUUCCAAACACACCCCACCCCACACACAUUGCCUUUUGAUUGAGUGCGGGGGUAUGGCAUUGAUGUUGGGAUUUGUAUGAUACUGACAUUUUGAAAGUACUAUAUAUAUUACUAGUUAGCAACUAUAAAACAGAAGUACAUGAUGCAAUAUGCAUAAUACAUCAUAGUGGAACUUAUCUAUGAAAGCACAAACAUAAUUUCGACAAAUUAAAGUCAGCUUGGCAUUAUAUUAGUGAUUUUUUUUGCUUUAUCAAGACAACUAAAUGAAACAAUGAGAAAACAUAACCUACUUUAACAUAGUCAUGUCUAACUAUAUAUAUAUAUCUAUAUAUAUAUAUAUAUAUAUAUUGACUUCAAUACUUAAACAGCACAAUAUAAUUUUAUAGGUAAUGAUGAUAAUGUUUGAGCAAAUUAAUCCUAUCUAACAAUUAAUAUUUGUCGGUCAUGUCGGUAUAACAAAAAUAACUGUAAUAAAUACGUAUAUUAAUAAAGAGUGUUAAAUAUUUAUCAACAUGAGUUAAUUGUCAUUGGAUCCAAUGUUGCUAUGGACUUUAGAGACAUUUACAAAGAGUGUUAAUUGCCUCUAAAAAUAUAUUUAGCGACAACUAAACUAUUAUCGUUAAUUAAUUACCGAUAAUGAAUAUUUUUUGUGUAGUAUCCGUUGUCCUGGCCAAUCUCAGGCUCAGGUUAAAGGGAUCCGUUCAAAAUUAGCCAAAAACUUUAAUCAAUUAGCCAACAGAGAGGUUUUAUAAAAAUUAAUAAGUUAUUAUUCGUCCAGAGACGAAUAUAUUGUUUAUAGCACAUGCUUGAUAUGUAAAUUCACUAAAUUUAUUCCAAAAUAUGUCUUUAAAGAUCUAUUUAAUAUAUAAAAAUUAUAAUAAAGAUAGUAUUUUUCUAGAUGUGAACAUGUUGCAUGAAAAAGAGAUUUCCAUAUAUUAGUUAGUGAUAGAAGUAGUUACAGUUAGUUAGUUGGGCACAUAAAUCAAAAUAACAUAGUUAGUUAGAAUUGAAUCCAUUUCAGUUGUAUUUUCAAUUCUAUAUAAAGUGUAAUACAGUUCUAUACAAGAUAUGAAAUAUACAGAUCACUUUUCUCUCUUCUUCUCUAUUCACCUCCAUUGAUUGAAUCCUCGAGUUUUUCCUGGACAAUCUUUCGAUCCUCGAAUCUUUAGGAUUCCUGCAAUCGAGCCACUAUCUAGCAACAUUGGUAUCAGAGCCACUCUUUUCUCGGCUACAAUGGUGAAUGGUACUCGAUCCAAUGGAGAUCCAAGCAAUGAGGUUGUCGAAACUGUGGAAUUACGUGAUAUGAUGCAGCAAUUACUCAUACAGGUAAACACUUUGACUGGGAAAGUUUCAUUGCUGGAAAAAUUAGAUCAAGCAAUGAUUAAUUUGAGGAAUCAAGUUACAACUGGUGGAAUCAGAGGGGAACAAUCAGAAGAAGGGGUACGUCGAGAAAGAGAGAACAAUUUUCACUCUCACCAUUCUAAUUUCAGUCGAUGGUCAAGGAUGGAGUUCCUGAGGUUUAAUGGAGAAGAUCUCAGAUCUUGGUUGUUUAAAAUUGACCAGUUCUUUUCCAUGGAAGGAGUUCCAGCAGAGGAGAAGGUUGGAGUAGCUGCUUUACAACUAGAGGGUGAAGCUAUUCAGUGUCACUUAUCUUUUAUGAGGUAUAGACAAUUUCUUCACCCUGCUACUUGGAAUGAAUAUGUGAUGGCUAUGGUCGAAAGGUUUGGGACUGAUUUUGAUGAUCCCAUGGAGGAGAUCAAGAAGGUUAAACAGAUGGGCAGUGUGAAGGAAUAUCAAGUUGUAUUUGAAAGGAACUUGACAAGGGUGAAUUUAUCACAGGAAAAUGCUAUCAGUUGUUUCAUUGGAGGACUGAAGCAUGAAUAAUUGAAUAUUGUUGUGAAGGUGACCAAGUUUACUGUCACAACCCGAGCCUACACCCUGGACGUGGUCAGCACUCGAGAACCAUUGUUGGUCCCCAAGCGAACCCUCAUCCUGGCUAACUACAAGAGGAAGACUAACUCAAGCAUACAAAAGCUUAAAACUGAAUAAAAUUCAAUAAACUCAACUUUUCAAAACUUUAACUCAAUGAACAACUUAGAAUAAAAAUAAUAUAUUCAACUUGCCAUAAAAUAAGCAACUUAAGUCUUUAAAAUAUUUAAUAAAAUAAAUGAAUAAUACAUACUUCUCAACUAUACUGACUAUCUAUGAAGCCUCUAACUGAUAAAGAUGGAAGUCGGGACAAGACCCACGACAUCCUGACUAAACUNNNNNNNNNNNNNNNNNNNNNNNNNNNNNNNNNNNNNNNNNNNNNNNNNNNNNNNNNNNNNNNNNNNNNNNNNNNNNNNNNNNNNNNNNNNNNNNNNNNNNNNNNNNNNNNNNNNNNNNNNNNNNNNNNNNNNNNNNNNNNNNNNNNNNNNNNNNNNNNUUGAAACUUGAUAAAAAGGAAACAUACUUACCUUUUCUAAACUCACUCAACUCAACGCAAGAAUAAGAUACUCAACUCAAAGAUUAGAUACUCGAUUUCAAAGAUUAGAUACUCAACUUCAAAGAUAUUAUACUUGGCUUGAAAUACUCAACUCUGGAUACUCAACUCAUGAAUACUUAACUGAACUUAUUUCAUUAUAAAGCAGUUUAAAACAAGUGCAAUAUAAAGAAAAGGAAAACUGUUUAAAACAUGAUGUCAACUCAUAAUCAUAAAUUCAUAAAAGACAUACUAUACUCCCUCUCAAAGUCUACUUGUGCAAUGCAUGGAUGAAGUCCCAUACCCCCAUUCAUACUAAGCAGAACCCCUUGAGGAACCAUGCAAUUACUACUGUGGGAGUUUCUCUAAUCAAUGCAAGGUUUUCAAUAACCAAAGAUAGAACUCAAUAAUUGGAACUCAAGAACUUCAAUUAUACUACUCAAUUCAACAAUGCUCAACUCAGAGGGUUCAUGGGGAAUUAUGAGCAUGCAUAACCCAACUUAAGGACUUCAUGGGUAACAUGCAAUAGUCCCAUAAUUAGGAAUGUAAUCUCAAAUGGGUUAGAAACUCAAUACUUAAGACUUAGGACAUGAAGAUAUUACUCCUCUCAUAGAUACUCAACUUCUGGAGUUCAUGCGGAAUUUAUGGGCAUGAACGACUUGACUCAUAGGUCUACAUAACAUUAUGGAACUCAUGUAUACAACUCUUCUCUUUCUCUUACUUACUUUCUCAAAACCUAACUCAAAUCGAUGAUGGAUCUCAAAGGAUUCACAAUUGAACUCAAAGGCUUUCUUGAACUCUACUCUUAACUCUCUCUUGAAUGUGAAUUAUGAAUUCAAGAGUUGUGGUUCAUGAUAUGAAAGAUCUCAUGAUAACAAAAAUAGACUCAUGAAUAUGUUCUCCAAACUCUUAUUCUCACUUGCUCGAGUCUUGAAACAAGUUAUUAGAAAUUGUAGAAGACUUCUCAAAAAGACUCGAAAGGACUUUCUCGAAAUGUUCGAAUGAACUCUCAAAACUUAACUCUUAACUCUACCUUGAAUUUGAAUUAUGAUUUCAAGGUUAUGAUCAUGUUAUGAAUGAUUUCUAGGUGUUUAGAAGUAGCUUAGAGUAUUUAUAAUCGAAAGGGAGUGAAGGUGCACUUUAAACGAACUCAAAUAGAGCAACCGAAGACAAACUGGAUGGGGCAGGCGACCCUGGCACUCUGAGUGGCGCAGGGCGCCAACCCCUAAACUUCAGAGGAGGGUUUGGGGCACUCGGGCUGGCGCAUCGCGCCAGGCCCCCAGCCCAGAAAACUCGACGAAAUUCUCUGCUCGUCUUCUCACCCUAAUUCGCCUAGAAUCGAACGGUUUCUUCCCCAAUCACUUAGAAUCAAUUACUUAACAUAAGUACACUCUAAUCUACUCAAUACAGCCCUUAAAACACUCACUUUUAUCUCAAGAAAUCAUCCAAAAUCCAACACAACAAGAUUUAGAAUGAACUUCAAGAACUCAAAUCUUUCAACUUUAAGAAUGAAAUUUUCACUGAAAAUAACAUGUUUGGCGUGUGGGUGAACAAACCCAACACUAUUGAAGCUUACAUACCUCUUAGGGAUUAAACCCAUGGCAAAAAAUCCGCAACAAGAUGUAAGAAUCUCGACGAACGCUUGAUCCUCUCCUCUUUUCUCCUAUUUUCUCUUCUUCUUUUCUCUUCUUGAACUCUCAACUAAAACCCUAGGCGUAAACUAGGAUUAUAAAACUGAACCUAAUAGGAUUAGACCCUUAAAAACUUACUAAAAAUGAAUUAAAUCUGAUUGGGUAAGGAAAAAACCAAAAUACCCCUCUAAAAUCUGGUUUUGACUUUCCUUAUCUAGACAUCCCAACUUCGAAUGGACAUAUCUCUCUCAUACAAACUCGAAACUGAGCAAACUCGGUGGCGUUGGAAAUAUAAUUCAAAUAUAUUUCCGAAGGUAUCUGGUAUCACACCUAAAUCAUCCUGAGCUAGGAGUUAUGGUUGUUUGAAGUAGACCCAAAACUCAUACUUAGCUUAACUUGCAAAAUUUCAGAUUUUUCUAUUUCCAAUUUAAUUCUUUUUGGAACUCAAGGUGUUACAUCUAGUGACCUUAACACUUAAGAAAUUUUAAAAUCCUUGCAAAAAUCUCACUCACUACAAAUAAGGGUUCGAGUCUUAGUUCAAAAAAAUUCUGGGGUGUUACAUUUACAGAAGUGCAAGGUUACAAGAGGCUUAUAUAGCAACAGUUAGACAACCUGCACAAACAAAUUAUUGAGCCUGAGUUGGUUGGUCAUCUAGGAUGUGAGAUCAAGUCUACUUCACCUCAGUUGGUUGCUGCAGCAAAUGGCAACAUGAGGGUGGACAAGAUGACCAUUGUUACCUAGUUACUCUAAGGAGAUGAAUUUACAUCUGAUUUCUUAUUGUUGCCUCUUGGAUGUUGUGGAGUAGUUUUGGGGGUCCAGUGGUUGCUCACUUUGGGAGAUAUAAAGAUGAACUUCAAGAAUCUGGCCAUGGAAUUUUGGUACAAAGGAAGGAAACAUUUACUCUGGGGAGCUGGCAACCAGGUGUUAACUGUUAGUGCUGGGAAGUUAGCAAAACAUUCAGGUAAUCAAUCUCAACUUUGUAUGAUUCAAGUAAUGCCGAUGGGAAAUGAAGAAGUAAAAGCUCAUGAGACGGUCAAUGUGAAGGACAUGAAAGGUGAUCCUAUUCUUUUAGCCUUAUUAUCUGAAUUUAACAAAUUGUUUGAAGAACCUGCUAGUUUACCACCUUCAAGAGGUGUUUUUUAUCAUAGAAUUAUGUUGAAAACUGGGACUGAACCUAUGAACAAGUGGCCUUACAGAUAUCCUUCAGUAAAAAAAGGAUUUUAUUGAGGGGUUAGUUCAACAGAUGCUAGAUCAGGGGAUCAUUCAGCCUAGUUGUAGUCCAUUUUCAUCUCCAGUUGUAUUGGUUGGAAAAAAGGAUGGGUCAUGGAGACUGUGUGUUGACUACAGGGAUUUGAAUAAAUUCACUGUGAAAAACAAGUUUCCCAUACCUAUUGUUGAGGAUCUCUUAGAUGAGUUGGGAGGAUCCAAGAUAUUUUCGAAAAUAGACCUGAGAUCUGGAUAUCACCAAUUGAGAAUGACAUCAGAUGAUGUACCUAAGACUGCUUUCAGAACUCAUUCAGGACACUAUGAAUGCCUAUUGGCCUCUUAAAUGCCCCGACUACUUUUCAAGGUCUAAUGAACUAUGUAUUUCAAAAAUAUCUCUGGAAACAUGUGCUUGUUUUCUGUGAUGAUAUCCUAAUUUACAGUAGAACUAUGGAAGAUCAUGUUAGACACUUGAGAUCUGUUUUUGUAGAGAUGGUGAAGCAUCAACUUAGCAAGUGUUUCUUUGGGGUUCAGCGAAUAGAAUACCUUGGCCAUUUUAUUACAUCUGAGGGAGUGUCUACAGAUCCACAGAAGGUUGAAGUUGUAAGGAAUUGGCCUAUACCAACCACUCUUAAACAACUAAGGGGUUAUUAGGGUUGGCUGGGUAUUACCGGAGAUUUAUCCAGGGUUUUGCAUGAUAAGAAAACCAUUGACUGACUUAACUAAGAAGAAUAGUUUCAGAUGGUCAAGUACAUCGCAGACAUCAUUUACCACACUAAAGACUGCAUUAACACAGGCCCCUGUAUUAGCAUUACCUGAUGUCACCAAGACCUUUGUGGUGGAGACAAAUGCUAGUGGAUAUGGAAUAUGAGUUGUUCUUAUGCAGGAAGGACAUCCUAUAACUUUCAUCAGUAAAGUUUUAUCCCCCCGGCAUGCUGCCCUGUCUGUGUAUGAUAGAGAACUAUUAGCCAUAGUCCAGGUUGUAACUAAGUGGUCUCAGUACCUGUUAGGACAAAAAUUCAUCAUAAGAACUGAUCAAAAGGCUCUGAAGUUUCUUAUGAAGCAGAAACUACACACAAAUUCUCAAUUGUUAUGGCUAACCAAGUUGAUGCCAUUUGACUAUGCGAUUGAAUACAAAAGAAGAGUUGAUAACAAGGUAGCCGAUGCCCUCUCUAGAGUUUCUGGUGCAGAAUUAUUGGCUUUGGUGGUGUCCCCUACUGGUACUGAUUUAUUUCAAGCUAUAGUAGAUAGCUGGUCUUCAGAUGUUGAACUUCAACAACUCAUUACAGACUUACAGACCUAUCCCACUACUCAUAAGCAGUUUACUUGGUCCCAAGGUCACCUAAGAAGAAAAGGGAAGCUUGUAAUUGGCAAGGAUCAAAGUCUUAGGACUGAGAUUAUGACAUUAUGGCAUGUCGGUUCUCAAGGAGGUCAUUCAGGUGUGGAGGCUACACUGAAAAGGCUUCUCACUUUGUUCUAUUGGAAGCACAUGAGGACUGACGUAAAAUAGUUUAUUCAAAGGUGUGAUGUUUGACAAAAAGUUAAGUCUGCUCUUGCUGCAUAUCCUGGCUUACUACAACCUCUUCUUAUUCCUGAUGUGGUUUGGUCACAAAUUAGCAUGGAUUUUAUUGAUGGAUUACCUAAAUCGAAUGGCUAUGAAGUGAUAUUGGUAGUGGUGGACAGGCUCAGUAAGUAUGGAGAUUUCAUUCCUCUUAAACAUUCUUAUACUGCUUAGUCAGUUGCUCAGGUAUUCCUUGAUAUUGUUGUUAAGCUGCAUGGCUUACCUGAGACUAUUACUAGUGAUAGGAAUGUUAUUUUCUUGAGUUCAUUCUGGCAAGGAUUAUUCACCAUCCAUGGGGUACAACUUAAUACUUCUACUGCCUAUCAUCCUCAAUCUGAUGGACAGACUGAGGUGUUAAACAUGUGUUUGGAGACAUAUUUGCGAUGCUACUGUCAUAAAGAUGCCUCUAAUUGGGUUGCUUGUUUGUCGAUGGCUGAGUAUUGGUACAAUACUUCAUACCACUCAGCCAUUCAGACCACUCCUUAUGAGGCCUUGUAUGGUCGACCACCUCUUCUCCAUUUACCUUAUCUGCCAAGGGAAUCAUCUUCAGCAGAGGUUGAUAGUACAUUAGUUAGUAGGGAACUAAAGUUACAGCUUCUUAAACAUCAUCUGAGUAGAGCUCAACUGAGGAUGAAACAACAAGUUGAUUCUCAUAGAAGUGAUCGAAAUUUUAAUGUAGGGGAUUGGGUUUACUUCAAAAUCCAACCUUACAAACAAGCCACUAUUUCCAACCAUACUUCUCAUAAGUUGGCUGCAAAGUUCUAUGGUCCAUUUUAGAUUUUAUGGAGAGUUGGUCCAGUUGCUUACACUCUCUUAUUACCUAGUUCUGUCAAAAUACACCCUACUGUCCAUGUUUCUCUCUUAAAGAAGUGUUAUGAAGUGCCUACACAUAUUUCUUAUCCUCCUACUAUUGAUUUGGCUAGUCCCCGUCCUGAACCUGAAUUAGUGUUGCAGCGAAGGAUAGUCAAGCAGGGUAGCAAGGCUGUUGCUCAAGUGUUGGUUAAGUGGCGUGGUUUUCCUACUGAAAAUGCCACUUGGGAAUUUGCUACUGUUUUAAAGACCAGGUUUCCGUUGUUUGAUCCUUGAGGACAAGGAUCUACUAUUGGGGGGAGUACUGUUACAUGAAAAAGAGGUUUCCAUAUAUUAGUUAGUGAUAAAAGUAGUUACAGUUAGUUAGUUGGGCACAUAAAUCAAAAUAAUAGAGUUAGUUAGAAUUGAAUCCAUUUCAGUUGUAUUUUCAAUUCUAUAUAAAGUGUAAUACAGUUCUAUACAAGAUAUGAAAUAUACAUAUCAAUUUUCUCUCUUCUUCUCUCUUCUUCUCUAUUCACCUCCAUUGAUUGAAUCCUCGAGUUUCUCCUGGAUUAUCUUUCGAUCCUCGAAUCUUUAGGAUUCCUGCAAUCGAGCCACUAUCUAGUAACAGAACAUUAGAUGAUUAAAACAUAUUGUUUUUCAACAUUUGAAUAUGCAUAAUUUAUUUAUUUGUAAACAUAAUAAAUAUAUUGUUUAAAAAAAUAAAAUAAUAGAAAAAAAUAUUUAUUUAAUAAAAUAAAAUCAUUAUUUGAUAUAAAUGAAACAUUUAUGUUAUUGAUAGUGAAGAUAGCUUGUGGUGAUGGUGGAUGGUGAUGAUGGUAAUGGUUGGUGUUAGUGGUUAGUAAUGGUGAUGGUGAUAGUUGUGAUAGUGGAGGUGGUUGGUGUUGUAGUGACUGUUGCGAUGUUGGCGGUAGUUAUAUAUGAUGGUGAAGUUUGUUGAUGUUUGCAGUUUAUGAUCAGUUUGAAAAUCAGAGGCGUAUCCAGGAUUUUGAAAUGAUGGGUGCACUAUUACAAAAAGGUGGAUCUAAGAUAUAAAUUUGAUCGAUUUAACAUUUAGGUUCUUAUCACUAAAAAUAAUUAAAAAUUUAAAAUAAUAGGUCCAAAGUUAUUUUUACCUAUCCAAACCACUUAGAGAGACAUUACCCAAUUUUAAAAAGAAAAAUAAAACAAGAUAACUAAAAGAUUCAAAUUUCUAACCUCACUUUGAGAGGUGCACCCAACAUAAUCGCACGGUAUAAUACUUCAAGUGUGGGUUCACAUAUCUAUAUUUAAAUAUUUUUAAAAAAUAUAACACUACUAUAUAUGAUUUCAGGAGGGGAGCCAAUGGGUUCAUGUGAACCCGGUGACCCCCUCCUGGAUACGCCUCUGAGUUUGAUGAUUGUGGUCGAAGAAUGUACGGUGGAUGACGAUGUGUUGGUGAUAGUUAGUGACAAUACUGGUUAUGAUGGUAUAGGUAUUGGUGGUAGGGAUUGAUCGCAAUAGUGAUAGUGAAGGUGGCGUCGACGGUGAUACGAUAGUGAUGACAAAAGAAUGUAUGAUGGUUAACAAUGUGUUGAUGAUAAUUGAUGGUGGUGCUAAUUAUGAUGGUGAAGUUGGUUGGUAGUAAAAAUUUACUGCAAUGGUGGCAGUAAUUGAUUGUGGUGGUGAAAUAACCAAAAACUAAUAAAGUAAAUAAAAAUACUUCUAAAAAGCUUUGUUUUAAGAGAUAACUAGUAUAUUUCUCUGUGUUUUGCGUGGUUACAAGAAAAAAUUAAAUAUAUUUUUCAAUAAUUAAUAUUAACAAAUACCCUAAUUAUAAGCAAUGUAAUAAAGAGAGAAAUAUAAAUUAAGUUAUGAUAUUGAGAUGCUAUAUUCAGAAAAACUGUUAAUGAGAUGCUCUCAAGCUGCAAUUUCAACAAUUUCAACUUAAACUGCUCAUAAAAAGGAGAAAAACACAAAAGUUAAUAUAAAAGGUUACAAUUAAUCGACCACUUAAUUAUCAUUACUUCAUAAUAAAUACAAUAAUAUUGUAGCAAUAAUAUUGGUUUAACAAAUAAUAUUAAGUUUACUUGUUCAUAAAUUAGUGGCUUUCUUCAUUUAUAAAUGUCUUUAUAAUAAAAAUAAAUAAAUAUUUUUAAGACAAUUGAGGGAGUCUGGGAGAGGAAAAUACUUAGAGUUAUAUUUCAACAUAGUUAAACAUGAAAUUUAAAAAUUAGAGAGAUAUUCUUGCUUUUUGUCUCCAAUAUUUGAUGCCCAUACUAACUACUAAGGCUCAUCUAAUAUGUAUUUGUAUCUUGUAAAAUUCAUUAAUAUUAGAGAUCUCAUAUCUAAGCUCUUAUUCUUAUACGUGUAUUUUUUAAGAGAGUAUUGCAAGAAGAAAGAAUUAAAUUGUAAUAGUGAAAUAUUAAUUAUUGUGGAGGUUAUAUUUUUGUAAUAAAAAAUUAAAAUACAUAAAGUAAAGUGAGAUGUAUAUUUUAUUAAAAUAGAAGUCAUGAUAUCAUAUAGCGACUUGACAUAAUGUUUAUCUACUUCCAUCUUAUAGAUAUUAUUAAAAAUAGUGACAGAGAAUUAAAUUUUCGAAAAAAAUACAUACAUAUAGCUUCGAAAAUGUAGAAAAGAUAUCAAGAGAUGGAUAAGUUUUUUUCUUCAAAGUAGAUAGAUAUGUUGGGGUAGGGGUGUACAUGGCUGGAUUGGUUUGGGUUUUUCAAAUAUCAAAUCAAAUUGUUUGUGUUGGAUUUUUGAAUUUAUAAACCAAAUCAAACCAAUAAAAGUCGGGUUUUUCAAUCUCGGGUUUAUUCGGAUUUUUUUGGGUUUUUCGGAUUUUCGGGUUUUUCUGGUAAAGUAUUCAUACAAACAUAUAAUUUACUUGUAUUUCAAAUAUUUCUUUAGUCCUACCAAAAUACAACUAUCUAAGGUGUUUCUUAAGAAAAUAACACAAAAUAUGAUAUGAUUAAUGACACUAAAAUAUCCAACAAAAAAAUUAUAAUGAAAUCGCGUAAAACAAAUAUUGCAAAUUAAUAAGUAAUAAUAACAAUGAUCAUAAUUUAAAAGUACUAAAUCAUGCUAAAAUAAGUUUAAUAAGUAUUAGUUACAUGACUAAAUAUUAAAGGAAUUAAAAUUAGAUUAUGUAUUUUAAUUGUCUUAACCUAUGUAAAACUAAAGAACAAAUAUUCAAUAUUAUUGUCAUUCUUAGUGUUGAAUUGAUUUUCUUUUUGCAUUAGUAUUAAUUUGAUUUUGAUUUAAGUUUUAUUAUAAUUACCAACAUCUAUGGACUAUAAUUUUUAUUGGACCAUUAAGAAUUCUAACUUUCAAACAUGAAAUAAUAUAUUAAAAGAUAAAAACUAUGAAAAAGUAUAAGAAAUAUUUAAAAAUUAUAUCAAAGUAAAUAUUUUUACGUAUAAAAUAAAAUUUUAAAGUUAUAUAUAUAAUGUCGGGUUGAUUUGGUCUCGGGUUGAUGUUUUUUAGUUGAAACCAAACCAACCCAAAUAUAGUCGGGUUUUUUUUUCUAAUACCAAACCAAGUCAAACCAAACCACUAGUCGGGUUUUUUUUCGAUUUGCGGUUUGAUUCGAUUUUUGGUUCGGUUUUGUACACCCCUAUGUUGGGGUAUCUGCAAACUUAGCCUGAAGUAGUAGGAUAUAUAUAUAUUGUUUAGAAAUAACUAAAACAGAAGGUGUCAUAAACACAUACUAUAUAAUAAAAUAAUAUUAUAAUAUAUGUUCCUUAGCUGCUUCUUUUUAUUUUAAUUAAUUAAUUAAUAUUCCUUUAUCCACAACAGCAUUCAUCACUAUACUUUAAUGUCAUUGUUUUGUUGGUACAUAUACUUGUGGUUGGCCCAAUUGUCAAAAUUCUACUAAGCUUUCUUCUCUUUGUUCUUUCUUUUACAGGCAAAAUUAAAGCUACUUCUGUUCUAAGUGCCCGCCAGACAGAUCAAUUAAGAAUCUCAACCAUAUCCCAUUGAGGGGCCAACAUUACAACUUAAAAGGUAUCACACAACUCAUGUAAAUGUUCUUUCUACGUUCAAGAUUGGACAUCUGAAUUGUACGUAAUAAUAAUAAUAUGAUACGGGACUUUGAUAUUAUCAAAACCAAAAAUCCGUAGAUAACCACAUGCAGUACAUUCUCAAUUAAUUGAAGAAACUUAACAGAGUUUAGACCAAAGUGGACUCCAAAUCACACACAAAUGACUAGUGAUCCUUAAACUAAUUAAUACUACUAGUAAAUUUUGCAUACUUGGUCAAAAUCUACUUAAUAAGACUUCAACACUUGCUAAUUAUAUACUACAUCAAAAAUGACAAUUAAUUAGCGAUAAUAACUUAAUUGCCACCAUAUAUAUAGAACGGUUGAAAUCUCAGAUUGUAUGCUUAACAAUAUAACAAUAAUAGUUUUUUUAAUGGUAAUAUAUAUUGGUAUAUAUAUAAAUUGGUGUAUAUGCAUUUUAUUAUUAAAAAUAAAAUAUUAAGUGCAUAAGUUAGUGGGUAUAAAUUGUGGUAGAAGAUGACUAUUAGUUCUUGUAACUUAUAUGAUCAUUAAUUAUUUAAACACUCAUGGUCAUUAGUUUCUUGUAACUUAUGUAACAUCUAUCACAUUUAUCUUCUACUCAUUGAUUGUAUGGAAGACUUCUUCACCUAUAAAUAGUAGUGUUUCUUCCUUUGUGAAGUGAAGUAAGAAAAAUAUUAAGUGUGAAAAAUAUUGUAAUGGAUAGUAGUGAAAGAGAGUGUUGAGACAAAGAAAAUAUUCUAAAUUUUCAACUAUAUAUAUAUAUAUAGUCGUUAAAAUAGAUUUUUGUUAUAAUGUUAAGCAUACAAUCUGAGAUUUCAACCGUACUAAUUAAGCAUACAAUCAUUCAAAUAAUUAAACCAAUCAACCAUACAAAUCUAAUUAACAAGCAAAAAGCAAAGAUGAUGGCUAUGCCCCUCUACUUAAAGUAAAAGAAGUUCAACACGUGCAUUGUUUCCUCAAUUUAACACAUCAUAUAUCAUCAGUACAUUUUUGUAUUUUGGAGGAAGUAGACAAAUCACUAAACAAUUUAUAGUGAUAAAUAAUUAGAUGCUUUUUUUUUCUUCUUUUAAGUUGAUCAGAAAUGCAUUUAGUAUAAUGCAAAAAGGAUCAAAUCAAAUAAUUCACAAGAAUUUAAAGAGUAUCAUUAGUAGAUCAGCACAAAUCUUCAAAUCUUUUGGUCGUUUAUCGUCCAUUAAAGCACGUCAACUUUAAUCAAACAUAAAUUAACCACUGACAAAGCCAUCCAUCGACUGUUAAUUUUGGAAUAAAAUCAAGAUUAUAUUUUAUGCUUAUGGUGUCUAGGUCAGCUUUCGCACACCUCGACUAAUUCCAUGGGAUACUUGUCACCUCCAGCCAGCAAUAGGUACCAGGUAACUCUGUUCACCAAGGCUAGGACAAAUGGAAAGAAUCACCUACUGUUUUUUUAUCUCCGCUGAAUUUUGAACGUGAGACUUCAGGAUUCUUAACCAUUUCAUUGACCACUAGGUCACACCCUUGGAUGCCACACAUCAAAGUUGACUAGACCAAUUAGUUUAAUACAAUCGCCAAAAAGCAUGUGACAACUUAAUUAACCCAUAAAAUUCCAUCCACAUGGCAGUUGAUCCAUUAAUAUCGAAGUGUGUUAUGAUAAAGAGUUGGUGAUAGUUCAAGUAGAAAAUACCAACACAUGAUAGUGCAGAUAUAAAAUUCACCAAAAAAAUGAUAUUUCAAGUAUGUUUUUUAUCAUUACCUUUUUUUUUUUAAAUAAAAAAUUGUUCCUUAGUUGAUAUGGGGAAAUUAAAACAUAUCUAGUUCCAUUAUCGUGCAUGAUUCUGAAAAAAGAGCAACAUACAAAACUUAGGUAAAGGAAGGGGAGGUACAAAGUUCCAUCAAAGGAGGCAAGUAACAUGAUGGUGGAAUGGUCACAAUGUCAUCAAGACAAAAUGGUAGGGCAAAUUAAUUAGUUUUCUACAAGAACAAAAUCCCAUGAAAUUGACAGACUCUGCAAGGUUGGAUCUUUAAUGUUACAACUAUACCUCUCAUAUAUAUAUAUAUAUAACUUCAAACUCAUCAACUAAUUAUAUUAUUAUGUAUUUGCAGACAAAUACAAUUUCCUCUCUUUAUACUAAAAGAUUGCUUGGUUUUUUAUCUACCCUUGUAUACGUUCCACAUUAUAAUUCAUUGGUGGGUCUGCUGAGGGAUGUUGAUUUUAUAAAAAUGGGGAGCAAAGACAAUCUUAUCUUAUUUUAUAGUCUUGGAUUUUUUUUUGGGAUUACUGGGGUUGAGUUGGCUACAUGCAUGGGCAAUUGUUUCAAAAGUUUGUCCUCAUUAAUUUGCUAGCGAAUCAUUCGAACUCAUGUAAUGGAUUCAAAAAAUAUGAUUUAGAUAUUUGACUAAAUGAACUAAUAAAAAUUCGGAUAGCAAAAAUGACUUAUUUCAAGAUCAAAUGAUUCACCUUUUGUCCUCUUGUUAAGGCCAGUGCGAACAUAUCAAAUACAAGGGAAACAUCCCACAUUACUAGCUAGAAUGUCAUCUAAAGAUUAAAUUUGUAACGUAAAAUAAAUUUUGAACCCCUUAGGCCUUAGCUAUGACAAACACUGGAAUAUUUCCUUUUAUAUCAAAGGAGAUUCAGCCGUUGUUAUAUAUUAUAUAAAAUAAAAAAGAAUAUUUUUACCUUAUUUGCACAAAAUAUACUUGUCGUCGAAGAUCAUGAUUCAAAUGAAUCCCCUUGCCUCCAUCCCAGAUCAGACCCAAUUUGUUCGCAAUCCUUAAUUCAACUUCUCAACAACCUAAUUUGCCGGUAUUUUGAAACAUUUUGAGGAUUACUAAAAAUAUUAGGAGGAAAUUUCAAAAAUGACUAUAGUUUGGGCUUAAUUAGAGAUUUAUAGCUAUAGUUUGUUGAAGGUAUAUUUUAGAAGGAGGAGAGAAGCGAGCGAGACUGGAAGAGGAAGGAAAGAGGCAGGCGAUAGAGGGGCCAAAGAGAGCCGAGAGGCGACAAAUAUGCAAUUGUAUUUGUAUAUCUGAUGGCUAAUUAUAUACAUAUAACCAGUAUGUAUAUGCAUUAACUCACAAUUGUAUAAUUGUAUAUGAUCAUACAAAUAGCCUAUGAUCGAUAAUUGUAUAUCAUUGAUACAAAUCAUUUGUAUCAAGUGUAUUAAUGAAUACAAUUUAUCAACAAAUACAAUUGUAUCAAUGUUAUAUCAAGUUUAAGUGUAUUAACAAAAUAUAAUUUGUAUCAACGAAUACAAUUGUGUAUUUGUAUUUGUUGCCGUGUGUGUUUGCAUUUAUUUGCUACCAUUUGUUACCUUGAAAAAGUUACCAUUUGUAUCAUUGAAAUAUAUCAUUUGUAUUUUGAAUCGUAGACAAGACAAGGAUCUGUAUCAUUGAAAUAUCUCAUUUGUAUUUUGCACCACUAAAAAGUAUAAGUACAGUUUACAGUUAUCAUUUGUAUUUGUAUCAAUGAUUCUUGAUAUUGGCAUUUGUAUCAUAGAUUGUUACCAGUGCAUUUGUAUUGUAGAGAGAGGAGGCAAGCAAGAGAGAGGAGAGAAGCGAGCAAGAGAGGGUAGAGAGAGGAGAGAGACGAGUGAGAGUGCAGAAAGAGGAGAGAAAAAAUUGCUAUAAAAUCCUAACUAUAGCUACAAAUUAUAAUUAAUCACAUAUUUAUCUUACUACGUAAAUUUUCCAAAAUAUUCCAAUAUACAAAUCCAAUUGAACUUUCUUAAUGCUUACUACGCAACUUUAAAAAUAACAACAUAUUCAGUUAAUUUCACGAGUAAAAUAUAAAAGAACAAUAUCAAAUAUGUAUAUAUAUCUUAUUCCUACCUUAAUAUUUUCAAAUUCCAAUAGACCCUCAACUAAAAAAAUAACAAUUAUAUUUAUGCAAUUUUAAUUUAGUUAAAUUCUUGCACAGUUUUAGAGAUAUCAAAGAUGCUCAACAUUAUAAUUAUAGGUGUUCUGAAAUAUUAUCAAAUCUAUCAAAGUAAUGCAGAGGGUCCACGAGAUCAUGAAUAACUUUUUUCUACCAUCAUUAUAUUCACAAAUCACCGGUAACAAUCACUAAUUAAUCAUCUUUAAUAUCACCAUCACUAUCACUAUUUUUAAAAACAAGCAGUUAAGAUUAAGAAAGGACUGCUUUAAAGGUAUAAACAUUAAUAACUAAAAACAAGCGGUUACACCCCCAAUGGGUUUAAUUAGAAAAGUACACAAUUAAAUAUAUAAUACAUUCUUAGAUUAUGUAUACAUAUUAUAAAUAUUUAUUUAUUUUUAAAAAAGUUGUUGGUGCACUACACCCUCAUAGCAUCAUAUGAGUCCACCUCUGCCUCACUACCACACUUAAUAUCUCCAUCAUUAAUUAUAAUUAUACUAGUAUUUAAAGAUGUGCUUUGCACGUAUAUCCUAUAUUUAUUGUAUGCAAGGACGGCUUUACAUGAAAAAUGUGGGGCAUGUGAAUUCUCUAUGUAAAAUAAUGUUUUUAUGUAUACAUUUUCUCUCAAAUUAAUAUAAUAAUAUAUGUUGACAUCAUACUAUAAAAUGGCUAAAUGGUGCACUUGAUUGAAUAUUGAGUUAUUUACCUAAAAGACUAGCGAUCAAUUCUCACUAAAUGUAUUAUUUUCCUUCUCUUUUUUGUGGUGCUAUAGAAACCAUUGAACAUACCUUUCUGGAAUGUUACAUGGUUAGACAAUUCUGGUUUGAGAUGGGACUCAUAUUGCCAACACUCAAACUCACUGGCUGCAAAAUGUUCAUGAUCUUAAUGUCCCUAUUCAUCAAUCGCCUUUACAUUGGAUAGAUUUAUUCCCUUUCGCCCUUUGGCAUAUCUGGCUACAACGAAAUCAACAAGUUUUUCAAAAUAAUGCUAAUCCCCCUCAUAUAUUAUCCCUUCCCAUGAGCCACUGAAUUCAAAUACAUGACUGAUUCUUCUAUAACCUCCCUAAACAGAAAAUCCUCUGGUUUUCUCCGACCACUAAUGCCUUUAAGCUGAAUAUCGAUAGAGCUUUCUAUAAAGAUAACCAGAUGGGGGGAGUAAUCAGAGACUCCCAUGGUAAUUGGGUGGUUGGUUUCAGGAAAAAAAUAUAUGCUCUCACUCAUGUUAUGGCGCUCUUGAAACAAGUUUACAACUUGCUCUUGACAGGUGCAUCAUUCCCAUUGAAGUGGAAACUGACUCCAAAUUUUUACACCAUACGCAACCUAUUUAUCAAAGGUUUCUAUUGAGGAGGUUUGGGGAAUCCAGUACUACGCCAUAACUUCCGACAGGGGAAUAAGUUAGCAGACUUUUUGGCUAAGGAAGGAAGCAGGCUAAAUACUACUACUGAAACUGCUAUCCUUGAAACCACUCCACCAGGUGCUACACCUAUUUUGCAAGCUGAUAAAGACGGAGUGGUAACUAUUUGUAUCUACCUCUACUAAACUAGCAAUGUUUGGGAAUCAAAAUGUUCUUAGUAACGAUGCAAUGUUACUACUUUAGAUGAUAGAGAUGCUACUAUAUCUACUAAAUAAUGCUGUAAUGUUCUAAUUUAUAUAUAUAAAUUAUCUCCGUUUCUACCAAAAAAUAUUGUUUUUUAUGAAAUUUUAGAUAUCUUAUAUGUUUUCAUCAAAAUUUAUUUAUAAUUUAAUGAUGUUUAAGUAAAUAAACAAAAAAAACUUAAUAGUCCCUAAAGUUGACCUAAUCAUCCCAGAUUUACUUGAAGAACAAUCCCUACUAUCAACCAAUAUCCCAAUUAAUUAGCAUUGUCGUUCUUACCACGAAUACCAUCGUCAAUCACCUCACCACACAUGAUCUUCAGCCAUUACCAUCAACUGUCAACUAUUAAUAUCAACCAACUCCAUCACAACAAUCAUAAUCAAUUGUUAUCAUCACACCAGUUAAAGGUGUACAUGGAUCGAAUUGGUUUAAAAUUUUCAAAUAUCAAAUUAAAUUAUUUGUGUCGAACCUUUAAUCUAUAAAACAAAUCGAUAAGAUGGAGUUGCUCGGAUGGUGAGUAUCCCUCACUUCCAAUCCGAAGAUUGUGAGGUUGAAGCUCAAAAUACUUGUGAGAUGCAAUUAGGGGCAAAUAUAGGUGGGGUAGCAAUUAGGGGCAAGUAUGGUUAAUUGUGAGAUGGCAUCAAAUAGUAUACAGUCCUUUCCAUUCAAAAACACACUUAAAGCUUUAUGACAAUCAACUAGCUUUUAUUGGUUAUAUAAAGAUUACAUUAUUUUAUGCUUGUAAACAGCCUUUGAUUAUUUUUGAGAUGACAUCAAAUACUUCACACAGUCCUCUCCAUUAAUAAAAUAUAAUCCAUAAGUAAAGCAUAUAUAUUUUCCUCAAUUGGUUAAAAACUCCCCUCAUCUAAAAGCUUGCUCCUUACUAGAAAAGCAUAAGACAUUAGGGGUCCAGAAGAGGAGAUAUCCGAGGAGACACAAUAACUCAUGAACUAGCUAGUUCAUGUGCUUUAGUGCAUGCUGUGCCAUGAUAUCACUUAGACAUGUUGGAUUAGAAAUAGUUUUGUCUUAAGAGAUUUAGAGUUCAUAAAAGACAAAAAUAAUGUUGAAACAUUUGUAAGAGGGGGUGGUUAUAGCUCUUUCUUGUCCAAGUUGUACAUUGAUGUUUGAUGUUUGAUGAUGGUAGGGACCUUAACAUUGGAAGAGAAUAUGAUAGUGGAAUUACAAUAUACACAAGAAAGAACAGUUGAAUUGACCCUCUUCCAUUACAAGUGCUGCUGGAUUUAUCCCCAAGAAAAUCCAAAGAAAGUUGCAACCAGCAUGACCUAGCCAAUAGCCAUGUUCUUUUAGGAGGAAGUUUGGAGGCAUUAGGCUGAGAUGGGACAUCGUGGAGCUGAUGGGACAAUGUCGUCAAGAACCAAUUUCACUACAAGAGGUGAAUCCAGGAUUUGAAAAUGAUCACGAUACCACCAGAGGUGGAUGCAUGCACAUUAAUCGAAGUGGUGUCACAUACUUUAUCAAACAUACAUAGUCAAGGAUCGAUAAACUUUAUUAAACAAAUUCAUUCAGUGCCUCCAAUUAAAUUUUGUGUUUAAGGGUGUCUAACCAAAUAUAUGAUCGUUUUUCAACGUAUAUAUACAUACUCCCUCCGUCCCAUUUUAUGUGAGGUAGUUUGACUCGGCACGGAGUUUAAGAAAGAAAGGAAGACUUUUAAAACUUGUGGUCCAAAAUGAAUGAUAGAAAUUUGUGUGGCUGUAAAUCAUUUCAUUAAGGGUAAAAUAGACAUUUUAUAGUGAAAUUGUUACUUAAUAUAGAAAUGUGUCAUUCUUUUUGGGAUUGACUAAAAAGGAAAGUAGGUCACAUAAAUUGGGACAGAGGGAGUAUUUUUUUUCAAAGUUAACGGCCCUUUUCAUCCAUGUAGGUCCGCCUCUGCCUCUAACCAAUUGGUUAUAAUACUGGUACAUCAUUAGUAUAUAUAAGUUAAAUCUAAAAAACUAAAAAUUAAAUAAGGAGAAGGCUAAAUCCUAGACUUGAAGCAAAUGACUACAUCCAAUUACGCAAAGUUUUGGAUUCACCAGUCAAGCAUAUUAAGAAUCCGGAGUCACUCGUUUUUGGACAUAACCUAAACAGGCAAAUUGCUCGUAACCCAACAACAUACCCAAAAUACAUAUAUUAUUAGUUGUGUAAAAAAAAAAAACAUACCCAAAAGGAAACUGGAAAAUAUGUUCUAUUCUUAACUCCUAUAUUUAUGCACUCAAACGGGACUAAAUAUGCUUCAGAUAAUUUCACUCUUCUUAAGCUAUCUGAAGCAUAUUUAACUCGAUUUUAAGAUACCAAUCAUGUAUGUUUGAAUAGAAAGGGUUGUAUUGACAUUGUAUAAACUAAAAGGGGACGUUUGGUAGAUGGUUUGUAGGUGAGUUAUGCAGGUAUUAAAUUCUUCAUAAGUAAUAGAGAUCUAAGUAAUAUCACAUUUGGUAGCUAAUACAUGCAUCAUGCAUAACUCUUACCAGCUACCAAACGACCCCAAGUGCUUAGCACCUAUAACUUUUUAAGGUGGAGGGCAAAUCCGAUAACCCACUUUGGCUGAACCAUGUAUGUCAUUGAUUCUACCACAUUAAGCUCAACAUUCUCUAAGGUAAAGUCAUAUAAUCAAAUUCAUCACUUGCAAGUUGAUCCAAAUGAGCCUACUAGCCAAACACACAUUAUAAGCUGUAAAUAUUCACCUUUUUGGAUAACUUUCCAACCUUCCCUGACAAGUUUACAGUGAUCUAUUGGAGGUAAAUCCAGUCACAAGAUUCCCCAUCAAUCCAGAAUAUGAACAAUGACAUCCGCAUUUUUCCAUAUUGCAUCCUUUUCUGGAACUAGCCGUAGCUAAAACUAGCUCUGGAAUCUUGUACGCCAUAUGGAGCCAAGAUUUCAAUCAAGAAAACCUCUCUUCGACUCAACGUUUGCUUACUAAUUUUGAUCCUCUCUUGGAUCAACUUUUUCACGUUUGGUAGGUCCUUUUACCUUGAAGAAGCAAUUCAUCAAGCUGUUUGGAGGACAAGUUUGACUACUUAUCCCCAGACAAGCUUCAAUUUUGUACCAUUUUGAGUUACCUCAUCAGUGAACUAGCUCCGCAGUACAACAUAUAAUUAAUAUAUCAUAGGAAACUCCAUCGAGCACCUCAUUUCAUCAUGACCGAUCCUUAUUCUAUUUACAAUAACAUAUACAGCAUAGUUCCACUCCACAAGUGAGGUCUGGGGAGGGUAGAGUGUACACAAACUUUACCUCUACCUUAUCAGGUAGAGAGGUUUCCCAAAAGACCCUCGGCUCAAAGAAAGCAUCGAGGUUAGAGAGGAAGGGCAAGCUACAAUAGUAAGAUAGAUUCAACCUUAACAUUAAUGCGAUAUUACAUGGCUACCUUAAGCAAAGGUCCCAUGCCGCUAUGGAUUUAAGGAAAUGCUGGCAUAACAGUAUGUUAUUCAUGAUGUUUAUAAGCUGAGACAUUCUAUCAAAUUAACUACCACAAUAGCAAAAUUGAUUAAAUAAGUCCUCCCUAUAUAAUUUUUCUUUUAAGAGAAAAGGAAGCCAUUGUUUAUGGGAAAUGCUUAUAGAUAUAGGAUGAUUAACCUUUCGAAGCGUGGUCUUCAAAAAUGCACAAUAACGCCAGGGAACAGAUUUUAGUAUAUAAACUAUGAAGAUGAAGAUCAGAAAUACAGAUGCCCAAAAAUCUCACAGGAACCAUCUGAAAUAGACUAAUCAAUAUAGAAGGAACUCGAGUGAUCCCACAUAGAUUCCAUCACCAACAGCCAGUACGAGGCAUGGGAACUGUCAUAUAUUCUGGAAUAAAAUGUCUAGAGCAGGUAUCUCACUUAUUACAAAUUUAACAAAACUUCUAGGAAGAAAUAAAAAUUCUAGGUGCUGCAGCUUUCUAUUGAUUAAAUACUCCAAUCAUACGUUCUAAAAUCAUCAGAUGAUUAUACAUAAUUUACAUGAUUUUAAUUUUGGUCCUCAGAAGACUAUAGCCACAUGCAAGCCAAAUGAGGAUGAACCAUGCAUCACGUAAAAUUCAGGAAGAAAGGAAGUGCCCAACCUAGCAACUGUCACAAGAAGGCUUCCGCUAUGCAAUUGUAGUUGCAGAUAUCUAUGCCCUUAUGUGAUGACAGUAGGCUUUUCUCUUCCGGUGAAGUCCUUUAGCUUUGAUACAGAAAGAGCGAGAUCUGCAAAAGAUAUCUAGAUA
rnacentral:lncRNA from 1 species